rnacentral:lncRNA from 1 species
GUGCAAUAACCCGAUGACCAAUCGGGAAGCGAGCUGAACGAAGCAGGAAGCGUGACAAAUGCAACAGUAGCUACGAUAGUUAACGCGAAGCGCGAGCUGAGGUGGACGUCGGAAAGACAGAAGGUGAAACGCGAAAGUUCACACAUUGUAUUAGGUAAAAGAAGUCGCAACCACAAUGACAAGCGGAGGGGAUUGAAAGAAAUCGCUACUCUAAUAGACGUACUGGGAACCCAAGCAGCUAGCAACAGUUAGCUCCCGUAGUCCGACUUGUUUCCUCCAUUAGAAUCACUUUUAAAAGUUUUCAUGACUCGGGACUCCGGCUGCUACUCUACAGGACCAAAACCGCCAAAUCCUGUCAUCACUCGCCCUCAUGUGUGGAGUUUCUGACGUUUUCAAGAUCGGCCUAGAUCAUAAAAAUCUUGUAGUGUGUGCCACAUUUACGCGAACACCUCAGCGACGAUCAAAAGGCGCAGUUUGAGGCACAGCCAGCCUGCCUUUCUCCUCCAGCAGCUGCUCUGACGAUAUCUUCUCCAUGAUCAGUAUACAGGAUUCUUGGAAUGACAAGUUUUGGAGUUCUUCAUUUUCCUCAUUAAAGGAGCAAUUUCGUGAGAGCGUUACACAGACACUUUUUUGUGUGAACUGCAUUUAGAUGCUGAAUGUUGUUUUGAACGGAUAAAGUGAUUGAAAAACAUUCUCAUUGAACUUUGAAGUGCAAUGCUUCACACUCACUUAAGGCCCAGAAAACGCAGCUGGCUCUCAGAGACGUUAUUUACCUGGAAGUGCUAUAAUGACUGGAACCAUACUUGAUGCCUGCAGCUGUUUUACUGGUGAGCAAAUAUCUCCUUCUCUAAAUGUUCAACCACGAGAGAUGAUGUUGUGCUUGAGAUUAAUUCAUACAUUAAAAACAGUUGGCCUACAUGUAGUGAUCAUCUGUUGUAGGCCUGUUUUUGAUUUGUUAAUCUUUGCUUCAGAGUGCGGCUUGUUUUGAGAUUUGUGUGAUGUGUGAAAGCUUAAUUUCAUAUUCAAUUUAGUUAGUUCUAGUUUGGUAUCAGUAUUCUUGCCUCCAGCCUCGAGGCCUGUCUAAAAUCCCAUGCUGCUUGUGUGAAUUUUCAGUGUCAGAGCCAGAAUAAGUCACUGGCAAAGUUGUGUUUUUUAAAGUGUGGUGGUGGCAGCUUUGACUUCAAAGCCCCUAAAAUAGGAAUAAUAAUAAAGUGGGAUCCAAUUUGUUGCAGGAACUCGCAAAAUGCGAAGGAAGUUUGAUAAUUUUUUAUGUCUUUGGUGUUUUAAUUGACUAAACUUUUGGUGUUUUUAACAAUGCACUGUCACCAAACUUUAGCAGGACAUGGUUGUGUUGUUGAAAGAUUUCUAACUUUUCCUUGAAUUAUUUUCUUCAUUUUCCCUGAAUGAGUCAAUUAAUUCCAUUAAAGCAGCACAGAGUCUAGCGAGACUUUCAUUUCACCAGACAUGCUGCUGAGAUGAAAAUCCUUAUUUACUCCAUUUUCUGUGCUGUUAUCCCUCGGCUGCUCUUAUUCUUGUGCACAGUCUGUAAGCUGGUGCAGAUUAGUUGAGUUAUUCAUUACAGAGGGUGUCUGUUGUCGAUUGCAGAGCUUAUCCACUGUGAUUAAUGCUGGGUUUGUGUAACUAUCAAAGAAAACAAAGACUGGUCUUUUAAAGGGUCUUCUCCACUAAGGGAUACAUUGAAAAGAUAUACUUACAAUGUGUUACAUGCUGUGUGUUUUCCUGGUAAUGUUCUGUUCAUGAAUAGAUGAAGCUGCUGACGUCCCUGCUUUAUUACACGUUUCUGUUACUGCAGCUGCAUCCUCUCAAGAGAAACUGAAUAAUUCCAGUUUGUUUUUUCCCCCUCAGCUAUUAGCUGUCAUGGUCAAUAAGUGGUAUUGUUUAAAUUUAAAAAUGUGGUUGUCAUAACGACCCUUAACAUGAUUAAUUUGGAGGGACCUGUACAUUGAAUGUGUUACUUGGACAUGAAAGAUUUGUCAGUAUAUUGAUUUUUUGUGUGUGUUUGUGUAAAGCAAUGCAAGUCAACCGAGCCUGUUGAGAUUGUUUUGGUGUCUUCUGCCAAUUCCGGUUUGAUUUAUUCAUUGUUGAUACCAAAUAUUAUACAGGAGAAGUCAGCUGAUCUCAGGUAUGUGUAAAUUUGAAGUAACCUGGGAUUUGCCACUGUUAAAUUCCUCUUUACUGUGACAAGGAUACAUCACAAGUCAUUCUCUUCUACAUUGUGUGUGCUUGUCAACAUCGCCACUCACACUGGUAUGUGCACACUCAUGAAUACGCUCAUAUAUAUGCAAGUGAAGCCACUGCACUGUUGCAACUCAGUUUUAGUAUUGGAUGUGGGCAAUUCCCCGAGGCAAGGAUCUGCUCUCCACCCAAACAAUGAGGUGCAGCUUUUGCUCUCGCGGUGAACGAGGGGAAGCAAGCCCAUUCAGGAGGUCAGCUCCGAGCUGUUGACAUUGCUCCCUGGUUGCCUGUAGUCCUGGGCAGAGCCUCAUUAUCACAGGGUCUGCUUGGAAGAGAGUGGGCUUCGUUAGGAAGCAGCUGUCAGUGCUGAGGGGCGAAAGCAAAGGGAAACAGCAGAGAAAGUAGAACCUACUCUGCAGUCCAUUUGCAGUGGUGCUCAAGGGCCAGUUGGCCACAGUUGUAUAGUCUGCUUUUGUGUGUGUUUGCACAGUGUGAUUCUUACCUGUGGGUGUGUAUAAGUGUGUGUGAGGGUUGAGAGAGUCAUAUCACCUGUAUGGCAGUGUUUUCACUUAUUAUUAUUUAUCCUACGGUAUUUUAUUUCCAUCAGGAUUUUUCUAAUCUAGUCAAUUUAAUGCAAAUUUAAAAGUUGCUAUCAAUUUCUUGAAAAAAGUGCACAACAGAUGUUGAAAAAUUGUGAAACUUGCUAUCUCUUAUAGACAUGGACAGAAAGGCUCAUGACAUAAAUCUGGCGUCAUCUUGUUACAAAAAUAAAUCAGUUAUAAAAGCAACAUAUUGUUGGUCCCCACAGACAACAAAACUUGACAUGUCUUAAGUAACAAAUGUGGUUAAAUUCUUGAUUGGAACUUGAAGCUUCAUCAUCUGUGGGUAUUUUAAAACAUUUAUUUCAUGAAACAAAGUUAUUCCAAGCUGCUUGAGCUGGCAAGCUCAGUAGAAAAGGGGAAAGGAAAUAUCUUUCAUUCUUAGCAAGGGCUAGCAAGGGCUAAGAAUGAAAAAUAAUUUCGAAUGCAGUGAGCCAUUUAUCAUGCAUUAUGGGAAACAAGAUGAAAUGUAUAGUGGAGGUCUGCAGCAUGUGUCAGGUUUCAUGUCUGUCACACUCGAUCAGUGACCGCAGCUAAUGAGAUGCUACAUGCUGCCUGGGACUGGAGCUGGAAAACUGCUGUUCUGGUGCACAUUAGAAUCUGGGGAAUUCCAAAAAUCCAGCAUCUGGUGAAAAACACAGCAACCCUCUAUGGCACAGUGGUCAUUAACUUCUGGGAUUUACAGUGAUACGAUACCCUGUUGAGAAAAAGUUUUCACGGUGAUGAAAACAGUCCUUCAAACUUGACCAAUUUUCUGCCAAGCAGAGGCAACACAAGUCAGGAAAAGAAGCUUCCAAUGCCUUCCCAUUUAAUAGCUACAAAGAUAUGAAAUGUUGAUCUACAGAUGUUAAUACUACAGCUGAGCAGAUUAAGGUAUAGAUCAGCGGGUUGUUGAAAGGUAGAUGGAUUGAUAUGGUGAUGCUUGGGAAUAGUUUAGGCAUGACGUAUUAGAUUUCCAUGUUUGAACAGUUAAAGUGAUUAAAUCACGUUUGAGAGACUUGUGUAGGAAUUCAAUUGUAGAGAGAAAAAUGGACAUGAAACGAGUGAAUAUGUUAAAAAUGUCUCUGAAAUUAUAAGACUAAAACUCCAAAUCUAAAAGUUUAUUAAAAAAAACAGCUGUCACAUUAUUAUGGCAAAAAGAAAUUCAGUUUCAACAAUUUAAAGUUUGUGUGGAAACAUAAAAAUUACAAAAACCAUCAAGUCUAAAGAGAUGAGGGAAAACUCUCGGACUGCUAAUUUGGUGGAAUAAAGGGACGCACAGACGUCAUGAAGCCAUAUACAAUUUUAUUUAGCUGUCUCAUAUUUCAGUUGUACAAAUGAACUACCCUUUUAUAUAACACUCUUUUAGGCAUGUUUUCCCAAAGGGCCAAAAGUACCAAAAAUAGCAUUAUAUUUCCUCUGCACAAUCCCACAGAGGAUCAGACACUCAUGUCAAACGCUAUCUCCUUUUCAUGCAGAACCACCUUGACAUUAACUUUUGUACUUCAGAGCGAUGAGGGUUAGGGUUAGCUCAGUUGAGAGCUUAGAUAGUAAUAUAUUUUGAUAGCUCUAAGGGUAGUGAUUUAGGUCCCUUUGAAAUUUAAUGGGUCCCCAAUUCGUUUUUCAUUUCAGGAAAUUGACAUUAUAUGCUUGAGAUGGCUUAUAACCAUGAGAUAUAUUCAGAGGGCUUCAAAAGUACUUAAUAAUUAUAAUAAAAACAUCAUAUUCUUACACAAUAAAACCAAUAUGUUUUUUCUGCUGCAUUUUUGAAACAUUUUUUAUAUGUCUAUAUUCAUAUUUGGAGGAUAUUACUGAAUGUGCAGCCCAAGCGUCUGCAGCAAAAUGCAGGAAUGAAGUGAAACAGUUCAUAUCAGAUGAUCCAGAGCCUCAUCACACAGAAGUGAGCUCUGUAAGCAUAUGCAGCAGAGUUUGAUCUGUCAGUCACAUUGACUGAAAGCCAGUUGGGGUGACUUGAGAAGACUGUCACAGCUCUAGCCCUUUUUGAAGGGUUGACAAAGGCGGUGGGCACCUCAUCUGCAUCUGAAUUUGAUGUCAGGGUCCUAAAACAUUUUCUGUCCAGACAAAGAGGCUUACUCAUCUACUAACCUGUAGACUUUUAAGUGGGUCAGAAUGAACAGGUGAGGUCAUUGAUUUUCAAGCUACUCCUUCAGAAAUGUAAGUACCUUAAUUUUUACCUCAAAAUAUAUUAGAUAUUAUUAAAUUCAAGUAUUUCAACACACUUCACGUGGGUGCAUGCCAUUCAUGACUUUGCAUGGAAAAGUAUACUAUCAGAAAUUUAGCUUACUUCAUAUAAAGCUAGCUCCAGAUGGCCUACUAAGCGAGCUAGCUUUUACUUUCAUACUUAUAAUACUGUAUGCAUUGGAUGUGUGUGUGUGUGUACACCAAUGGAGAAACAUAACAUUAUGACUACUGACAGGUGAGGUGACGGUGGUUGUCUUUUUUUCAGUGUUAUGUGUCAGUGGGUGGGAUGUGUUAGGCAGCUAAUCAAUAGUUUAUGUGUUGGGAGCAGAAAAAUGGACAAGUGUAAGAAUGUGAGCUACACUGACAAAGAGCAAAUUAUGACAGUUAGACGACUGGGUCAGAGCAUCUCCAGAACUGCAGCUCCUGUGGGGUUUUUCCCACUCCACAGUGGUCGGUGCCCAACAGAAGUAGUCCAAAGAAGGAAACUGGUAAACGAGUGAUACGGUCAUGGGCAACUUACCUCAAAAACCUGCAGGAUGCAUGUGCCCUGUAUUCUGUUUUUGCUCACCCAGGCCCACUGGGAGCCUGUCUGAAGCACAGCAGCAGGGGAGCAGAGCCUGGAGCAGCUGGUUUCAGUGUACACACAGACAGGUUACUUUGCCUUUUCGUGGUUGAUUUCCUGCUUGUUUGGAUUCUAUUCUGAGACUCUUGUGCUUCUGCCACUAGUGAGCAUGUAAUGCGGUUCAUGCGUUUGGUUUUUCAACUACGACUGUACCUCCCAGAUUGCGUCGACCGACCCUCAUUUUAAACAACCCGAAUUGGUUGUUUUUGGCUUGUGUACGUUAUUUAUUUUGUAUUAUGAUCUACUAAUUAACUAACUCUUGAAAUUUUACAGUAUAAACUGAAUGAAUCGUUAAACGGUUGGCUUAUAGUAGGAUUUUGUUUUUCUGCUAACGACUUGUGUGUGUGUGUGUGUGUGUGUGUGUGUGUGUGUGUGUGUGUGUGUGUGUGUGUGUGUGUGUGUGUGUGUGUGUGUGUUAUACAGUACUACAAUGGAUUUUGACAUUUUGGCUUUAACAUGGUUCAUGUCAAUCUUAGUUUCUUGUCUAUCAUUACACCAAAAAAUUAGUUUCAAUUUCUUUGUAUCUUAUUUUCUAGUAAAACUUUGCAACUCUAUUUCCAAAAAUUAUGUACAUAGUUUUACCAAAAUUAAGUGAUUAUUUCUUAGCAUCAAACCAUUUUUCUGUUGUUUGUACUCCUUUCUCCAGGGUUCUUUAAGUUUCCGGCCACAGAAAAAAUUGUUGUAUUAUCUUCUGCAAAUAACAUACACUUUACACUUUUGAAACCAAACAUAUAUCCUUGAUAUACAAUGUCAACAACAGUGUUCCAAGAAUCAAACCUUGAGGCACCCCUCAUGUAACCUUCCAAAGCUUUGAAUUGAGUUUUUAACACAGACAUACUGAUACCACUAUGUAGAGCCAAUUAUGGGUCAGUCCUUUGAUACCACACCUUUGUAAUUUAGAUAAUAAUAAUUUAUGGUCAAAAGGGGCAAAUCUUUUUUGUGAAUCAAGAAGUAUAUAUAUUCAUUGUGGUGUUUCUGUUUUCCCUAAAUCCACAUUGUUGUUCACAGAGUAUGUUAUGCUUAAAAAUGUCAUCUUCAGCAAUAAUUAUAAUAACUUUAUUUAUACAGCACUUUACAAAACAGACAAGUGCUACACAACAUUAGUGGGUCAAUAGAAAUGAUUAAAAAUUCAAUAAAGAUAAAACCCCAAAACCCACUCUGAAGCAAAACCCCAAAAAGUUUUUUUAAUUUUUUAAUUUUUUUAAAAUUUUUUUUUAACAAUACAAGUUAAUUUAUAAUGAUAAUAAUAAUGAACUAAAUAUAAUGAAUAUAAAUAAAAAGCCAGUGGAGGGAGGCUAAAACAGAAGUGAUAUGCUCUCUCUGUUUUGUUUUGGUGAGGAGUCUGGCUGAUGCAUUCUGGACUAGCUGUAGUUUAUUUAGGCUCUGCUGUGAAAGACAGGAAUACAGGCAAUUCAGUCAAUGUUUCUUUUAAAUCCAAAAAAUGUCAUAACCAUUCCAGUCUGUUUUUCUUCAGAUAUGUGCACAAUAUAAAUUAUUUAUUUAUCACCUUUUUUUUUUUUUUUUUAAUUAAGACUGAAUGAGUAUUUUUAAUGAUAAUUCUACUGUUGGCUCCAUCAGUAGUACCUGGAGGGAUGAUGGUGUUCGUUAAUUUUUUCCUACAUUGACAAGUUAAUUAAAAUGUUCUGAUAUUUGUUCAUUUUCACUAAUCAUUUUAUUGUUGAGUUAAAGUAAUGUGGUUGGACAGUAUUUCCUUUUUUCUUUUUUAAUGACUUUAUUCAAAACUCUACAAGUAUGUUUAAUAUCAGACCAGUUUUUUUUACUUGCAAUUAAAUAAGUGUGUGGGUUUUUUUAUUUGUUUGUUUGUUUGUUAUGUCUCUUGGUACCUGUUAGUUUGUUUCUAUAUGUCUUACAUCUAUUUUCAGCAUCUUUUGUUCAAAGUCUUAUAAAUUUCUCAUGUAACAUUUUUUAAAGCAUUUUGUUUUCUUUUUUGUUAUCCAUGGCUGAUCUGCAUAUUUAUUUUUAUCCACUUGAAUCACUAGAGGACAAUGUUUGGCAUACAAGUUUGUUAUAAUAGAAAUUAAAUAAGAUUCAUUUACAUUGUUUACAUAAAUUUCACUCCAAUCCUUAUUUAUUCAGGCCUCCCUCAGGAUUGUAAAUGGCAUUUUCUGUUCUGAAUCUCCAGGUUAUUUUUUUCUUCAAAUUCAUUUUUAUGAAAUAAUCAGAAACUACAAACACAGGUAAAUGAUCAUAAGUAUCAAUUAUGAGUAAACCUCCUGCGAUACUCCCUUCAGGAACAUUUGUAAAUAUAUAUUCAUUAAGCGUGGCAGUGUGUACCAUUAUCCUGCUUUUGUCUGUGAUUGAAGGAUACAGCCCUACAAAACAAUAGAUUGGCAAAAUUUAUGUUUGUGAGAUCUAUAUCAACAUCUUCACAGACAAAAAUAGACUUUUUGUAACUGACUUAUGGUAUAUUUCUGACAGUCUAUCCUUGAAUGUAUAAAUGUUGCUACCUUGGACUCUCCAAAUGCAGCUAAAAAUUGUAUUUCUUUAUUCCUCUGAUUUUAUUUCAGCUGUGACACAUUGACAUUUUGUAUGACACAUUUUCAACAAUUUCACCACAGUAAGAUGACUUGAUAUACGGUGUAACACCCCUGCCUCAUGUUAGGCUUGUUCGUAGAGAACACAUUAUAUAUCUCAAUUUGUACCGCAGCAGUUUGCUUCUUAGAAACUGCUGUUACAGAAAAGAUCUUGUUGUGUUUUAACACACAGUUCUACUGUCAAGUGCUUGCACUGCUGAUUCAUGUAGAGAAAAAAAGGAUUGUCUGGAUCGAUGUCAUGUUCAAGGUUAUGAAGUCUGUGAUCUGUGUCAUCUAAAGUUUUUAGACAGAGAUUGUCUGCAGAUGUGAAUGGUUGAAUGGUUUUGUCUUAUUAUCCUUCCUUGGGGGUGCGUGGCAGGUUGAAAUGGUGCUGCUAUAGAUGGCGGUAUCUUUCAAAGCGAAAAACUGCGAUACCUGUUACUUAAGAGAGUGCAUUUCUACUAGUGAUUUGUCUCUGCUACUUCAGCCACAGGCUCCAGCUGUAGCUUUGGUGUAUGAACGGUGCCCGGUGUUAAGUCCACUCGCAAUCACGUCAUCUAUUCUUGUGUACUGUUCCAGUUCAUUCACUCGCUCUUCUAACAAACUGAUUUUCUCACCCUUUUCCACAUGUAAUGUCUUUAGUUCUCACACUUUCCCCAUUAAUCCAAAUAGUUUUGUCUGUUGCUUUGACUCAUAAUAGACAAGUGCAUAUAUGAAAAAAAAACACCUAACCCCAAAAAAGUUUGCCAAAGUUUGACCACUAGAGAGGUGUCAUUUUCAAGAUGGCAUUCAUGAUAGGUAGGAAGCCUGGGGAGACACCCCAGGCAAAAUUUGGUGAAAAAUUGUUUUAAGUGUUGGGGUAGCGUUGGGGUAACAUUGGGGUUAGGGUUAUUGGGUUAGUGUUAAAAUCACUGUCCACGACCUUUAUAGGAGCAUGUUUCUGACCAUUUGGAGUAAAUUGGAACAAAAAAAAUUAGGAAAAAUGUCAAACAUUUUGUAAGUGUUAGGGUUACAUUGGUAUAACGUUAGGGUAUUGGGGUUAGGGGUUAUUGGUUUCAUUGGGGGGUUUUGUACUAAUUGAAUCCAGAUGGAAGGGUUAUGGGGUGAGCGUUAAAAUCACUGUCCACGACCUUUUUAGAAGCAUCUUCCUGACCAUUUUGAGUCAAUUGGUAAAAAAAAAUAUUAGGAAAAUUUACAAAAUUUGUCAAGUUAUAAAUUUGGAAAGUUUCAUGGUGAUAUCUGUUAGUUAAAAUUUUUACACUAUUCACCUGGGGUGUCUCCCCUGGGCUCCCUACCCAUCAUGGACGCCAUCUUGAAAAUGGCACUUUUCUAGUGGUCAAACUAUGGUAAACUUGUUAAUAACUAUGUUAUUAAGGACAUCUAAUACUAUAAAACACAGCUGAGAAACCUUUUGUUAGAACUUUUUUGGGGUCAAGUCAUAUUUGCACCUGACUAAAAGUAAUCUCCACUGACAUGAAGUUUAGAGACUGUUUAAUCUCAUCAUGUUCUCGUUAUUUCCUUGAGUCUUCUCCUGUGACAUUUUAGCAAGAAGUUGAAGAACAAUUUUCGGUAAAUCCAAAAAUCUUCUGUGGCUUCAAGCAGGCUGCUGACUCAUGGAGCAGAAAUGCUGAGUCAUGGAAGCCCACCGCUGUCUGAUGGAUAUUGGUAAAUAGAAAAGUGAAAAGUCUGCAAGAAAAAUAAAGAAUAAGAGGAAGAGGAAUAAAAUCUUGCAGUAGUAACCACCUGUCUAUCAUUUGGACCCAGACAGAUGAUGUCUGACACAUGUUGGUACAGCAUUUUAUAGAUUAGUUUAUCAUGGAGCCUAUAAAUGCAGACAUCACGCUUCUGUUAAUAUGUACAUUUUAGCAUAUUUCAUUCUCAUCUGGAUUCUUCACACAUGCAAAGACUUAAAGCAGGACAAAUGAUGCAUUAAUGGGAGAGGUCAGGAUGAUAUAGGAAGUAAUGAGGAGGACAGGGAAGGAGCCUUGAAGCCAGCAGAAGGGACCUCAUCAGCCUUGGACAAGCAAGAUUUUGGCUCAUAACUAUUUUAUCUUAAGAUCAUCAACCGUGAACACAAAUAUUGAAUAUUAAAGGAGUCAAAGGUGCAGCAGAUUUCAGCAGCAGCUGAGCAGAGGCACACUCAAUCUGUUCCCUUGCUUCUUACAGUCACACUGAUCUCUCAGCUGGCCUUUUCAUCCUUAAUCUCCCCCCUCCAUUUAACUGUGAACACUCAGACCCUCCCUCAAUAGUUUUAAAUCUUACAUUAUUUCCAUACACAUAUUGCAUGGGACUAUGAAUCAAAUAACAAACUAAAGAAACACCCAAAAGCCAAACUUGGAAAAAAGAACUCUGCACCCCUCUGCACCAUGUGCAGAUUGGAUAAAAAAAGAUCUCAAUUUUGAAAUAACCUUUUGAAGUGCCCAGGAAUUUAGUUUUUGUUUAUGUGGUUUUGAAAAUUAUCGAUAUUGUUUGAUUUGCCCUGGGUGUCUUGUCAAAAUUCAAAACUCUGGUAUGUGACAACCGGAUUAUCACCAGUGAAAACCUGUCAGCAGCCUCUUUUUUAGUCAUUCAUCAAAGCUAAGUAAUAUGGGAGCAACCACCCAAAGGUCAGGAGCUCGACAGAAAAAUUAUUGAAUUCAUUGCUCUCAAUAACCAGCCUUACAGGUUGAAGAUGUUGGCUCCCACAGGCUAAUAAUGUACCUGAAGCCUCUCUAUGCCAUGCCUAGCUGACUUUAUUUCUCUCUUGGAGCCUUUCCUGAACUGCAAAGCUUCACCCACCGUCACAUAAAGAAGCUCCUCACUGAUGCUAUUCAUAUUAGCUUCACCACAGACAUCCAGACAUCAAGUACAAGUACUGUCAGCAUGCUGAGCCUUUCUGCCUAGUGGAUUGUUAUACACGCAUACUUUUUGAUGUUAUUUUUCCAUUACUAAAGGUCCUUACACACCGGGAACGACACAAAUAUACGACGUGAAAUUAUUAAAUAUUCAGAGGCGAAUUUAGACGCACCUGACCAUACACAUGAAGUGCGAUGUGAUUUUGCGACUUUCUUGAAAAAAACGCUCCCGGUGUGAAAGGACCUUAAAAGUCUGUAUUUGAAGAUGGAAUCAGGUUAUUUGUCUUGUUUCAAAACAAAUAGGCUGUCACACUAAAAGUAAGAGGAGAAUUAUGAAACAGGAGAGACUUGAUUUUACAUAUAAGGUGUAAAAGUAACAAGCUGCGUGAUACUGGUGAAAAUCCAUGCACCAUUGUGCAUUUCUAGUGUAAUUUGAGUAUCUUGACGAGGUGCUAGAAGGGCUUAAAUCAUUAGUAUUUAUGUGAUGUAAGCGGCGAACACUUUGUACAGUUUGGGUCUAAAUAAAAGUAAGCCAUGCUAGAGAAAAUGCAGCCCCAACCGCAAUAGGUAUGUUAGUCUGAGUACAAGUGCAAUUUCUUACAACCAUGUGUUGCAUGGUGCCUGCAAUGUACAGCAUCAAUAGAAAACACGUAGUAGUUAUUGUAUGUAAAGUAUUACUAUUACUAGGAGUAUCCUGCUGUUUUCAGCUAACCUCAAACAAGUUCUGGGUGCUAAUUUUAUAAAAUAUCAUUCUCACAGGGCCUCCCCAUGAGAUCACAAAUGCAGCUGUGACUUGACUAUUUUCAACCAAAGUAAUCUCUCAGAAGAUGAAAACUGGCUCAGGAAAUAUUCCCUGUUGUUAUAACUCUGAAGGUCCAGUCACUCUGUCACUGAACAACUGCUGCUCAAUCGAUUGGGAUCUUAAAUAGCAAUUUCCAGACACCCCAAUGCUAUUGAUUUCGGUCGGCAAACAUUUUACUUUGAUCAUUAUGAUUCCAAGCUUGCAGCACGCUUCCUGGGUUUCCCUCUCAUGAGAGGCUCACUGUUGCUCUUGAAAUGGCAAUGUAGUGACAGCUGCCACAUCGACUGUGUCAGUCCACACAGGAGAAAAAAACUGAAUUGUAUUUUAGAAAAGUAAGUACACAAACUUAACAUCCACAAGAAGUAGCAUUCAAGGGACCUUUUUCUUUGUUUGAAAGAUUACUCUAAACCUUGUUUUCAAACUUUUUUUUAACGCGCUUCAAAACUUGUUGCCAGCUUGAGCCAGUUUUUCUUCCUCUUCCCUCUCCUGUAAAUGGUUCAUUAGUUUCCCAUGCACCCGUUGGUUAGCCUCAUUGUUCAGCAAACCAAUAUUAUCUGAUAAGACGAAGCACACAGAAGGAGCUCUAGAGACUAAUUAGAAGUCCUCAAACUUGAAAAUCUGUUCAAAGUCUUGUUGUUGCCAACACACAGAGGCAGUGACCCGGGGUCUCAUUUAAUGUUUCUAAGUAUCUAUUAAUGUUCCUUUGGUUAUGUUUAGAGCUAGGGGAGGCUCGGGAGCAGGAACUGAUGGAUGAGAAACAUUAGACGCCCGGCAGGCACUGAACUCUAAUAUAAUGCAGUCAUAUGGCUAUUUUUUUCUUUGGUGUACUUCAUUACAUUUGUCUUUGGUGGAAUAUGUUUCUGCUUAAAUAAUUUAUUUUUCCCUUUCUGCUAGGUUUCUCUCAAAAAAUCAAUCAGUGGCUGUCUUCCCAGAGAUAAGCAUGUCUUAUUAAUGUAAGAUCUUUAUCGUGCCAGGAGGACCACCAGCACUGCUGUUAAGUCUGCUGAUAAUUGACAUUUUCUCUUGAUGGGGGUAUUUAUCAUUCUCCUAUUGUCCAUGGGAGGCUCCACUUUGACCAUACCCAUACAAUUGUCUGAAAAGACGCUGAGAUCCUGUAUUUCAUACCCAGUAUGUCAUGCAGUAUUCAUGUUUCCUCAUGAGAGAAAAGAGUUUGUUUCUUAAGAGAGAAAGACAGGAUUUCCAUUGCAAAGCACAGCAUUGAGCAGAAUAAUACAGGCUGAGUGUGAGCUUUUGAAAAGGUGAUAUGCACAAAGUGACCUUUAAGUCUCACACUGUGAAUGACUUGGGAGAUGCCUUUUAGCCACACUUGAAGUACACACAGCAAUGCGUCCCAUAUCACUCCUCCAGAGGACACUAGAUAUUGGUUGACAUCCACUGCAGGCAACAGUGGUAAUGGCACACAAUACAUAACACUGAUAGAGCAAUGUCACUCUAACUACUGCAAUUUGUAUUUAUGGCAUAUAACUGAAAGAUGAGGGGCUCGAAUUGCAUUAUUCUUAGUAAACUUAACGGAGACUAUUUAGUUUUACUUUGGAAAAAAAUGUGUAUCAUAACCAAAGCUCUAUCUCUGCAGCUUAAUACAAGCUAUUGACGCUGACUCAAAACCACUGGGUUAGUUUUAAGCACUCAUAACUUUGAUUUAGUUAUGUUGCUAUUAACUUUUUAAGAGACAAAAAACUUUCUGUACAAAUUGGCGUCAUAAUAAGUCCACAUUGUCAGCUCUCAGAAAGGAAGGAAUGAAUAAGAGAAGCAUUUGAGAAAACAGCAUUAUAUUGUUGAUGCUAAACAAAUUCAAGACAUAUGCCAGCCAAGUCAUUAAUUUCACAUUGUUUGGCAGCCAUUGUCAAUGGCACAUGAUAUUAGAUGCAUCAAAACCAAAUGAAAAGGAGUACUGUUAGAUGUGAUACAUUACCAAAAUAAGUCCUAUCAGAAAAAUGCAUUUUGAAUGAGAUCACUGUAACUGCUUUUGUCACACUUCAUUUCAUCCUCAUUUGUCAACACCAGCAUCAGAUGUUGGGAGAUGUACAUGGCUUAAUGGAGGCGAAGUGCCAACUAGCAAAGUUUGAAUUCUGUCUGAUAGGGCUCUGUGCUUCCCACAGCUUCAGGCUCUGAAACGUGUCAUGAUACAGGGGCCACAAAACGUAUCACGAUACACACUGAUUUUAGGCGGUGACCAUGUCCCACGUAAUUUACUACAACAGCCGUCUUUUUUUAAAUUUAUUUAUUUUUAUUACUCUGAAUAACCGUAAUAGUAAACAUAGUUCAAUGGAGCCUAUAAUGUAACUCUAAAACAGGGGUGUCAAAGUCAAAUGGACGGAGGGCCAAAUAAAAAAUUUAGCUACAAGCCGAGGGCCGGACUGAUCGAAUGUUCAUUGAAAAUUUUUUAAAUGACGCAUAUAGUCUAGUGUACCUAAUUGAACCUACUGAAAACCUAACAAAUAUAUUCCAAUAUGAUCAGAUAAAUAAAGCAAUAUUUUCUUAUGGCUCUGUCAGUAAUCUUUAAUUUUCAACAGACACAAAAGACAAAUUUCCUUUAUAUAAAAAUCCCCAUAACAUGAACAUUAAAUGAAAGAAACCGGUAUUAUUCAAGGCACCAUGAGUAGCCUAUAUUUUCUAUUUUAGCAAAAGUGGGCUAAAUUUACUUCAAAGAAAAAAAUAAUAAUAGCAAUUUUCUAUCAUCCACUCAACUGACAUAUUUUUAAAAUAUAAUUGGAUUGAAAUACAAUAAAAUAAAGUGCAAAAAUCUAUUAAUCAAAAGCAACACUUUCUUCAAGGAGAAGUAACAUGCAGUGAAAACAAAUAUUAAACUUUAACUUUUAAACUUGAAAUGAAUAAAAAUUCUAAAUAUGUGAUUGCACAGUAAUGUUCACUUAUUUGAGGUUGAGGGUCCAUAUGUCCAUAUUCUUGUUUUUGUCCGCGUGUUUCGUUUCAUAAUGUCGUCUCAGAUUAUACUCUUUCAGUACCGCCACACUUUCUCCACACAGAAGACACACAGGUUUUCCAGCUACCUCCGUGAACAUAUACUCCGACUCCCACCUUGUUUGAAACCCCCGGUUCUCAGUGUCCACCUUCCGUUUUGCCAUUUUUGAUGGGUAUCUGAAAGUUAAUUUUACUGUUAUGCUGACGACCGCUGUGCUAAUAAAUAUUGAAAUGAAGCAGCCUACUGCUUAGUGCGUCACCGUUGCAUUGUGGGAAAUGUAGUAUUGGUGCGUGUAAAAGAUCUGCGGGCUACCGGCUUGCUGCGGUCUGCGGGCCGGUUCUAAUAAUAGAUCGAGAUCAUCCCAGGGGCCGUAAAAAACCUUCUCACGGGCCGGAUGUGGCCCGCGGGCCUUGACUCUGACAUAUGUGCUCUAAAAAAUACAAAGAAUUAAUCUAAAUAGUAGCAAGUGUGACGUUUUAAUUGGACCUGUAUUCAAUUCCUAAACUAGCCUUUUUCAGUGGGAUCACCUUGACCCCCUAGAUGUCGGCACUUGUUCAAACUUAGAAUAGCAACAAGAGAAAUUAAUGGAUUGAAUGGAAAAUGUUGCUCUUUAAUCAGUGCUUGUGAAUUUUUAAAGCGACACUACUCUUAAUGUGAUUUCAUAACAUCUAGAGCACACGUUUGUUUUACAAUAGAGCAUUCAUGUAGACUUUCCUUGUAACGUAUUGAAAGAGUAGGGAUGUAGGGAGAUAUAUAUUAUUUAUGAUACUUUGAUUGUAGAUGGCUGUAAUUCUCUUUUCAGAUGGAUACACACACACACACACACACACACACACACACACACACACACACACACUUUGUCCAGUGUUUUACAUCCUCAUACAACUAACAUGCUGCUGUUUCAGUAAUGAUCUGAUAAUCACACUAAGUAAGAAGCAGCCUGAAGCUGUCAUUAUUGACAGUGCUGUAAGGGUGUAAGUCUUUACAUAUAGAGCAUAAAGCAUGAGGAAGCUUUGUGAUUGUAAUCCUCUAAACCUGUUUAGAAGUUGAAGGAAAUGUUGUGAUGAAAGCUUAGUUCAUUGCUUAUUUAGACAGCAGACACUGGCCCUGUGUGGCAGCCGGUGUACCUGUUGCUUGACUCAUGCUUAACUUUCUUGUGUUAGUAAAUCUCCCAAAUUAUCCCAUAUCCCUCCAUAUUAUUUGUUUAUAUUGGUUUGAGACAUUCACUGCAUCAUGUGGUUUGGCUGCUGUUUCCACCUUUAACUUUUUUGCUCUGCACUGUAGGCUAACCACUCUCAAAACUGCCACCACAGUGUUCCUGCUGCUUUGAUUCUGUAACUUGCACGAUGCACAGCAAGUUGACAUAUUGUUGUAUAGAUUUUUUUUUACCCUGCCUUGCUGUCUGAGUGAAUACGGGUUAGUUCUUUUUUUUUAUGGCAGGUUGUUGAACACAGCAUGGUUAACUUCCUUUUGGUCACAAUUUUGGCUCAGCCAAAACCAAAGAUAUGGUGAUUAAAAACAGUCUGUAACACCUUUUUGGCUCUCUCCCUGCAAUCCAAUUUAGGAGUGUGUGAUUUUCACCCAAAUUAUUUCAUAAAGGCCUGCAUAAAUUAAUGUUCCAGCAUCACCAUUGCACUACAACUUUAUGGCACUAGGUACAAAAGAAAAAGUUGCAAAGUUCUAAAAUCAUGGCAAAAUCUGUCAAAUGCCCUCUAUUUUGAUUUUCAUAGAGAACCUGUCUUGUUUAUGCUUUAUUGAGAUGUAAAAAUGGGAUAAUUCCCUGGGGCAUUUGGUGCUUAAGAUCUCGCUUUUUUAAAUUUUCUGUUUUACGACACCUAAUUGCAGUGCAGUCUUAUUUAAUGUCCAUACUGCAUUGUCCAACAGCCAUGAGUGUUGUCAUGACACCAUUUAAGAGUUGAAAAGACUUACUUCUUUGUGAUAUACUGCAUAACGUUAUUAACUGCACUUGUAUGAUACAAAAUAUACAACGAUUCAGCAUAAGUGAGCUUGUUUGUUUCUGCCUGCCACAUCACUACUCAAGGCUGUGUAAUUCAUGCAAGCAGUAAAACUUUAUUAUAUGCUAUUAAUUGAUUAUAAUAAAAAGCUAGAGCCAGCUAUUUGCCUGCACAUAGAUCAUAUGCUCAACAUCUGGCCUUCAUUGGCCUAAUUAUUGCAAGUAAUGAGAUGCUAAUUUCAGCACUCAUACUGCAUGCAUGAACUGCAAGAUUCAUGUGAAACAGAGCUUUAUGACAAAACUAAUAAAUAAAACAUCUUACUGGUGGUAAACAUUAAGCAAGAGAGGGAAAGAAAACAAAAUGGGGAGGAACACAGGGCAAGAUGAUUAACAGUUCUUUUACAUAAUCAUGCCUGUUCCUGAAGGAUGGUUUCUUUUGCCCCAGUGUUCACUGGUUUAUGAGGAGAGUGAUGGGCCAUUUCAUUACCUCAGCAGUAAAUAAUGCGCAAAAUUAAGCAGCCUUUGAUCAAUUGUAGGGGCCAGCUAUUGCCAAAGAUUUCAUUAUUUAAAAACUAAAUGUCUUCUGAAGUCAGAAUCUGAAUCAGAAUGCCUUUUAUUGUCAUUAUACGCAGUACAAUGAGAUUAAAACCACCCAUAUCAGUGCAAGACAUUAUAAAAAGAUUGAUAAAAAAUAUAGAAAAAUAUGAAACUAGAUUAAUAUGAAGUAUAUACAAUGUAAACAUGUGGACCUGAGAUUCUUUUGACAGGAUAAAUAUGGUACCGAUUUGCAUAGGUGUAAUAUGUAGCAGUAUAAAAUAUAAAGUUCACAGUUCUGAGAUCCUAAUUAACGGAAUAAAUAUUGUAAAUAUACAGAAAUAACAUAAAUGUACUGUGCCAAUGAGUCUAUAUUGUCCUGAAAAAGUGAUGUUUCAUUACUGAUUGAAACGCAAACAAUAGUAAUUUGAUGGUAGUACCAAAGUAGUUGCAAGAUGUCUUCAAGGUAUAACCUAAAAUUCAAAUGGAUAUAUGUUCUGUCCUUCUCUUCGGCCCCACCACAUCAGCAGAGCAGAUAGGUUUCACUUAAGUCCCUGUGUAUGCUCCCACUGGCUCAGCUGCAGUAUAUUUCAGCUCUGUUCCAGCUCUGGUAUUCUUAGCCCUUCACAGCCGAUAUGAACUGCUUCUAUUUUUACCAAACACCAGAGCAUGAUGCAUCAAUCAGUGCGAGGCAGGUUGUGGGAGACAGGAAGCCAGGCACAGAAACAACAAUAAAACAUUUAGUUGAUUUUCAAAAUGAAACACUUCAAAUUGGUAUCAGGCUGUUUUUCACUUAACCAACAACAAACUGCCAUAGUAAGCAGAGAGCCAGGUCUGGAGUUUAAAGACUUUCGAGCUGCCAUAGAUGAAGUGACAAGUACUGUUUUUGGCCUAUGCUAUUGUGGUAACAAGUACACUUAAAAGAUCCUCAAAUAACUUCCGCCUUGUGUGAACUCAUGUUUAAUAGGCUUUUUUGAAUUAGCAUAUUUUCCAACAGGAGACCAGCAGCCAGCUCUGGUCACCAGCAUAGGGUAUGGAGGUAUACUUUCUUAAGAUGACUCACUGUUAUCAUAGGUAGUGGGCAUGCUGCGGCAGAGGCAUUGCUUUUCUCACACUCAAAAGAAGCAGAAGCUGAUACAGUGUCAUUGUAAAUGACUGACAGGUGCGUGUACGUCUCACUGAGCAUUGAUGGUCUGCCGCCUUGUGAAGAUGAAGGUAGUAAUAUUUAUGUCUUCUCAGUCUGGGGCUGCUGCUUUCUCGAUCACUUAACAGAGAGGCACAUUGAGCAAUUUAAACUAGUUAGUGCCAGUAGCAAAUAUUAGGAAAUUCUGAUAUGAUACCACACCUUUAAGAGUAGAAUGUAUUAGAAAAGUACCAUGCAGCUCUUCUACCUUGUUUGAUUCCGUGUCCUAUGUGGGGACUGUGCCAAAUCUGCCUAGAAAAUUAUUUAGUUCAGCGCGGCAUUGUUACAAUUGCCUCUUGUCUCUCCUGCAGUAAGACCCCAGUCUGUGUAAGAAUAUAUCUCUAGAGGCCAUCCUUAACGGCAGGAUAAAUGAGUAAAGCAGUUAAGUGUCAUUUGUCAACAUAGAUACUAAUGCUAUAGCUUUUCUGAGUUCGCUUCACUAUUGAUAAGGCACUGCUAGUCACCCAUUAUUGUGUAAUGGCUGCCAUCUAUAAUGGCUCACAGACAAGAUGUAAAAGACUGAGUGGUGAUAAAGAUAAAUGUGAUCAAACACAGAGAGACAAAACCACCUCGUAACAAUCCAGCAUAGCUUAAUGAACAGGUUCAUAAACACAGUCCUUAUAGUGUAUAGCAAUUUUCAUUUGACACAAAAGAGGUAAAGCAUAUUUGAUAAGUUUUCUUCCUGGCUUACAAAAAGUUGUAGAGCAUGAAGAGGUUAUGAAGCAAAGAAUUUGGUAUUGGCUUUUCUUUCCAUCUUAGCCAUUGAAAACUUUUUCAGCAGUUUAAGCACCAAUGGCCCUUCCAACCCAUGACCCUGUCACCAGUUUACUGGUUUCACCAUUUUGUGUCUUGAACCACUUUUUGAAGGCACUGCCUGCUACAGACUGGUAAUACCCCUUAAGAGCAGCGUUUUUAGAGUAACUCUGAACUGGUCUUCCUACUACUGUUGGGACUUGCAUCCUUAAAGAUCUUCUUUUUUUGUGGUGUAUAUACAAAAAAAAUUGUAAUAUCAGUCAAUAGCUAUUAGUUAUUGAUGACAUUUGAUAAAAUAACAAUAUCGCUGUGUUUUGUUGUCUGUGUAGUCAACAUUUUUAAAUUUUUGCACGCUCCGCUCUUUCUGACUGUAAACAAAGCCGUUCCCCACCUCCCCCAACCUGAUUGGUUGUGAGGGAGAGGCUGCUCCCCCGUGUCAUUCACGAGACCCUGUAACUUUUCUGCUGAACAGGUAAACUGCUUUAGCAAAGUAAGCCAAGUGUCUGUAACAGAAGUGUGUCUUGUCAAUCGGGACCUGCUGCAUGUCGUAGCCAAACUGUUUACCUCAGGUCCUGGAGUUUGUCACUUUCACCUAGUUGUAGAAGUCCUGCAAAAUUUGUUUGCUGGUAGUCUGUUGGCAUCUACAGUAGCACCAAUGCUGUUUACUUUCACGUUGACUAGGUCCUAUUUGUAAUUAUCUGAAGUAUUUAUCUGCAUUAUAUCUGGAUUUAAUUGAAACGAUACGAGCGAGCAGGAGCGUCUGUUUGUGGGAGGGGCUUUCUGGAGCAGAGAGGAGCUGAGGGGAAAACUGGUUGGGAGGGGUAGUGUUUACAUUCAAGAUUUCUCCCCAAAAACUGGCACUUCCUCAGAUCCUGCCUACCCCACCUUUAACCUUGCCUGUAUUUCUUUUUCUACUUCCAACACAUCCAUGUUCACUUCCUGUGAGAAAUAUCACCUGCUGACAAAUGUCACUGGAAGAGAUAAUCAAUGGUACUCACUUCGCCUGUCAGUGGUAAUGUUAUGGCCAAAGUGUACAUUUUAUACUCAAACACUUACACAAAGCAGCCGUUCUAGCCUAAAGGGUAAAAGGGACUGGUUGCAGUAAAGUUAUCAUUAUCCACUUUAUGGUUUGGACACAUUAAAAGGAAUGUAAACUGCAGAAUCGAAUGUGGGCUCCAGUGUAUGUUCAUCUGUGCUGAGUAAAAAUGAGUGGAAAGAGUCUUAAGAUAAUAUCGUAGCCGUAAUUAGUGAUGCAGCACAGAUAAAGGCUCACAUCCUUUUAGUGUUUAUUCUUUUUAUACUAUCCAUCUACCUCUGCUUCUGCAUUCUGAAUUCACUAAUCAGCAGGGAAUCAGGCUGUAUACAAACAGUCCAUUGCUGCCAACUGAUGCUUCAGCUUUAUUUGCCAAGAUUAUAGAUGUGUGCUGCUACGGCUUACUCCAUACACAUCUAAAACUUGGCAAAUAAAACCGAAACCAUCUACACGACUUGGUACUGUCAUAGAUACAAGAGAAAACAUGUUGUUUUCUCGUUUGGAUGAACCACUUUCCCUCUUUAUAAGAUACAGGGUUUACACUCGGUAAAUGUGAAAUUACUCCUGACAGGGUAAUACUUCACAAGAGCAGCUGCAAAGCAUUUAAAAAAAAUCAAAGUAGUCUUCGACUCAUGAAUUAUUUCCCUGGGUUACUGAAGUCUUUGGCACUUGAUCUCUACUCUGUGGAGAGAGGGGAUUUGAAUUGAUGUGACUAAUGUAAAACAAGGCCAACUGUCAGAUGUAAGCCAGUCACUGGAAGUGCACUUUUGCACCCUCCAUUUCCAAGGCAUAAUGAUGCAUAGCCAUCACACUUAAGCCCAGUCUAGUGCCUGCAUGUAGAAAAGGUGUCAGUUGCAGCAAAGAAAAUUAUGCAGUCCACUAGUUCCUUGUCUAGCAUGACAUCUCAGCUGCUCUGUGAUUUCCCUGAAGAAGAGAUGACAUGUUUAUGAGUUAUUCCCCUGAUGGGGCCUACACCUAGGAAUACAUGCUUGUCCUUUCUCCCUGACUUGCCACUCUAUUGUGAAUAACUGAAUAAAGAAGGAUUUUGAAAUAUUCUCUUCAUUUAAUAGCCGAUCUAAGAAACCAUUGUGUCAUAGGGAUCCUGAAAGUGUAAUUUGAAACUGAGGAACGAUAUUCACCAGCUCAUUACUGUUAAAAUCAACUUAACCCUGGUGGUUUGAGCAUUUUGAUCCUUUUUCAUGCAUAUGGAUUGUGAGAUCGAGGCGGCUUUUCGCAAAAUUUUUAUAAUGAUCCCCCCCCAAAUCACCUCAUUUUUGGAACAGGCACACAGAAUUAAUGCUAAGUGCUCAGGAAUGGCAUGCACACAUAAAGAGUUAAUUUUUAAGAGUCACUUGAAUAAGAAAACCAGACUAUGAGUGAUAAUUCUCAUCUGUGACUAGUUAUAGAGUUUUAUAGAGCUCCCAUGUUCAGCUUGAUAUUGUGCCUUCCUUUAGUGGCCACCAGUUGAAUUUUGUAUUUUGUAUUGUAAAGGCAAAACUCACCACUGGUUAUCAGCCGCCUUCAGAAUUAUUUAAAGAAUAGAUUUUAAGGAGACGUAAUUAUUUGGAAAUAUUGAGCAGUAAAGGUGAGCUAACAAUUCUAUAAACUGACAUAAAACAUUUAAGAAUGAAAGCCUUCAUAUAUUCUGCAGUCUCACAUGAAUAAGCAUGGCUUUUGAAAAGAGGAGGAAAAUAACCUGUAAUAAUUUGUCCCUCCAGUCGUGUGGAGAUACUGCUGCGGUGUUCCUCUAUUUGUCACUGUCAGCCCCCAGACUGAGGAUAUGAGAAGACGGCAGAAAGAAUGGGAGCAGUGAGGGGGGUGAGAGCAGUGGUGAGAGGAAGGGGAGUGUGAAGAAAACGCUGAAGUAUGUGAUUAAGAAUAAUGAGUAAAAAAUUGCAUAAAGCCUUCUCCCAAAUCACACAUCAACUCCACGCCUGGCAUUAUCCCUGAAGCAUCUCAUCAGUCCUGGACCAAGUCCCCAUCGUUGUGCAAUGCGCCCACCCACACACACAUACACAAACUCAGCAGUCCAUUAGCAGCUAACACAUGAGCCAACGUCUCGCUGUCUCCUUCUCCUCCUGCUUCUUUUUCUCUCUUUGUAUCUAUCUCGCUCAGUGGAUUUACAUUGUCUUGAAUAGUGAAAGCAGAGGGAGGAACAGGACCUGUCAAGUCUCCUAUCAAUUGGGUGACCCUCUGUCCCUUUGCUGCUGUUCCACCACCCAGGCAAACAUAGCACCGGCCUGCCCGUUAUCUCCAAACCACUGUUUGGAGAAGCAUCUCUAUCUGAACAGUGAGAAAACAUCCAAUGCAUAUCAAUUGGAAGACUCUGAUUUUUAUUUGUUCUGCAUUUGCCCUGUCUUGCUAUAGUACACAGAAAUGACAGCAGGGUCUACUGUAUAAACUCUCAAACCACUUGAAUCUUGUUGGACUUUGGUGGACAAAUUCAAUCUGAAAAUGUUAAACAUGUGAGUCGGUUCUCAUUUUGCCUCCUACUUUGACCUUUGUUACAUAUUUGCAACUACAAGGAGUUGAAAAAGAGCUUUUAAAUAUUCAGGAAUAGUAGCAUAUUAAGUAUGUGUUUAUUUGUUUAUUUGUUCAUUUGGAAGUAUUUUGAAAUACACCCAAAGAACAGGCUGUUGAAUGACUGAUAUGAACACAGGAAAUGAUUUAUUUAUGAAGCUGAAAAUAGUCCUUUAUAUGCUCAUGGUGUACUUAUCAGCCUACUUACAGGCUGCAUUAAUGUUAAACUUAACAUGUUCAUUCACAUUGAAAUGUUAACAUUAGCACACCCCACUGCUGUGAUUCACUUAUUUCCAUUUAUGGGAAAGUCAAAGCAUAAGUGCUUGGUAGUUGGUAUUCUUAGCAAAUGGCUUCAUAUUAUAGCAGCACUCAUAUAAAGUCCUUUCUUGAGUAACUUUUUUUUUAAGUCUGUUGGUAUUUUACUCUCUUCCAACCAGUCUCAAAGCCCAUACAGAGAUUUGUUUGGUAGUUGUCUUGUGUCUGCUUUCUUCAGUUUGGUUGAUGUCUCUUGAACUCAGCGUCUUGCGUGUUUCUUUCUCUGCUGGUUACUGCUCAUUCAUUAAUCACAAAUAUUAAUAAUAAAGCUGGUUCUCAAUUCAUAUUCAUGUAAAACAAAGGUGUAUUUCUAUUAUUGUACAACACAUUGGCACCUCAAUCACAGCAAAAUACUUUUGUAAACCAAAUGAAGUCAAAAUAAAUACCACCUCAGCAUGAUCUGCAGAAAGUAUCCACGUAAAGUGAAUCAACAAACCCAUCAAUAAACCCAUAACUCAGUUUACACUGUUACUCUUGAUCCAACAAUGUUUCCUAUUACUUUCGCAAGCAAUUUUGAGCCAAACAGUUUGAACUUAAUAUGCAACUUGGUGUCAGGGUACACAAAGCAAAAUAGUGAGAUACAUUGAAGUGAUUUUCCUAUUUCCAAAUAUCAGAUCUAAAAAUUCCUUAACAGUCAGUCAAUAUCUAGAAAAUAUAAAAGCAAUUUAUUUCAAACUGCAUGUGAUUGGCUGGUAGAUCUGCUGAGGAUAGACUCUUUGUGUUUGUCAUUGAAGCCUAAAUGUGAAAUGAUUUUUAAAUUUGCUUCCUCAUGCCAAUGUUAGGACAAUAUUUUACAUUAUUGUAAUGCAAAUAGUGUGAUGUUAAAGAAGUACAAACUUAAGCUGUGGUCAUGGCUGGUGAAACGUUACAGCGUUUUUAGGAGUACCAGUCAUCUGCUAAUCGACAACUCUUUUUCCUGAGACAGUCAGAACAACUCAAAUGUCUGCAUCCUGAGACCUAACUAAAGUUGCCAUAUAAAGGGCGAAGUGGCUAAAAAGUGUACUGAUUUUUUAAUUAAGCUGCCAUCACACACCAUCUCCAACACCAGCCAACUCAUACUAACAUGCAGGAAAUGCAAAAAUGAAUGCCCACACUCAUUGUUCAAUAAUAGUAAUGUGUUGAAAUUCAUCAUUUUAAUGCUAAUGUUUAAAAAAAAUUGUAUUGAGAGUGAUUAAAAGCAGAAUUUGUCUUUAUAGCAAUUUAUAUUCUUGGAUCAUUGCAGAAAUGUCUAUUCCUUAUCCAGUCCUCAAGUGUUUUGCUCUGUAUUUCCUCUGCCAAACCAAUCACCUAAGCAGGACAUCAGGUAUUAAAAGUGCCAAGAGGAUGGCAAAACAUCUGUCAACUUCAUCAUCUUACUCAUCCAGUGAACAGUGUCCCCUCUUCAGCCCUGUUAAAGCUCCUUCACCUUCUGCUUCCAUCAAUUUCAGUUUUUCUUUUUGGUUUUUCAGUUGAAUUUUCUCAUCUAAAAGAGAUGAUCAAAAUCUUCUCUCUGCUGCCAUCAAAGUCAAGUCAAGUCAACUCUGUGUAAAAGACUUCUGCACAUAAGUCAGAAUAUGUAAGCUAAAAUUGGUAAUUCAACAUUCAACCUCAGUAACACUGAAUUGAGUGGAUUUUAAAAGGAGGAUAAAGUUUUGUGCAGGAUGGAUUGCUGCUUAUGUGUGACUCCAAUUCAAAUGUUAAUAAAAUGCUAAGUUGUGUUUACUAAUUGACAGUUACAUCUUAUUUAUCCUAGAUAGAAUAUGUCUUUCCAUUUUUACUGAAAAAAACUAUUUUUACAAAUCCGAUAUCCACAAGUAAGUCUAGGUGCAGCAUGUAUGAACUGUGUAGCAGUUCUGUCCUUGGUCUGCAUAGAGUUAAACAUAUGCAUUUCAAUCUAAAAUUCACAGCAAUGAGUCUGAGCAAUGUGACCUUUCCUCAGUUAGGGAACAAUAUAACUCCCUUCAGCUUCCACAGAUCACACACUUUACAUACUCAUUUAGGGGAGAUAUUUCAAGUCAUCAAUGCAGACAUCUGAGACCCCACACUCAGCAGUAUGUCAGAACCAGGCCUUGUCAUCCCAGUCUUGAUGUAUCACCCAUAUUGGCGAAUUUAAAAAAUACAUAAACAAGCAACGGCCUGUGUUAAAACAUCAUGCAUGCAAUCAGAAACAGAUAAACAGAUACACUAGUCAACAUUAAUUGUACCAAAUGGUUUGUGCUUGUUAACACUCUAAAAACAGUCUGUUGGUAAGUUAAUCUCAAUUAGAAUCAAUUAGCAAGUUUUUUUUUUUUUUUUUUUUUAAUGGAUUGAUGUAUAACUCAAUUUCUAAUCGUUUAUUUCAGUGACAGAAAUUCAAUGUCACAAAUCAUGCCAGUAUCUGACAUUUUCUCAGACCUCCUUUUCUGUCUCAGCUCAGAGGCUGAAUAUUUUUUCAGCCAGCUCAUAAAACUGUUUUAAAGUUCAGUUAAUCCACCAGAAGCUGUCAAAAUAAAAUGUAAUCUCCUGCUUGUGGUUUUCAAGCAGUUUAUGGUCAAGCUUCUUCUUCCCAAAGAUGAACUAUUUAACCGCCUUAUGUCCCUUUUAUUGAAGCAAUAUUUAACUUUAUGAACAUGGAUCCAAAUUAGAAAAAGAGUAUGUACAUAAAGCUUUGAAAUUAAAUGUAGAAAAAUCCAAACACAAGUAGAAUAGUAUUACAGAUGCCUAGAAAGUUCAGACCCAAAGAAAUUGAAAUGAACAGAAACAAUGGUCCGUGUAGUAGCUACUGAAUAAAUGUAAAUUUUAUUUUUUUGUUUUUAUCAAUAGGAGUUUCUCAGCUACAGCACAGGAUCAUUAGCACCAUGCCUGACAUGACAGAACAGUGGGGCCUGAAUUGUUCUUGCACAGAGCGACUGCGUUGUAGAUUUUAUGUUUUGAUGUGCGUCUGCGUGUGUCUGUGUGUGUAUUCAAAUCUGUGUAUGCGAGGAAGCAAGGAAUAAAUGUCAGAAUCUGAGUCACUUUGAGGGUCCCACGGAGUGUCAAGGCGCUCACUGCUGUUGGUAUAAUUGACUGGAAGGAUUUCAUUUUUCUGUAACAGGCAGCAGGACAAGCUUGAAAUACCUUGAGGGGGUCAAAUUUAGCUUGAACAGCUUUUCUUCAUAUUUAUCAUGACCUAAAUAGAAAACACAAAGUCAUUUUUAUGCCUGGAUGUAUUUUUGGAAACCUCCAUGGUUGUCUGCCUGGAAAUGAUAGUUUAGAGCUAUAAUGGCCCGAAAGGUAUAAGUAUUCUAAUCAUGAGGUCUGGAAAUAUUGGGCCCAGGGGAAGUCAAAAAUAUGAGAGUGACAUUGUGCCCCGACAUGCAGAAGAAAGGAACAAAAAGAAAGUUUCCGGCAGGUACUAUCAGCCCCCUGGGGAGAAACCAUUGUGAGGUGUCCUUAUAGGCACUAUCUAUCAGAUGCUGCUUCUGGUGCUAGAGGCAGACUGUAGGGAGAGCUGAAAAAAUCCUAAACAAUUCAGGUGAAGAAUUUUCCCUCAUGUCUUCUCUCUUUGUUUUGAACUCUUUUUUUCCCUUUUGAAUGAAAUAUUGAAAAAAGAAAAUGCGGUCUUAUAAAUAAUGCUUGGUUCUUUUGAAAACUUUUAAUGAUUCAACAUUGUUUGCUGAGGUUUUUGAGAUAGCCACUAGCCUAUUAUUUGUACUUAUUUUUCAGCUGCAUUUAUAUUUUACCCAGUUGUGUGUGUGUGUGUGUGUGUGUGUGUGUGUGUGUGUGUGUGUGUGUGUGUGUGUGUGUGUGUGUGUGUGUGUGUGUGUGUGUGUGAGAGAGAGAGAGAGAGAGAGAGAGAGAGAGAGAGAGAGAGAGAGAGAGAGAGAGAGAGAGAGAGAGAGAGAGAGAGAGAGAGAGAGAGAGAGAGAGAGAGAGAGAGAGAGAGAGAGAGAGAGAGAGUACAUAUCCUUGUGGUGUAAAACACAAACAGUUUAAUCAUGCCUGCAAACCCUAAUGCAGCGUUUCAGAGCACUAAGGCCCGUCUGGGGAGCCCGGACUCCCAACUGCGUCUCACAUGAGCAGUCCAGUAAAAUUAGUUGAUGAUUGAUCCCACUCUAGUGGGAGUGGGAUGUUUUUUUUUCUUCCUUUCUCUUACUUCUAAAUAGAUAUUGUAUUCAAAUAGAAGAACAACCAUUGACUCUGUAAUCCCUGUGCAACUGUAGCUGACGAGCAGCAAAAGUCAAGUGUUGUAUUUGUCUGUGUGCCACGCUUAUCUCCUCUGGUCCCCACAGGCCUGGCUUGUCAAUGUCUGUAGCUUGGAGCUACGCUUAGCUGUCUCUGAUAUUAAAGAGCACUAUCUCUGAGGUGGCCAUUUGGGGAGACAGGUUUCUUUUCAUUCCAACAAAGACACUCCGCCAUAAUAUUGUGACUAUUUUUGCCUUGUCAUCCUGAAUGCUCUUCUCACUGAAUACAGGCCGAACAUUUGUAGUCUUUAUCUGGAGGUAUGGAUUUUGCACUCAGUCUGCCUUUUGUGUAACUUCCUUUUUAUAUUGCUCAUGGCAUUUUAGAACAUUACCUUUAAAAUCUUUCUUCAAUACUUAACAAAUUAAAACACAAUAAAUGUACAAGUAAGACCAGGGUAUAAAUUUAACAACUACGUUUUCAGCAUAAUCUCCUAAUUAUAUUUUUGCAAUAUUAUAGUGAAUACCUCUGAUAAUUCUGAAGAAAUGCUAUGGUUGUUUCAUCCUUUUGAAAUUCUCCAUAAAAAUCAGCUGCCCUGCGUGAACCAAUUAAGCAGUAAUUACAAAAGCAUCUAGUUUUAUCUCUACUUGUGUGAGUCCAGUGGUCUGUUAUGUACUUAUUAAAGUGAAUUAUCUCUGAUAAUCAGUCUAAUCGGGUUUCAGCUCAUGUUAGCAGGCUUCCUGCUGGGUGCUAAUGUCUAAUUACACUGGAGCACGUCUUGAUGGGAAGGGUGCCCCGCAGCCCCUCGGUGUUUCUGCUAUGCUGCUCUCUAUCCUUGUCUGAUCACACUGGACUGUCAAGUACACAUCACGGCCAAUCACUGAUGAUGAGGAGUGGAUCAAAGCAGCCAGAGAGAACCCGAUCAAAAAGAUGGCGAGUUUGGGGAGCAUGUUCCUGUGAGAUCAUAUUUUAACCCUGAAGUUGACCUUGACGCCCUGAAGAUGAGUCAUUCAUACACUUUGCUGCUCCUGCUCAUAUAGAGUGAGUGUGUCCAAUGUCAGGAAUAAUUCCCACCAUUUUUUGUGUGUGUGGCUGUUCCUAUGUGAGCACAUGUAUGGAAUACUGAGGGACUACAUUAGUCUGUGUGUUUGGUCAGGACUCGUGUGUGGGUGUACUCUCUCCACGGGCAAUCAAUAAGCUCUGUAGCUAUAAAGAGACAUGCAGAGAAGUUGUUAAAUAGUCACAUUAACUUUAACAGCUGCAGACGGGAAUAAAAUGCAACUCUAGACAAGAAAAGAAAACUUUAUCUACAUGCUCCUAAAAGUAAUGAGGGCUACAAAAAGGAUGCAUUUACUUUUAUAUUUAAGGCAAUCCAUCUUACCUAGACAGGCACAAGAACUAUAGUCUGCAUAUUAAAGAAUAUUAAAAAUAGAAAAAAAAUAGUAUGAAAAAAUAACUCCUUGUCCAGGACAGAGAUUUGUGUUUCACCUACUGUUGUCUUUCAGCAAAAUAAAUUGAGUGGAAAUCCGCUUUCAAGGCUGGUCAUUACAGAGGUAGGUAGAGUGAUUUCAUGGCAGCAGAUUGGAAAAUGGCCUUUUGUAGCAACUCCAUUUACAUAGAGAAAUGCUGAUGGUUCACAAUAACAAAUGUGCCGUAGUCGACAGAGAGCCGCUCUGCCCGUUGUCUUUCACUGACACUUGAUAGUAGUGCACGUACAAUUAUGCAUAAUGCACUAAUGGCGGUUUCUCAUAACUGUCAGUGAAGCUGUGGGUAAAGUGUUUCCUUUGCAGACAACUUGAUGCUAGGACUACCGCCGGCACGUUUUGAUUUUGCUGACGCCAGUACCCUUGACAACAAAAUAGCAUUGUAUCAGCUGAACGUCUGCCUUGGCUAUCCUUGCAAAGUUAUUGAAAAAAGUUUAAAAUUACUUUUUGAGACUGGAGUGUUGGAGUUUUCUGUGCUUACUGGACUGAAAAGAUUGUUUCAGUGUUACAAAAAUGAACACAGUGUCAUAUCUGGCUUUUAAGUGGUUGAAGUUAUUGAACAGUAUUUUUUUUUUUAAGGUAGAUGAGGGUCGAAAUCCUUGUUUGACUAUCUUUAAGUGUGAUGUUUCUACAACUGUAAGGAGCCAUGCACACAUCAGCACACCAUUAAAGUAUUCAUGGAGAUAUAUAUUUCAUGCUGACUGGUCCUUAAGGACUUGAGCAGGACACGUUAAUGGGGAGAAGCAACCAUUACAACAACAAGCUGAUGAAAAAUUGAUCAUGUUUUCUUGCUUAACCCUGUUAACUGUGUCAGAAGGUAAUUAGCAGCAACAACUGUUAAAAUACAAAUUAUACUGAAUUGCUCAAAACAAAACAAAAACAUGGGCUCUCUGUUCACAAUUUUCCUGCACAGCACACUUGAAACUUAGAAAAAUCAGAGGCUCAUAUUCUUUCUGGAGCAAUGCCCACAAGCUAGUUCAGGCGCGCAACCCGAGCUGCGCUGAUCUCUCAUUUUCCUGUGCUGUUCUCAAUCACCUGACAAGUACCCUCUCAAUUAGGUGGUGUAUUUAAGGUUUUGUAUUUGUUGUCCAGAAAAAUGAAUCCAAAAAUCUUCUCUGUCCUGUUUCACACUUUUAAAACAUCACUGGGGAACUUCUCACUUCUUUGCAUUACAGCUGACAUUAAAUACUAAAUAUUGUUUUCCCUGUUUUUUCCCUUUAAUUUGUUUGUAUUUGUGAUAUUUAUGAUUUUUGCACUUACUGCAAGUUGUUGGGUUGUUGGUGCAACAAGUCUAAGAUGUGAUCAACUUCAACCAUGCAACCUUCUUUGCCUCUGCCAUAAGGUGACAGCUUUGUUACCACAUGAUAGACAUAAUAGCCAAAGGAUAAUAUCAGUCAGAUUAUUUGUUCUUUGCCAAUGCAGUAAUUUUAUCCAGCACAGUCAGUUAUAUACUAGAGCUCUUGUGAAAAACCUUCAGUUUGCAUCUAAUUAAGUGCCUUUUAUGAAUGAAGUGUCGUAACCAAUUGUGAAUCUUGAAAUUUGUAAGCUGUACGUGUUAACACAGAAUCUCACCCAACUUUCUGAUAUCAGUCGAAUGUGUCAUUCAUUCAGAAGGUUUCAGAAAACCAUCAAGAAAAUAACUCAGUGUGAUUGGAGGGAAACUUCAUUUAAGAGCAGAGAAUAGACUUAAAGGCCAAAUAUAAAGAAUAUACUUUAUACUUUAUUAAUUUUAAAUAAUUUUCCUAAGCACUUCAAAUACACUGCAUUUAUUUGGUAAACAUUUCUGAAUUGUUCAUAUCCCAAAAUAUAAUGCAGAAGAAAGAGAUAAAUGACAAUGUCAGUAUUUUUUUAUCAUGCAGCCUUAAUAUUUAUUUUAAACAGAUAUGUAAAAAAACAGAUAAAAAAACAUCCUCAUAGCAGCUUUAAAAUGACAGUCAGAGAUACAAUGACACAGUAAAGGGCAUGUGAAUGAUAAAUAGCAAGUGUACAUUAGUACGAUAUAAAAUGUGAUAUGAUGUAAAAGAUUAAGUAUACCAUUGGGUGCACUGUGAAGCGCAAAUACCAUUAGCUGCAAUGUAAGGUACUGCAAAUUAAAUUACAAAGGUUAAAUAGUAUUUGACAGUGUAUAUAUAUAUAUAUAAUGCAGCAAGAUAUUAAAUAGUAAAAGUAUUCAAAAGUAUGCUAUAAAUGCCUACACUAUUUUUAAAAUAAUGUAAGUAGCACAAGACUUAAAUAUAAAAUCAUACAAUUUUUUAAUCAUGCCUAUAUUUUUUUUAUUCAUUUAUUUUUUAUUUCGUAAUCCAUUUUUUUUGGUGCCCUAAAAAAGUAAAGUUUUUUUUCUUUUUUUUUCAAACUUGUUUCUCAUUUCUGAUGUACAGUAAGUCCAACUAACAUUACUGAAGCUUUUGUUGUAUCAAACAUAAUCAAAAAGAAAAUUUCAAAAAUCCUCUUUGUCUUGUUGGAACCAAUCCAUGUGGCGACCCCAGUAUUUUAAUCACGGCCAGAGGAAUGUUGUCGCCUGUGUGUCAUGAAGUCAGCCGUCGAGCAAAGAGCACUCUCAGCCUCAAAGUCACUGAAUUAGAAAUCCACACACUGCCGUCCUUAGAAGAAAAUGUUAUUUAUUUAUUCUGGGCCUCCCUUCGAGUCCAUCUCCAAAAUCACACAGCCCAACUCUGGGGGUGCGAUGUCUCUCAAUAGUUUCCACUCCACUGUUCACAGUUCAAAUGAGUUUCUCUGAAGAUUUAUUCUUCACAGCUAAUCACUUGUAACUUGGACUGAAUUUGUACAGUAAGUCACUCUCACUUGCAAUUUACAGAAAAGAGAACAAAAAAAACACGACUGAAUCAUUGCCUUGUGUGAGGUGAUCGCUUCGAAGUGAUUGGAUUUCUCAGACAUCUCCCCCCAAAUGUAUAAGCCCCUCACUGCUUUUUAAUUUAAAAUUAACUUCAGGUUUUCUGUCUGUAACAAAAACAGGAGCAGUAGUGUGUGCUCCCUUUGCGGGCAGGGUGUCUCUGUCUCUCCCCUUCCUUCUAAUAUGUUUAGCUUGUUCAGUGCCAUCAGUUACAUGUCUGCCAAGCAUCACACGUCGUCAACUUGCUCCCAAUGACGUCCCACUGUUCUGACCAUUGAUUGGCAGGUCAAGCAGCGAGCGCGAGCAGGAAAUCAAUAGCAGAGGACCUCUAGACAGUACAGGGGUAGUCUUCAAGGAACUGGCCUGCUGGACACUGCCAAUCACCAAGCACAAAAUGUAAGGCCAGCCAGCCAUGAACAAAAGCUAUCUGCAGGCUGAAACACAGAAGAAGAAGAAACAAAGAAGUUUCUCUAUUACAGGAACAAGGACAAAGGACUGCUAAGGUUUUAGAAAUAUAUUAGCAUCACAUUUGCUCAUUUAUAUGCUAAAACAUAAGUGGGACCUUGGACCUUUGGGAUUCAGCAUUGCCAAAUGUAGGCUUUUUAUCUUAACAUGCAGUUGCACCAGGUCUGACAGUCUAAGCAUGACAGAGCAAGCUUAUUAGCAUCUAGUCAGCCAUUUCGACCAAGUGGGAGACACAGGAGUCACAAGCGGAGUGUACACAGCUAUAUUCACCCUCCAGCCUCCUUAAAAGAUGGCCUGAGGGACCCUUAAGGCUUAGUGGAGUUAUGCUUUGUCCUCCUUGGUGAUGCUUUCCAUUUUUUUCUCAGACACGCUUUUGGAUACUGUUGGCGAAUCACCAAAACAAACACUCAACUGACACCACUGACAAUAAUUCUGGAGCAGAUUCCAAAAUAAAACCUGAAAAGGAAAUGGCAGCGCUGUGAAUUUAGCACUGACACUCUCAUCUGCCUCCCUGACAGAAACAGUGUCGGAGAAUCGGCUCUCGGACCCAAAGGAUCUUUUUUUUCUUCUUCUUCUUUUCACAGACAGCAUGCAGUUCUCUUGGACAGACAUAUUUUAAUAACAGUGCACUGCCAGAGCCAAGAACACUUUGUUCUCGUUCUUCCUCUUGUCCUCAAGCAGCUGAGUGUUGGUUGUGUUCUACGACCCGUGCAGUUUUAUCCUCUCUGCCUACCUCAAAGCCAGUGACCUUUGACCCCGGUCAUUUAUUUCUCUCGUCAAAACAGUUUGAGAUGAUUCAUUGUGCACAAGCUCAAGGUUGUGAAGCUGAUAUAAUAGUGGAAGCAGGCCCAAGUGUGAAUUCAGUUUUUGUCGAAUGUAGAGCACAUGUUGUUUAAAUAUUCACUACAGCCAUUAAUUUACACUAAUUUAAGAUUAAUGGUUAAUGCCCCACAGACUGUAACGUCAAGCUUUUCUUUGAAACUACUGCUAUAUCUAAGCAUUUAUACAUGUAGGGGCUUUUUCAUGGACUUACUGUAUGUUUGAAGGAAAACACAAUUAAAAGUAAUUUCCCUGAAAACGAGGUAUAAUUUUGAAAUUGGCAAAUAUCUCAGAAUUUUGUUUGUUAGGUUGAUUCACUUGUUCAGAAUAAAAAUAGAAAUACUGUGACCUUGCUUGCCGUCCCUGGUAGUUGGCAACACAUUUGCAUGUUUUUUUUUUUUCAACUGUCACCUUGGGUUCCUGCCAUACACCUGCCUUUCUCCAUGCCACUGACACACACACAAACACAAACACACACAAUGCAUUUCAAUGGUAGCUACUGGAAUUCAAAAUGCAUCUGAACUUGCCUUUGCAAAAGAAAAACCACAGCAGAAUAAAAAAUACAAAAGGUUGUAGAAUACAUUUGGCAUAAACAUUACACCCAUGUACAUAACCUUUCCCUCAAACACCUUCAGCAAUGUAUCGACGAUCAAGUACAAAUCAUAACCCUCACCUCACCUCUGUGCACACAGAAGAAUGGUGCUGCACUCACGUUGAUUCUAGUGUCCCUGACAAUGGCUUCUUGUCAUCCUCUGCCCAUCUUUUUACGAUCUCUUGUUUCUAGAGUUAAUUCCUAAUGCUGUGUGGAUGGAUGUUGCACCGAGCUCUUGCCUUCACUCCACAUUUCAAAUGUGGAUGUUUGUGAAAUGGACUGGAAUGAAAUGGAAAAAGAGCCUGUGUCUUAUUUCCCCUUCUCACCAGCUCCCUUCUCUCACUUCAGUUUCAUUUUCUCCCCGGUUCACUCUCUAGCUGGCGAUUAAUGAUAAAAUGUCCAGCAUUUGAAACGGUGUCUUCCUUUGCCUUCAGUGACUGCUCAAGACAGGGUGAUAAUAACAGCAGCUGAAAUGGGUAAAUUAUACCAAGGACUGUGACAAAGUGGUCUCACUUAGCUGUUAAAGCCGGUACUCAGGCCACUCACAAGUCACAUAGUUAAGAGGCUUUGAGGCUCAAUCUGUCCCUUGACUAUUUCGGAUACUUUGAGUUUUUGCUUUCUUUCUUUGGUAUUCUCUGGCAUAUAUAUAUAACCUGGAGGAGUUCAGUAAAAAUUUUGCAUCCUCUAAGGGGCAACACACCUGGGCAGCAUGUGACAUGUGUCAAAACAUCUGCAUGUUCUGUUAUUUUCCUGGCUUCAUGACGUGUCACACCAAGUUGAUGCAUGUCACACACGUCAGGAUUUGACACUCUUAUUUCCCAACACCACCAUGCAUCAGCUCUCCACAAAAGUAGUCAUUUUAUCACACACAGCUCCCUAGAAACUCGCAUCUACUUAUUAUACAGCUGCUAUUAUUCUGUCUGUAUGCCGUGUCCACUGUUUGCUACAGGCAUCUAAUGACACAACAGUGCGUGACACAGCCUGAGUGUAUGGCCCUUAUGAAUUGUCAAACUGUGACAUCGCUGGUUGCUGCACAAAGUCCCGCCGAUGCAGACAUGCCUAUUACAGUACAGUUACAAGCUUGACAUACAGCAUGCUUAUUCACCUCAUAAGCUUUCCAUACCUCUGAAAAGAUUCCUGCUAUACUGAAAAGAGCCUUGAGGACUUUUGUAGUUACAUGUAAGGUUGACCUGUAGCUUUCGAUUACAACAGGGGAAGCAGAAAAAUAAGAAAAAAAAUAUCUUUGUGCAUGUUUGUGUCUUAAUUUAGAGAUGUUUUGGUGCUCUUUAGGCAUAAGAUAAGAUAUUCCUUUAUUAGUCCCACAGGGGGAAAUUCCAAAUUUACAGCAAUGAUGAAUACAAAAGAGAAAUUAAAAGAUGAAGAAAUGUAGGAGUUAAAUAUAAGAUAUAUGUACAUGUUUAAAUAUCACAGUUGGAAAAUUUUAGAUAUGACUAUAUACAUGGAAUAUGCAUCCUGUCCCUUAUGGAGCUCCUUAGUGCAGUAAAAUGAAUUAGAGAAAAAAGACGCAAAAGAAAUAGAAAAAAGAGGAUAAAACUCCUUAGAGUUCGCAGAGUUGCUGUAAAAGGCUGUCGUUUGUCCAGCGCCGGAAGUCGCCAGGCGUCCUUAUAUUCCUAUUCUGUGUGAAGCUGCAUGCAAUUUUAGAAUCAUUCUCAGUAUCAUCUAUUAUCAUGGAUUUAGCUUUUUGAAUAAUAUCAGUGAGUAAGAAAAGCUCUACAUUCAAGAACAAUUCCAGGAAUCAUUGUAGUUAGCCAAAUCUCAUGAGGGUACAGUGUCACAUUAAAACAGCAUCUUUAUUCCUCUGUUAUGAAUAAUGGCUAUGAGCUCCAGCGUGUAUGUGUGUUUUCUGUUUCUUUAUUUCUCUGGCCACUGCUAUUUGAAACAAUUAAGGCAUUUGUCAUGAAUUCCUGUGGGGUGAUUUGUUUGUAAUGUGUGGGAGUAUCUGUAACACUGCCUGAAAUAAUACUUAGAGCAUUAAACCAGAAAUGCUUAUAAACAGGCUUAUUGAUUCCAAAUGCUGAUUCUGUCCUCAUGUUUUUGUUUAGGAAAUAAUUUGAUUGUUUCCACUGCUCAUAUAAAUAAAAAUGUAGUUAUAAAAGACUGUGACAUGCUGUAACAAUUAUGUUCGGAGAAUUAAUCAUAACCAUGUUGGUUACAGAUUUCACACUUUGGAAAAACAUUACACAGCAAUGAUUUGCUUCAUUUAUCUCAGAUUGGUGUUCUUAUUCUGUGAGUGAAAGUGGCAGCUGUGAAAUCAAACCAUCUCAUAUACAAUGACACAAUGUUAAAGAACUUACCUUUAUCUUUGUAAAUCCAACAUCUUCAGCAAUGGGUCCAUUUGGGGGUUUUAAAGCAGUAUUUUAGUGUAAAAGAUGAUAUUGUUAAGGUUUGCAGAGAGGGGCACUCAGUUAUUUAAAACUCAGCAAUCACAGACGACGGUUAAAGAUCUCAGUUGAAUCUUAAUUGCGGUAAUAAUCACCAGCCUUACCCUGUGCUUCUUUAUCUAAUGCAACAAAAACCAAAAUCUUUUCACACAUCUUAAAUCACCGAACAGUUUUUUCCAGAUGACAGACAAAAGAAACAGUGUCUGCCCACAGAUCAGGGUCAGGAGAUCACCAGACAAAAAGAAAAAAAAGAGAAAGAAAACAGUCAAUCUUUAUCUCCUUUUUAAAGUGGAAGCCAAAAAACAUCAGCUCCCAAACUCCUUGCUGACAAGCCAGGGACUCCUCAGACAAGCAGUGUGCUGACAGGACAAUGUUUUGGUGCUCCGGCCUGGAGAUUUCCCUCUUCUUUGGCUUCAUUUCAGCCUGGGAGCCACAUGUCAUGGGUCAAACAGAAGAAAAUACUUAGCCGCUUGUUAUUCCUCUCUGCUGGCACUCGGAAAGGGAUCUGGUGAGAGACAGAUGAGCCUGUCUCUCUGAGCAGAAAGACAGACAGUUGAUGAAACACCCGGCCUUUUGUUAUUCUUUUUUUUUAUGAUAUCCGUGUGUGUAAAUCGCUACAGGGACACUUCUAAGAAUUAUUAAAUGAUUGAGUUUGAAGUAGCAGCUUGGAGACAAACAUUUCCAGGAAUAAGACAGAAUGAAGAACUAACAUUUCUCUUGCUGACUGUGCCAGCCUGAAAGGCUUUGAGCACAUUACCAAUAAAUGUACCAAAGUGUCAGAGCAGUUACACAACAUUCAAAUCAUGAAAUAUCAAGUAUUACAUUUUUUAUUGUUUUUUAACAACAAGAUAUAAAAUGAUGAGCUUUGACACUGAAACCCAAAUUCAACUGCAAAACUGGGUUUCGUAACUUCACUUGAUUCUUCAGCGAGUUGUUGUAAAAACAGGGGAAGUAUUGCGUGAUGUUAAUCUGUGAUUAUUUAAUGUGUUAAGAUGUGUCACAACAACUGUAGUGUUGGUGCACUAUUAAAGAGCAACUUGAUUCAGAAUGUUGGCAAAUAGUUUCUGCACCGUAAUUGGCCAUAUUUAUUAAUAAGUAAGUCUAAAAGCAUUGAUUUUGACAGUGGAGGGGGAGCAUCUCGCUGUGCAGUAGCAGGACCUCAUGCUGCUCCCUGCGAGCAGGACUCUCGCUGUGUAGCAGUGAUUGCAACAUAUCCCUCUGAUUACUGUCAGUGAAUGUUAUGAGGUGUUUUCUGAUUGGGCUGGCUCCGGCUCCAGGGUUCACUCUAAGGGCUUCAUGGGAAUAUGCAAAGUGCUCUGCAAAGUAAACCUCCAUCUUAAAUACAAUGCCGACGCAGCCACUUCUGCUUAGAUUUUGUGGGCAUAAUUUGACACAGAUGCUGGGUCCGUCACAAAAGGCAGAGGAAAACACAUUAGCAAGAAAGAGGCCAGCGUGUCCUGCCAGCCGGAGACAAAGAUGUUUGAGGAUUGUGGUGAGACCAACAAAGGAUACCUCUUGAUUUUUCUCAGUAUUAUUGCCUUGUUUUCUUCUCACUGGUGUGAGUCUUACCAGUAUAGUUGCUCCAUCAAGGUAUAGUUCCAGAAAACCCCAUUCAUUAGUUGUUUUGUCUUGGUUUUGAUCAACUUGUCCAGCUCUGGGAGUUUCCUCCGCUACCAAAACAGUCACAUCUAAGAGGGCAAAUUCCAGCUCUCUUUAUUUUUCUGCCCAUUUCCGAGGGUUCAAAUACCACCAUACACUGUUACACUUGUAGUUUUCAUCUCACGGUAUCUUCAAAAACAAGGCAAAGUCAAGGAGUGGGGAUAUACAGUAUCAUCUUAGCCUCCUUAUGAUGUUGUUCCACCUCCACAGGCAAUUGUCAGAGGAUUACAUACAUGCUGGUAUACAUAGAGCCCUCGGAUGAUAUUUUCAUUCCUUUGUACUGUGUGUGUUUCUGUAAGUGUGUUUCCAAUUAUUUAAAAUGUAGUCAGUAUUCCCUUUUCUUAAGCCAGGGACAUUCACACAUUAAAGAGAGUAGGUCGCCACAUGUUGGUGUUAUCAGUUACUGGUAAACAACUUGAGUUUAACCUGUAUAAUGUUAUUAAAUGGGUAACUGUAGUGCAGACAAAUUCAAAUACACGUCUCCACCAUCAUCUCAUCUAGCUAUUUUUUUUUUCUUUUCACUUCCUCAGCCGAAGCUGGUCAUUCAAUCUGAAAGCAAUUUAGCCCAUUAGCCUGAUGUUUAGGAGGCCAGUUAAACCAUGCGCAUCUACUUUGCAGCCUUCGUACUGAACUGUAGGGCAAUUUGUUUGUUGAUAAUACAGGCAGUGUUUCUCUGAGUUGGAAACGAAGCAUUUCUGACAAUAAUGCAAACAACAACAGGAUGUAUGGACGGAUUGUGCAAGAGCUCGUUGAGCAGCAGGAAACAUUUACAGAGAUCUCUGCAAGGUUAAUUGGCUGGGGUUACAUUGAAUGUUGUAAGCUCUGUAAUUAGUUCAGUACUUAUUCUGUUCUGCUAUUGUUUAAGUUACCAAUAACUACGGCGGUGUUUACAGUUACUCCAACACAAGCUUUGCAAUGCCUGUUCUUAUUGUUUGCACAGUCUUCUCUUAAAGCUCUUGUGUUGGCCUACACAAGUAAACAAGGCCAUCCCAUAAAGAGAGAUUAUUUCUAUCAUUUUCAAUGUCUGUAUCGAGUGGUGUGGGUUGGUGUCGGCUUACGUGGUAAAUUGCAUACCUCAGAAAUAGCGGUCUUCCUUUUACAUUCCCCAAGGCAAAGAUUUUAAAUGAGUCAUACAUAAAUGUGUUAAAUGAAGCAGGGUUUCUUUCUGUCUUUCUUUCUUUUUCUUUUCUUUUCUUUUUUUUUUUAACAAGAUAUCAUUAAAAAACGCACAGGGAAAAAUAAGGAAAGAACUGAGAGCUAUAACUUUGUCCACAGGGGGCGCCAAAAUCAACCCAAACUGACAGCAAGUGUUUUAGAAAUGGACAGUUCAGUAAGUGUGACUGUCAUGUGUUGACACUUAAGGGCAAAAAAAUACCUAAUUUGAGUAAAAGCUGCAUAUGUGUUUCAUUCUGAGAUAUAUUCUAUGAUUUUCUUUAUUCUUGCAAAAUUCAUAUAUAUUUUUCAAGGGGGAGAUAUAUUUAAGGCAUGAAUGGCAAUAAAAUGAGAAACAUCUGCAUCAACAUUAGACAUUUCCAAUACAAUCGUAUUCUUUUUUUUUCUUCGAGUGCUUGAAAGAGUCAGUGUUCAAAACAAGAAAAGGAUUAAAUUAACUUUUGAAUCUUUAUCAAGUGACUGUCACAGAUGCUGGAAGUCUUUUUAUUUCAUUAGUGAAACUUAUCAAAAAUAUUUUUACCAACCGCUGCCUACCUCACCACCAGUGAACAUUUUAAUGACUUCAUGCUAGCUUAUGGAAACUCUUGCUAAUUAUUGCACUUUUGAUUUGAGACUUCUCUCACUCAGGGGUUAUUAAACUGAAGUGUUUUCUGCCACUUUAUCCACUUAACAGGGGCACUGAACUAGUGUAUAUGGAUGAGAUGUUCAUCUCUAUUAAAUGAGCGUUGUGAUGAAGUAGAAAAAAGAAGUUCUUCAAAAAGACAACAUUUUUUUGUCAUUAUUGCAUAUGAAUGAAUGAAUGUACAUUUAGAGGAUAAAGAUCCUUUACAUUCUUAGCUGAGAUUCCUCUGGCUCAAUUGACCCACAGUACAACAUGAAAACCAUUUAUCCCUGCUAUCCGAUUGCGUUCUAUGUACUCUGUUCUCCAUGUGAGGGGUGUUUCAUUGCUUUAGACACACUCCCAGCUUUCAGGUAGAGAGUCAUCAAUCACUGGCCUUCUUCUGACAUUAACUUUUUUGUCAAUGCCACUGUCUCCAGUUUGUCUGCAGACUGAAAGAUUUGAGAGGCACUUUUUAUUUGCACGCUUUUAACUCCGCCCAGCUGGGGUAAUGGAGCUGGUUGUGUGCAAGCAAUUAAUGCAACCACAAUGCCAAAAGUGGUGAUUUGUCAUACCCUGCUGAUACCUAAUCAUUAUAUGGAAUGUAACGCUGCUAAAUGUGCCCAGACUCAAUUGAUGUUAUGAUUCUGUCUGUCCUCAGGUUUCUAGGGUUUUUCCUAGCGCUCCCAUUCCCACGUGUGCCAACAAACACAAGAUGCAGGCAAUAAAUGCACAACAUGCAGGCCUGUUUCCAGUAAUAUGCAUCUCGAUUUUUCUCGUUAACUGUUUUGUGUUUUGAUCCGUGGUCAUGUUUUUGUAAAGCAAUAUGAAAGCCCACACUUGUCCUUGUAAAUUCAUGGGUGUAUAAUGAAACAGUAUGCAAAAUGCACCUAUUGCAAGUUGUGUUGUUCCUGACAUUGAUUUGUUUUGACUUUUUAAGCAACACUGCUGCAAAUUUAUCCUACCUCUUAUUUUAACUCCCUGGACACUCUACCUCCUGUCUGUUCUUGCCCUUAAUAUGAAGGCAUUUCAAUUGCAGUGAAGCCCCUAGGCUGACAGCCAUGAGAUUAGUAUGAAUGUAUUACCCCCUUGGGUGCCAUAGCCUGUAAUAAGUUCCCCAUUAAUCGUAUCCUUUGGGGAAAAUUUGUUUAGGCCUUAAUUACAUAUCAUUAAAAUUGGUCUUGAUUCUCUCAGAUUCAAGCUCAGAAUUAGACUGCACAUUUUCUGCCUCCUUCGCCUUCGGCCAUUCUGCAAAAUUAUGUUACUUUGCCUCUGCACCCGUGCGAUUUCUCAUGGCCUCGAUGAUUCCUCUUAUGUAUUCCAGUUCACUAAAAAACUCGCUUGCUCUCCCUGGUAUGUUUAUUAAUAAUUUCAUACCUUUUGUUUAUGUCUGUGUUUUGCGCAAACUUGUCUAUUUUUCAUUCUUCUUUUGCCUCACUUUACAAAGGUCUUUGAAAUAUGCUUAUACUUUAUUUAUUUACUCAGAGCAGAUAAAAAAGACCCUCCGAACAGCAUAAGCUGAAUCGUUUGAAAUGCAACACCCUCUUUCACUGUAGGUAAAGCUUGUAGAGCCCAGUAAGUCCAUAUUGCAACAAACAAAUCUUUAAUGGAGGCUUAAAUUUCUUUCUGCUUUCUUCAGAGGGACUUUAUAUUUACACUCAUGAAGCUUGAAGCGAAGUCAUGGUUGUCUUUAAAUCCCUCUCCAUCAUUUCGAAAAACACUUUAAACUUCACUGCAGCAUUAUAUUUUUGCGUGUGCAGACAAUGGACUUGUAACCGUAAAAAUGGCCUGGAUCACAUCUAUUCCUACCAUGUUUUCAGUACAGUAAAUACUCAUAGUAUUUAAUGCCAAAAUGUUAAAUCUCUAGACAAUAAUGAUCAAAUAAUAUUUGCAGACCUCAAAGUUAGUCACUUGACCUGGUUAAAAACCCUCUGGCUCUUCAUGCACAGGGUAUUUAGUCUCUGCAGAGCCAAAGAACAUUGCAGUCAACUGCGAAUAAAAAGCUGUCAUAUCGCCCGCUAUCUCUUGGCAUUGGGAGCUGAUUCAUGGUCUGUCUACAUGAAAGUCCUUCAGUUUCAGAGUCGUCUUUGCCACCUCACAAUAAGAUGAUUUGGCACUGACACUGCCGCAUUUGGAAAGCAAGCAUUUCUUGGAUUAUAAGUCCCUGAAAGUAAUCACGAAGAAACUUAGCAUCUAAAUAUGGUGAUUCAGUGUUUUGCUGAUGAAUCAUAACUCAUGUAAAUCCAUUAAACUUAAACCAUGCACCCCAAGCUGCCAUGCUCAUUCACAAGCCCCACAUCCAUUUGUUGGUUAGUUUUUUCUCUUUGUGUGUCUAAUUAAGAUCAGAUUUGAAUCAAAGGGAAAAUCUGAAUUUUCGGUACUUGCUUCCAGUUAAUCAAGCCAGUUUAGCCCUUGUUUUUAUCGCAGCAUUUUCACUCCACAGAAUGUGUGUGAGUGUGUGUAUGUGUGUGUGUUCAUAUACAUAAAUAUUAUUCAAACUGUUACAUUUAUCUUUAAAGUUUGAGCUCUAGCUACACUGUAAAAUGUAAUCAAAGCUUUUGACACAUAUCAAAUUUCUAUUCUGCUAUUGCAUCAAAUCUACAAAGGCACAGCACCAUUGCUUUAAACGCUUACUCUUAGUUUACACAUUAUAAUCUGCAGUGGAUUUGGUGGUCCCCUGAUAUACAAAUAAAAUUAAGCGACUGACUUAAUGAAAUUGCUAUAAAAUCUCAAAUGAACAGAACAGGAUAAUAUUCAUAAGAAUAUUGGAUUUUUAACAGAUCUCGUUUGAAAGCUGCAUGUUAAGUUCAUAUUUGGCAUUUUUUGGUUAUUAUUAUAGCAGUUUUUAAACUUUUAUUCUAGCCUGGGGAAUACCUAUAGAGAGUAUGUUUCAAAGCUACAUGUAUGAAGUUUAAAUGAUCAAAUGAGGCCUGAAAGAGAAGGCGGUCAAGGGCUAAGUAACACCAUCUACUUAAAUGAAGCCAAUGAAAAUACCUGCCGCAGAACAUGUUUACAUUUCCUGAUAGCAUUUAGCAUGAGAGGGGUGCUCAGACAGGAAGACUGUUCACAUAAAGAGCUGUGUGCAGAGCUGUCAGCGGUAACCUUUUCACAGCUUCAUUCCCCCACACAGACCACCUGUAGAGCACUCGACGUUUUCUUGGCAAUGCAUUGUGCUGGAAAAAAAAAAAAAAACACAGUCUGAGCAGAGCUGUACUGUUUUUUAUUUUUUUAUUUCUUUUUUUCCCCCUUCUGUUUUGAUACCCUGUCCCCAGCAUCAAAAGAUAGGAUUUCAAGCUAAGAACAAUGUUUCACAAAGCUCACCAUAAUAAAAGAAAGAGGCAAAAAUAGUCUUUUAAAAAAUGUGACCAUUACAGGAAGAGGGGUAUUUAUAUUGGCCUGCUGUAUGUCAGUUAGGAACCUGGGAAUGGCAACAGUUCAUUGGAGCAGUUUGACUCGAUAUGCCGAUGAUUUAUCAGACCACUGGGACCAUUUGGGCUUGUAAAACAUGAGGUGAAGCCAAGACCAUUAAGCUAUGUAAUCAGCCAUGGUGAGCCUGAUACCACUCUCACUACCCCAAUACAUUUACGGUCUAAGGGCUAAAGCACAUACUUCUUGGUUGUUACUGCUGCUUUUUGGAUGUUUUUUUCCUUCUCUUUGUUUGGGCAAUUAUUUCUUCUUUUCGGGAGCUUAGUGUAUGCCUCAUUUGUGCAAAUUGAGCAUGUGUGGGAACCGAAAAGUUCCUCAGAAAGUGUACUUAGUUUCAUGCCUUUCCUCUGAUUGGAUUUAAUGGUGAUUUUUUUAGUAUAGUGAGGCAACAUGAGAUACUUUGUUGUGAAUCCAAGAAGCAGUAAUUUUACUACCUGAUAGUUUACACACCUAAAACAUCUUCCUUAAUAAUAAUAACAGUUAAAUAGGCCUUUUAAAUGACUAGUUUAAGCUUCCCUUUGAGUGGAAACAGGUUCCCUGGUUUUUAGAUGUUUUUAUUAUUCACAUGGACUGGUUCAACAGCAUGUGAGACUGUUCCCCAAACUACUCUCCAAGCAUUUUAAUGACUAAUUUUACCGCUCAGGGAGACUGCUGUGUUUAUGAGCAACUCUGAUUUUUUUUUUAGGUUCAGCGCAGUGACAUGACGGGUAAACUUUUUAAAUAGAUAUCAGGGCAAUAGUAAUUUGUCACAGGCGUCCUGCCAUACAAGAUUAAUUUCCAUAUGUCAGAGUAUUUCCCUAAAGACUAUUCUUCUUUGUGAGCCUGCUGUAGGUCAGACAAGGAAAAUCUAAAAAUGUAAAGCAAGAAAAGUAUGAUGACUGCAUGAGACACUCAGAUUAUGUCUGUCCUACUGCCCUGAUGAGAACUCCCUUAACACUCUCCAAAGAAACACACAAAAAGUCCCACUGUUUUGGUCUUUUAGUUCAGUAAAUCUACAACAUCAAAGUAUCAUGAUACAAACAUUUGAUUCUUUUACUUGGAUUUAUAAAGUUUAAGGAGUUGAAGACCUUGGCAUCUAUUAAGUUUGAUGGUUUUACUGUUAUUCAUAGCAUUACUUUCUGAAAACCAAUGCAGAGAAAACACUUCAGGACUGUUCAAUAGAAAAAAACUGAAGUACCCUGCUGUUGAAGGUAAAAAAUAUUCAAGAGCAGUUUACAACAAUAUUCUCUCCAAGUUUUAAAAUUCAAGUCAAGCAUGUUGUAACCUUUAAGUAACGUAACACACACAAUAAAAGUAGUUCCUAGUUUCUAGGUGUUUUCAUGUUGGUUAAAUAAAACACAGCAAUUGUGUCUUUGUCCGUCUGUCCUUAGUCAUUGUGUGAGAUGGUGGUGCUGGUUUUCACCCAUGCACUUUUGAAAAUCCUCCCAAAUUUCCUGGUGGGCUGCAUGUACGGAAAGAGCAGAUUUUCCUAUUAUCAAGAAUUUGACAUUUUUACACAUAUCUGCAAUGAAGGUAUGGGGGACGAAAAGCUCACUCUUUGGCUUGUAGACAUAUCAGCGAACUGUUGAGCUGCCAUCAGACAUUUAAAAUAUAAAUCUUAGCUCUGGGCCUGAAGAGGAGAGCUUAAAUAUCAACAGCACACUGUAAUAAUUCAGAUUAAGGAGUAGAGGAUGUAGCAAAAAUAUCUUCCCACCGUUUUUGUGCAGCUGAAUUACGAUCUUGAUUUUUAUCACCAUUCUUUAUCAUGUUCAUUAUUGAAAUUAUUUUGCCAAGUUCUGACUAAAAUUGACUACUACCCAAUUAAAGAAAAAUUUGCUCAAAGAAAAAAGAAAGACUGUUUAUACUUUUUUGGAUAGAAUUUAUGUGUGUGUGUGCUGCUUGUGCCAUGUAGAACUGACAUUGAACAAGGAUGUUGACAUAGAUCAGACUUCUAGUCAUCUGAUCACUAUAUGUUGUUUCCAAGGUUGCAUUCAGUUUGUAAUCAGAUGACUAAAGAUGAAUUUCACUUUACAGUUAGAUUGAAGAGUGACAUUCUUUAAAGUGAAAACACAGUUGAACAAAGAGAUGAAGAAAUCAUCAACUAAUCGAGCCUUAACUGAACGUUUAAACAUACAUCAUUGUACUCAUGCAGGCUGAUUCUGCUGUAAAAAUGUCAUCACCUUACUUACUGUUAACCAUUCAUGUGCAACGCAGAUGUGAGGUGCAGUGUGUAUAAAAACAGCAGAGGCAGUGUAGCGGCUGAGCCAGUAUGACAGAGUGAUCAGCAGUGAGGACAACAAACAAGGGAUCCCAGCGAUGUUUCAGUCGCUGUUGCUGUCAGUCUUGAUCGAAGCAUUAAAACAAGAGUAACCUCAGAGAGUGCCACAAUGUCUAGGUGUGUAAUCUAGCACAUCUGGCAUGAUGAGAAAACAUCACACAUUGUUUAAUAAUUGGCUUUAGCGUAAGUGAGGUCGCCCAUAAAGCAGAGUUUUGAAGCCUAUUGGCGGCAGUUGCCAUGUUUGCAUUGCUGACUCAACCUAUCUUGCAUAUAGGAACGAUUUGUCCACCUGUUAGUCGCAUCAGCUGUGCCUCUGAUUCACCAAUCUUGUAACCUUAAUAACUUGGAAACCAAUGGGUCACUAAAUACUAAUUCUCUUUACAGUGGGUCUGUGAGAUCCUUGAGUUAUUCAAACCAAGGUUUAUCAUACACAUUUUAUCUCAAAACACUGUGAACUCAGGAUCCCUUUUGAAUUAUACUAUUGUCUUUCCAAGACAGCUGAGUAAUGCAGUUCAUUCAUGGUGCAGUGUGGACGGGCCGGUUGUUGCCUGUAGUCUGCAUCCAAGGACUUGGCCUGUGCAUUAUGUACAGUGUUACCAUGCAUCCAUUUGUGGGCAUACAAUGGAUGUCAAGAGAAUGUGCUGAUACGAUGAUCCCUCUGGGUUGCAGAGUCCUCUUUAAUCUAACACACCCCUAUUCUGAGUCUGUAGAUAUGACAAGUAAAAGGCUAACAAUUUAUAUCAACUUGGUAAAGCACAUGUCAGAUCUAAGUUCAUUCCUCUAAACUGCCGACAGGACACCUCCUUUUUCCUUCAGACUGAUUCAAGUAGGAUUCCUCGCCCAAAGGCCAUAUUCAUUUCUGAGAAAGACUAACCUUUGACAAGUAACAAAAAUGGCUAACAGACAUCCAGUAAGAAGACAAGGUGCAGCCUCUGGGUGAACUUUAAAGCAUUCUCUCUGUGACAAAUAACCAGAUAAACCUCGCUAACCAAGGCCUGUUUAAAGACCCACAUUUGUUGGCUUUAAGUUUUAGCAGCCUCAGGAAUGAGAUUUAUUAAAUAAUUAGAUUAAAGGUAUGAUAGAAAGUAAACGUGUGGAUAACUGUGUAUUUUCAAGGUAUGCAUGAGAGUUGUAAAUUUAUACUCGGAUGGAUUUUCUCUGACCCUUUCCCUUUGCUGUUUGCACUUUUAAUACACUAAUGCCCAUGCAUUAAAAGGCUCACGGAUAUAAGAAUGACUCAGCGACUACAAAUCGACUUGAUGUCUCCUUGCCUUUAUCCUCUUAGAGAGAGCUUUCAGGGGGAGGAGGGGGCUGAAAAUGACUAUUCCAUGCCCGUCCAUAAAAGAGGUGUUUUCUUUUGAUGAUGAGGAUAAGAAGAGUACAGGUAGAAGCUGUUAGGGAAAUAUAUAUAUGUCAAGACAUCCGUAUGGGAAGAGCAUUCACUCGACCACCUAUUCACAUGAAUACUGCAGAUUUUAUGAACCCCAAGGUACAACACUUAUGGAGAGGAGAAGAUUUAAGGUCAUGUUCUUCACAUCUGUACAAUACAUCACUGUUAAAGUCAAUACUGUACUGAGCUGUGUAAAUAGUGCGGGGGCGGGAAUGUGAACUUUGCAGUUGUUUGAAAAGGCCAGACAUCGCUUUUUUUUUUGACUCUGAACAUUGACGUAAAUCUUAGUCAAUCUGCACCUUUGUCAAAAAGCUUAUUGUUUCUGUCAUUUUCCCAUAAAAUAAGAAAAACAACCAGAGUGAAUCUCUGAUGUUAAGAUUAGCUGGUUUUUAAUUUUUAAUUAUAGUAGAAUCCCCGAUAUUUAGGGUGCCAGUUUUACCUUGUGGUUCAGUCAUGCACCCCAUGUACAGACGAGUACUAAAGCAAGUUGACCUAAUUAUUUUACAACCUUUGGCUUCUUUCCUGUCCCGUUUGUCACUUCACAUUCUCUAGUCUGGUUUCAUGAUCUUAAAACUGUCUUUUCUUCUCUGAAUAAAGGCCUAAAAGGAGCCUAUAAAAUCUUUUAACUUUAUAAAGAUAACUCUAGAUUGUUUUUCCUGUGUUAGACUGCAGGAAAGCCAAUAUAAGGACUCGAGGUUAUCAGACAUGACCUCUUGUAAAUUGUCAGAGGCACAUAUUUGAUAUUCUAAGGCAUCGAAAGUAACUCGCAAAAAAUUUAAUUCCUCAUGUAUCCCAAAACUGUUGCCCUGAGAUCGAGGAUUUGUAAACCUCUCGAAAAAUGAAAGCAGUUUAGAAACAAAUACUGUAUAAUAGUCAGAAUAGACCAGCUGCUAUAUGCCUGCAUCAAUCUGGUACACCCCCAAGUUGUAGGUUCAUCCAAUGAGACUCUUUCCAGCCUUCCCCUCUGGUUUUUCCAUUUCUCUGUGGGAGGUUGGAGAGCAAAGGAAGGAAGCCUUUCGUGGUUCACUUGAACUUGAGUGCAAUCCAAGACCUUAUCAGCGUGCAGCUGCCUCAGACAACUGAAGUACAUGUGUUUGAGAACGUGCUACAAGCCAGUUCAUGUUGGUCAUCAGUGCCCUAUAACCAUUAAACUCAUGCUUGUUGAGUAAUGAUGUCGAAGUAGGACGAAAAUUAAUUUCAUCUUUAUGCACUACCAUAACUUUUGUAUCUGAGAAAUAGCCUGUGCACUUAAAUUCGCACUGAAAAAACAGGAAUUAAUUCACUUUUCUUAUUUUAUUUGGAAAUAACUCACAAAAAUUUGAGGGUUUUUAGUUUUUGUUAAAUAAAGAAAUUCAUAUAAGCUUGUUCUACUGAGUUAUAGUGAUAUUAAGACAUGGCAGAUGCACAUUGUGCAGCACUGACCCUGUGGAAGAGACUUUUCUCUAUCCGCGAGGCUUUGAACAGUGGCCAGAUAGCCUGCUGUGACCGAGUGCAGCAGGAGACUUUGCUGCUGUGGAAGUCAAUGGCCUCUGCUGGGAGAAGAAACAAGAGAGCUGCCGAGACAGGAAUCAGGAUCCACCUACCCUCUCCAAGAUGUGUCAGUAAAGGUGCCAGACUGGAAAUGUGUAAGCCCUGGCUUUAAUGCCACAUGACAACAAAGUGCAAAGAUUUAUGGGUCUGUGUGCAAACGGAUGUGUCCCAAGAGAAAAAAGAUUACUUGGGACAUGAUACGAGGCAAAUGUAUUUAUAAAUGUUUAGCUUUUUGGAUCUGUCAGUAGUGGGUCCUGAAAUCAAGAAAUUAGUUAUUUUUGGAGCAUAAUUUCCCUCCUCAGUGAAACGCUUGUCACAGUUGAAUAUUUUGCAAGUCCAGGGAGUGUGAAUUCGAUCUUUAUAUCCUGUCAGUGCAUAUUAGUAUUCACAAUCUGUGGCUUAAAGUUCAGGGUCACUGGAAACUAGAAGCAUUCCCAAAUAUGUGUUUUAGGAAUUUGCACCUGAUACAUUAAAUAACUUUCUCAUGGUUAACAUUUAAAAAUAUGUCAGUAGUGCAGUCUGAUGUUAUUUGGUCUGUUAUUCAUGGAGAGAACAUCUUGAUAAUAAGGUGUGUUACCUUCAUAUGCAAAGGUAGCAUGAAGGCCAAGUCAAUACAAACAGCAUCGCAUAGAAACUGUUUUGGUUGGUGUUGCUAGGCAACACUGGCAGCCAAACAAUAGCACACAGCCAUAUAUUUGGAGCCAGGGGUGCUGAACGCCACAGCACAACAUGAAGUCUGUAUUUAGCUGUAUUAGCUUAUCCUUUUUACUGGAGUGAGGUUGAACAGUGAAGCACGAGCCAAAAUCACAAUGAAAACAUCUUCACCGCUUAAUCAAACAAACAUGCUUCAUGGCCCUACUAUGUAGUUUUUCUAUCUUGACUCCUAUGUUUGUGCUUUUACAUAACAAUAGGGCUGCAGCUAUCGAUUAUUUUAGUAAUCGAGUACUCUAUCGAUUAAUCUGUCGAUUAAUCGAGUAAUCGGAUAAGAAAUGUUUUGCUCUCACUGUAAUACUUUGCAUUGAAUCACGUUUGCCUCAUUAAAAACCAUCAGUAACACACAAAACUGAAAUAGGCCAGGUCUUUCAAAUGAAUAUUUUUACUGCAUAAAUCAGGAACCAAAAGUUUUACAUUUUACCAUGUAGUUCACAUGAAACUACUGAAGGCAAGGUCUGCAGAUGGUCUUUUAAUUGCUAUGGUAAUGAUCUUUGCAGUUUUCACUAAACCAGUCACAACUAUUUCCAGGCUUUGGAUCUAAUUUUACUUGUUUAAUUAAUAGGCUGAAAUAAUAUAAUUCUUGGAUACUAACAUAAUUUGACAAGCAAAUGUACAUUUAUUCAAUAUAUAAAAGUGUUACAUUUUUAUUUACAUGUUGUUGUGUGUUGGUCAUUUUGCAGCCCUCUGCUGCUCAUCACACGCCUAGCAGGUGGUGUAUAGCAUUAUCACCAUGGAUACACGGAUGUUUGUGUGAUUUUUUUCAUCCACUGCCGCCCGGUUUGUGUCGUGUAGAUGUUGAUUAUGAAAACACUUCGCAAUAAUUUGGAAACGUGAAGGGGGAGCUGCUGCUGCCCGGUGUUUACGGUAAAUAGACGCAAACACCGACCAAGUGGACGCUUCGGUCUCCGAAAACGCCGAGACAAAUUUACAAACAGCCACUAUUUCAAACAACUGGGCUCAUAAUCGUGAUGUAAACACUUACUUUCUCGCUAGAAAAAAUAUUAUUAUUGAAUGAAUUUAUAUAAUUUGUCCGGUAUGCAGUCGUUCUUUGUAGCUUGUGGUAGGACUAUUUAAAUUUUCCCGGCGCUGCGUCCGGCCGGCACGAAAUGCAUUCUGGGGUAUUUAGUAUGUAUGUGUGUAAACGCUCGGGCAGCCGCGGCAUACUCAAAUCAUCUUUGAGUAGUCAGUAGGCAGUAGCUACUGCUUGAGUAGGUAAGUAGAUAGCAGGCAGUAUGCCAUUUCGGACACAGCUUCUGUCUGUCCUCGUUUCCCUCCAUGAUUGAACCAAACGCGCGGCAGCGGAAGGAGCGGAAAGAGCACGCUUCUGCGCAACAGAAAUAACCGUCCGUGUCAAACACCGUGCGCUGCACAUGGUUCCGGAUUUAAACGAUUCCUCGAGGCAUAUAAUUUGCCUCGAGGAAUUUUAUUAAUCGAGUUACUCGAGUUACUCGAGUAAUCGUUUCAGCCCUACAUAACAAUGAAAACUUUGUUUUUGUUGUCAUGUAAAUUCUGGGUUAGCGUUUCUGCAGUUUGUUCCAUACAAAGUCAUGCUGUUGCUUGGUGGACUUUGCAUGACAAGAGGACGCAUAUGUCUCAGGUUAUUUAUUUUUUUAAUUCAAGUAGAUGGCACACUGAACUCCAACAGAUACAAGGAAGCACAACAUAUAAAGGGACUCUUGUACCUUGAAUAUAUAAUGCAAGAUCAAAGUAAAGAAAGUGUGAUUUUGUUUUUUGAACUUAAGAAAACUGAUGAUUGAAAACCAAUGAUAGAUUUAUCUGCUAGUACAAUAACACCCUUUUGAUUUAGUUAAAUUAGAAUAAGUGAAAGCUGAGGUUUCUGCUGUUUAAUGCUGUCAUUUAGGGCUGGGCGAUAAACCGAAGAUUUACAGAUACUGAAAUUUAUGAAAACGACCAACGUCAUUUUGCCCAAGUCAAUAUGUUGGGUGUCAAAAUAAAAAAUUAUUGAUAAAGGUUGGUUUUGGAUGUGUGUAGGUAGGCUAUGGUCUCAUUUAAGAUGUUGUCCUACGUCGGAGAUGUUACUCCACCCCAUCCCAUCCAGUCCGUAACAAAGAGGGAAAGACGGGUGAGGAGAUGGAGGACGGUUCAAAAGUUGUAGUGGCUGGAGUGGUGGCUGAAGUAGACGAAGUUAAUGUGGGAGGGGGGAACAGCUUGUCGAGUAGUUAUCAUCCCUUUAUCGCAAUCGAGGUGAACUGCUCAAUAUAUCCUGAUAUUGGUUUGUGGCCAUAUUGCUCAGCCCUACUGCCAUUGCUUGGUUCACAAAAACAAGAAAAUAUACUCUUUUUAAACUCAACAAUCUUACUGAUAAUCACAAAAGAUACAAGAAUUACAAAUUUAAUUCAAACUAGGAAGUGAGUUUACAGUGAUCUUUUAAAGGUGUCAACUCAGGGAUGAAUGGAUGAUGAGUGAAGAGUUUUCCAUUAAAAAAAUAUAAAGACAGAUAUUUCGAGACAAUGGAAGAACAGCAUGGUACCAGGAGACUGGAGCGCAAAAAAGAGUGUGUUGUAGCCUGGUCUUAAAAUAUACCAGCCAUGUGCUCUCAGUUUGCCCUAAAGAAACCAUGAAACCCACCCACUACCAAUCUCCAAAAGAGACCAACACAGAAACUGAAAGGGGGGAUGCAGUGAAGAAAGGGCUGCAAAAGAGGGAAUGCUAUCACAAACAGAAAACCUUGUUUUCAUAUGUGAGGUUUUAUGUUGGCUGUGAUUUUCAAAGCUAAGCCAUGGCAGUAGAAACAGACAUUUUUCAAAAGGUAUUGUAAGAUUUGAUGCUCUGAUUCUGGUGCCUUCCUGUUUAGAAGGAGAACUUGUGGGCCUUUCUAGUGAGAUACAGUUUUACUAUCUUGACAAGACAAAAGUCACACUCACUGUAUUAUGGUCAUCAGGAUCUCUGUGCACAUUCUCGCCGUCUCUGUGAAUGCAAAUGUGAUAAUGAGUGAAAUCACACAGAUGGACACUCAUUGUUAAAUGCUUAGUCAGACAAACGAAGGCUUCAACCCCGACUUUACACAUGACACCAGUAGUAAUUUCUUCAGGGGUUACUGCAAAAGUAAAAUAAGGGUCUCUCGGAAGUCAGAGCAAAAGAAAGGUCCAUUGUUCUGGACAAAGUUGCAAUGACCACCAGAUCCCCUCUCUGUAGGGGGAAUGACUGACGCCCUCAAUGGCUCACUAACUAAAAGAAUAUUAGUCUUGGACAAUGCUUAAUGCACGGGUGGAUUUCAUAUUGUGAUACAUUAACCACUCUGCAAACCUUUGAUUUAGCUCCUUUGUCAGAUGUGUUUGCAGUAUUCAGUGGAAAUGACUUCAGUUCAUCCUCUGUUUGCUGUUCUGGUAGUUAAUGAUGUAGUAGCAGAGGGAAUAAUGCUGGGUCCACACACUGCUUUAUUCAUCUUUUUACCUCAGUCUAACUCACUUUCAAAGGCAAGAUGUGCAAAACAUGGUAGCUGAUGAAAGGAGAGAAAAAAGAAUAGCUAGCAGGUUUUAUUUAUGGAUACACCAAGGCUCUUUUUUUUUCUCUUUUGACCAGCCCCAGCUAUGGGCAUUGUGGCCACCAGUGAAUUAUUCUACACUCUCUAAAAUGAUGAUAUACACCAGGCUUUGUUGUGGGGGGUCGGGGGUUCUGUGAUGGUGUAAGCUUCCCUCUGCAGUUGUUUGGUCUGACCUCUCCUCCCCAUCAGUGACAUACCAUUAACUACUACACAUGCUCCUCUGUACACUAACAUCCCUCGUCAGCGCAGGCAAUAUAUUUUGUUUGUCUUUUUCAAAGGUGGCACUACCUGCACCGUUCUGCAAGCUGCUCGUCAGGCUCCCCUGCUUACCAUACAGUAUGGUAAUGGGACUUACAGAUGUCCUUUAAAGGAUGAGAAGGAAGGAGUUUAUUUUGUAGUCAUGUCACAUUACUGUUCCUUCACAACUGAUGUUAGCUGCUGACAGUUGCAAUUAAGUGUAAAAUAACAUGCUGUUCCUUUGCCGUCAAAGUAAAGGGCUCGGGCAGAAUGCCUUCACCCCAGAAUGGCCGGAGGGAUAACUCUUGUGCACAGUCCCAUUUAAUAGAGAUGGUGGAGUGUGCCAUUGUGCUGGCAAAGAGGAAAAAAAAGAGUUGCUAGUUUCACUUUUAUUUCACUUUUUUUUCUUCUGUUUUGACACUUAUGCAGUCUCUCUCACUCCCUCUCUCUCAUUCUUCUCUGCACAAUGUCUCUCUGUGUCAGUAGAGGGCUGGAAACUCAUCUGACACUCAAGCUGAGAUUUAAUGUAAAAGUGUAAUAAGAGCUUUGAAGAGAGUCAGCUCUCUUCUAAAACGCCGUCCCCUCAGAAUUCACUGUUUUUUGGAGAGUAUUGUUAUGAGGUUGUUGAGGCAAGGCUGCGUCUCUCCAGUGAGAGUGGCGUCCAACAUAUUGGCCUGUCGUCCUCAGUGAUGAUAGGGCUCAUAUUUUACAGGAGUUGCGCUCUGAGCAAAACUGAAAGGUGUUUGUGCACAAUGGGAGAGCAAGGGGGGCAUGGAGUCAUGGUGAUGGCCCCUUUAUUCUCAGCUGUCAAUUUAAACGUUGAUAUAAGUGUUUGGGUUCCCAUGGCAUCAAGAAUAAAUUGACUUUUUAGUAUCCAAGAGGGGGGCACAUGUUUUUCUUAUACCUGAAGUUACAAAUCUAAAUCCCCUUUUUGAUCAAACAUCCGCCUCACAAAGGUGUCUUUACUCUGUUUUGCAUAACCAGCUGCAAACUAUAGCCUACGUUACCAUACUAAUUUUCCAGCUAUUGCAGAUGAAUGUGGGUCAUUUUGACCAAGUUAUGGAAGUUUGUGGUUAGGAUUUAGGAUUAAGGAUUUUUCUUUCUUUUCAAAUCUUUUUAAAUACAAUAUGCAUCAGGGUUAAGGAACAUUUACAUGUAAAGGCAUAGGAUUAGCCAGGUGGCUAAUUUCCAUCCUCAGUCCCAUUCACAGGUUGGUGUCAAUAUAUAAAAACAAAAACAAACAUCAAUAAUAGGAGUGAAACACACAGAGCAUAUCACAUAUGACACAUGAACUGCUGCUUCUUGAAAUGUGUAAAAGUUAGACAAGUUUUUUGAGGAAUAACUGGAAUAUUAAACAACUUACUGUUGUGAAGAUAUUGCAAGAAAACAACCUGACCAAAUCAUGUUUGAUUAUUGACAUCACUGCGCUCACAGUUACAUACCAUUUAAAAAAUCCUUUGGCGCAAAUAUCCUUGCCUAGACUUUUGUGCCCACAUAUAACAUGCAUGCAUCAAAGUGCAAAUUAAUGGAUUUAGCUAUCUUAAUUAUUUUCUUUUUGCAUUCCGCUAUCAUUUCAAGCUUACAAAACAGAAGGGUCAAGGUCAGAAACAAAGUGCAUUUUUGUAUCAAGACAAGGAAGAAAAUGUGUGUCUGGAUUUUUCGUGUAGAGAGGGAGUCACAGUUGUGAAAGCACAGAACUCUUCAGAAUUCUGUUUCUCUUAAGUAUUUAAGUAUACCUUAUCCUGGGGUAUCAAGAAAUUUGUGUUUGUCAUAUCUGCGUUGAUAAAUCUUGAAAAUCCUGCCAUGAGUGAAAUCUCUUUAAGUACUCUUCAGGGUUUGUUCCAAGGCUGUUGUAUUUAAUGAUAUUUUUCACAGAUAAUCCUGUUUAUAACUGAAAGUUGUUUGUCAGUCAUCUCUACGCAUAAAUUUGUAAUCACAAUGGAUGGCAUUGAGCAGAUAUACACUGUGAUUUUCUUUGAGUUUGUUGUAAAUCCCUAUAAGAAUGUGGUUGUGUGUUGUGCAUGAUCAAUUGUGCGCCCACAACAAGCCAAGUGAGAAGGGAUAGCUGAGCGGCGCCAAGCUGCGUCAGCCCUAAUCUGUCUCUUGACAGUCCAACCUUAUUUCGCAGCAGAAUACCCUUAUUGAUCUCCCAGCCUGUUACACAAAUAAAUAAAUAAGUCAACUACACUGCACCUGAGUUCACAACCUGCCCUUGACGAUACUAUGAGCAUGUGUGUGUAGAGGUGGAGGGGUUGCAGUUGUGCAGCAGGGGAGCAGAGAGUCAGGAAGGGUUCUGCAUUGUUGAUCCAGUAUGACAUUGAUAGACAGCAGCUGAAGGAAAGCUGAUAGCCAUGUUUGGCUUGCUGUUUUUUAAAGGACGGACGUGACUGCUGAUCCAAAGUUGACCGAGCAUGAAUUCAGCAGGUGAUCGCCCCAAGUGGUUGUGCCGAAUAGAGGUGAGGAAGGAAACUUUUCACAUAUGACUUGCUUGACUUUCCAUCUUUUCCACCAUUAUUAUUCUCCCCUUGAACUUCUUGUUUCUGGCAGAGUUAUUUUUACAUGUUUCAGUUUCUCUUUGUUGAACACAGCCAUACAUGUUGCUUAUUCUUUCUGCACCAACUCUUGGGCAAAUGCCAAGCUCCCAUUAUAAAAACUGUUUCUUUUUACUCACAAAUAGAGUCAAAAUAUAGAGUAGAUGUAACUGUAUUCUCACACCAAUAGUUCACCUAACUGGACAAAAUAAAAUAUCUGCUUUGAUGGGCUCUGUUAAUUUAUUUAGUUGUUUGUAUUUUCUUAACUUAUCACUUCAAACAAAUUAAAAGAAAUAAAUAAAGUAAAUUAAAUACAUUAAAACAUCCUCUGUACUUUUGUGUCCGUAGGUGCAAAAAUGUUUGGGAAAUACAAUCAAGUGUCUCUGACAGAAACUGUCUCAAGUUUCUCUUUCUGCCCAGUGCUAGAAACUUUACCCUGGGACCCCAAGGGUCUCAGAGAGUACUUAGCGUUGUGUCAAAUCCUAACAAAAAUAAUAUCACAAGCUGUCAGCUAUCUUGCUACAAAAGGUCUCUGGUUAGCCUCACUUUUCACAGUGUCACUUGACACUCUUACAUGGGGCCUACAGCAGCUGCUGUUUUUCCAAGCAAAACAACAUAAGCCAGCUUAAAAAAAAACAAGUAAAAGCCCCUGACAAAUUAAUCUUAAACGGGUACUUAAGUACAAAAAAAUUGCACUGUUUUGAGACUGCUUUUUCCAUGGCUUCUUCUAUUCCCAGUUACGUCUACAGACACUGAAGCUUCAUGGGUAGGCAUAAGAAAAUAAACAGUGGUAAGAGGUUUCCAGUGCAAGGGUUAAUGUAAGAAGGUUACUGAAUAGAACCACUCCAAGUUGAUCCAGGUCCUUCAAUGUGUUGUAUUAGGGUCACCUGACCAUGUCAAGGUUCAAUUUAGCAAAAUGACCCACUUGGGUGAACUUUAUAGUAUCUUGUUUCACACCCAGCUAAUGAUACAAGCAAGUUCAUCAUUAAUUUGAGGAUGAUUUUAAAAUUGAGUCAGUUUGCACGUUGGCCUAUAUUACUGUUAUGAAUAUAAAUUAAUUAGUAUUUCCAAUUACAGUAGAGCCUUUAUCUCAGGCUGCUUUACUGUUAUAUAUAUAUAUAUAACAUUAAACAGGUUCGGACUUAAUUCUAUGGCAGACUGUCUGCUGAGAAUUAUAGAAGACUUUAAAAUGUCCUAUCAAAACAUUAAGCAAGAGCAUGUGAUAAAUAUUUUAGAAAAAUGGACAGAUGGCAACUAUUUCCAAAAGGAAUCCAUUCAUGUGUACAUUCCCCACUAUAAUUUACUUUAUUCAUUAGUCUGUUUCUGUCAAUUUCAGCCAUGAAAAACUAAACUCUAUAUUUGAGCUGCUUUAGAAGAUUGAUGGAAAGUAAAGAAACAGUAUAAAAUAAGAGACAGGCCAUCAUGCUUUGCUAAGUGAGUUGUAUUCCCUCAAACUGGCUGAGCCCUGAGUUGUUAAAGACUAAUUAAUUCAAGAACAAACGUCCCCAAAGGCUGCAAUUAAUGAUAAACUUAUUAGACAUGAUGGUGCCCAUGAGGUCUGGCUCUCAUCGUGGCGUCCACGCUCCUGGUGGUGUUACUUACGCAGCUGUCAUAGAAAUAUAUUAAGAAAAGGAACAAAAUCUAUACGUGUUGGUGUGUCUGUUCGGACACAUGUAUAAGUCUGUUCGAUUUAUAAAGGCAGUCCCAGCCCUCAAAUACCCCUUAACUCUGGCCUAUCACUUGACAUUUGGCACGAUGCUUAGAAGUCCUCAUUGACAUCAUGGCCGUCUGUGGUAAAAGAAUAUAAAUGUUACAUAUCGACAAGUGUUGUGUGUGCGCUUUCUAAUGAGUCUGUCAAAACUGAAGUCUCACGAGACAUCCUUCACGCUGCCUGACGGAGACUGUCAAUGCUGAAAAAUGAGGGCUGAUUUCCUGACCUCCUUUCUUGCUUAACUCUUUCAGACUCAAACAGCUGCACCCGGGCCAUUUACAAAUUAGUGUAAAUGUCCCCCUGAGCACAGUCACCAAAACUUUCCACACUAAACAAGGAAGUGUGUGAGUGUAUGUGGAGGAAAGAGGGAAAGAAAGGACUGCCAAAGAAAAAUAAGAUAUGACUCUCACUUCACGCCGAGUUGCCUGACACCUCACCAGUUUCACUUCAGUUUUACAUCCCCUCACAUACCCUUCACCGCUCUGGCCAGCUGUGCUCUAAUGACACCUGACAACACCAGAGAUGCAGAGUCAGUGACAACAGAUGUGUACAAUUUUUGUGCAGUACGUAGCACUGAUGCUAAUGUUACAUCUGAGACUUACAUACUUUUAACAAGCAAUUACAGCUUUAUUUCAUUUCCUUAUGUAUCCCCAUAUCCCCAUAAUUGUGUAGCAAUUUAUUGAAAGGAUUGCUAUACUACAUUUAAAUAAGAACGUUUUACAAGAAAAUGUAGGUCAAAAUGAAGACACUUUGAGUACGAAUAAAGGAGAUGGUCUUAUGCUGUGUUCCAGUUGUACUCAGAAGUCAGAGUUUCCGAGCUCUGAGUCGGAAAUUAAUCUGGAACGCCCCCCUGAAGUUGGAUCUCCGACUCAGGAAAUUCGGAAGAUCCUCACCUACCCCGACUUGACAACAAUGUCAUUAUCGAAGGUGGCAGCACAGUGCAUCAACAGUAAAGUGUAACUGUUAAAGCUCUUGUAAUGUCUUAUUCAUUAGCACUUCUGUUUUGUUUUUUUGUGUAAUUAAACAAGUGGUAUAUGUUGUACUGCCCAACGUCUAACUGUGAACACGGUGCUAUGGUGUUUGGUAGAGUCAAAUACUGUGUUAUGCGUUAUUUACAACCGGUAUCGCUAACAACAACAACUAACUACAGCUGAGAAUGGCUAACAACAACUUAGAAUCCAUCGUGUUUUUUUGACUUGUUAACUGGAACGCCGUCAACUCUGGUGUAGUGUCAUUCCCAGCUCCAACAUCCAACUUCUGAGGUAACUGGAACGCAGCAUUAAUUGGUAAACGUCCACAUUUGCAGGUAAUAAUGUAAGGUAUGCCUUAAUAGUCAGCCGCUUGACCAAACUCCCAAAAAUAUGUUUUUUUUAAAAAAGGCCCCUUUCCUAAAUUCUUUUGUAGAUUCAUAGCUUCCCAGAGUCUCUUAUUAAUCUCCUCAGUCCAAUAAGUAUUGUAACUUUCCAACACGAGGAAAAACACAGUCAUGCCCAAUUUAAGGUGAGGUGCAGAGAGAUAUCAGAAGUAAGGCUGAGAUUGAACUCAUACUCUGCUUUUCAUUCAUCUACUAGAUUCUUUCAUCACUUUUGGUCUGUACAACUGAGUGCAAUACAAUGAAUUCCUUUGGGGACAAUCUGCCCAAGAGUGUGUGCCCAAAUCUCCAUCUGUAUUAAACAUUGCAUCAAGAUUACAAAGAAUUGCAAAAUAAUAUGGAUUUCUUUUCAGAGGUCAGGAGAGCUAUAAGUAACACUGCUGAGCUUUGAUCGUACAAAUAUCUCAGCGUGGACAACUGCAGCCUUGCACACAGAAAGCUGAUGUGCAUGUGCCUAUGGUCUUCUGUGUGUUUGUAUUUCACACAUGCAUGUGCAACCAUGAGAUGCAGAUUUUUUUAGCUAGGGACAGCCUCUUCUCUGUUUUUUCUGUUGUUUUUAAUUAAAAAAAAGGUGGAGGUUACAAAAAUUAGGACACAGUGUGUGAAAUGUAGCACAUGCACAAAAUAUUCUCCUGUAAUAGACUGUGUGGAAUAGCGUAAGUCGACACGGACAUAUGUGGACAACAAGGAGCAUCUCUCCUGGCUGUUUGAUUUGAAUGCAUACCAUGUCAGGUGAGCACAUUUGUAAAUACUUCCCUUUAUUAUUACCUUGAAACGCAACAUUUUCCUGUCAGUGGUUGUACUUGGACUGACAGUGGUAUUUCACAACUAAUACUUACCAAUUGCUAAACACUAAAUGUUGAAAUAAGCAGUGCUCUUGCCUUUAUAGAAGGCAGGUUGAACCAUCACUUGAAAACAGAUAUCAAGUCUGUACUGAUAAUUACAUGCUUUUAGUCCCCACUGUGUCCAGUCCGUGUGUGCCCAUCUUUGCGUGAGACAUCCUCCAGCCACUCUCUGAGCCUCUCAGUAGUUCAAGAAAAAUAAUCUCUCUGAAAGUGCAAAAAGUUUAAUCCAACUUCCAGUUUAUUGAAACGCCUCUGUAUGACAUCCACCUUCACUUCCCAGCCCCUUGCUUCCUGCCUUGGAAAUUGAGUGUGCAUGGGAGAGUCCAUGUCUCACUGUGAAACCCAGCUAAAUUAGGAGUCAGACUGGUUGUGGGCGAGGGGGAUGUGGUUGUGGUGGGUUGUGCUGCUGCCGCCAAAGGGUGUGUCAGGGCAAUUUAUUAGCUUGCUAUGCAUGCAUGUGUGCGAGUGUGUGCAGGCGUGUGCGCUCUCAGCCCUUGGCAGCAUAGCAAACUCAAUGGCUGAAGCACAGCUGUACCACUAUUCUAAUAUGGAGUCAUUAUAGCUAUUCACGGGGUGCCUCCAGUUAAUUCACAAAUUUGACCAUAACAGCCAACUUUUCGGGAUGAGUAUCUUGUGGUCAAUACUAUUUUUCUGAUACAGUGACCUGAAGCAAUUGUGUAAUUUUAGUACUUUGCCUGGUUCAAGUGUACCACUUAGACUUUGCAUUGCAUGCAGUAGCUAACAGGUGUUCAACAUAAAAACAUAGAUUGGUCCCUGUGGGAGGGAGACUUUGAGCACAUGCUGAAGUGCUGUGGUGCUGCCAGUGAUGUAGUUUCUCUGUGUUUGUGUAUGUAUGCGACUACUUGGGUAUGUGUAAUUACAUGUUAAUGACCCCUCCCUCGUAUUCAGCUGUGUGAGAGCACAGUCGCAGUAAUCUAAUCGAUGCUUAAACAGGAGAAACUUAGUAAUAAGGUUUAUUUAAGACACCUGCUUUGCUCCAAACCCCCCUUUAGCUUUCUUCAGAGGCAAAAACAGAUGCUGGGGGACACUUAGCCUGCAAAAUGCCAACUGCAAGAGAUGUUCAUUUAGGUUGCAGAGCACAAAAACAAACCAAAACCACAAAAGUACAAACAACAUCGCUAUCAGAGUCUGUGAGCACCUGCAGGUCUUGCUCAUGCUGGAACAUUUUAAUUGACCAAGGAAAAAAAAGGAAAAAAAAAAAAAAAAGCUGCGGAGACAGUGUAGAGCUUGUACAGGCACCCCCACCUUGUCUGAACCAACGGUUGCUUCCAAAGCCCCAUCAGCAAUCCUUUGCUGUAAUGAGGGAGUUUUGGGGUAAAAUUGGGAGAUGGUGUCAGUUUAUCGUCUCCGAGUCGAGGGUCCUGCUGUCCAAAAUGUGGAAUAGUGGGAGAGAGGUGCUGUCAAAACAUGAUAGGCACAGACAUCAGCACAAAGUUAGAGAGAGAGGGGAUCCAAGUCACUAUGGAAAGACACACAGUUUCUUUAAACACCCCACAAAUGAAGUCUCUGUAGACUAUUAUGAGGCAUAAAGCGACACUUUUGACACACUUCCGAAUCAGUAGCUUUAGCAACACAAGCAAUUUUGAUUGCUUAGGCUACACCGACGGAAGAACCAAAGCCCCUUGUUUGUCAUUUACUUUGAAAGUAAUCAUGGCUAACCCAGGCACAGCGGAGGUAAUAAAUAUUUAUACCCCUUUUUUUUUUUUUUUGGAAAUGUAAACCAUAUAAAUUUUUACCCACCUUUACUUUUAGAGCAACUUGCCCUUGUUGAUAACAGUAUCAUUUAAAUGUAUUUUCUCUCCAUUUUCGUUGUUUUCCCUCUCCCAUUAUCUCUCUCCCAUUCCUCCCCCCUAACACAAUGUUAACAAGCUCCUUUCUGCCCUAUCUGGUACGGGUGAGACAGCUCCACAAAAUGACAAGGUGAGAGGGUGCUGUGUGUGUUUUUCUGUAAUCUAUAUCUAUCCUCCAGCAUCUAUGCGUGGAUGUGUUUCUUGCACUGUGGGUCGUAUGUGACCACCGGCCUGCUGUCAGGGCUCAUGUUGCCCCCAACGGUAACAAUAAUCAUGGGAUUUGAUUGCCAGCUCCCUCAGCCUGUGUAAUUGAUGAGUCCAAUAUUUACUCUGUUACCUGUGUGUUGUAAACAUUCAUUACAGGGUUCCUUCCCAGAUAGGUGUGCAGCACAGGAGAAUGGGACGUAUCCAGCCUGCAGGGACCAGCUGUCAGUUUGACUAAUGACAGAAAUGAAUAAAACCUCAUAAUUACUUUAGAAAAAACGACAGUCUCCACCUUAUCUCAGGCCAAUAUGCAUUUUAAAAAUUUUUGGCGGGUUUAUUAAAUUCUGCCCCCACCUCCACCUCCACCCCCAUAUCCCCCCAUUCCCACCCCCUCCACGGUAAUACAUUACAGACAGAGGCAAGUUCUCAAAUUUCAAAUUUAAUUUUCUACUCGCCAUACACACAAGCUCCAUAAUCAGAUUGGGACAUUAUUGUGUUUCUAUUGACAUUAGCAUUGUUAUUAUUUUGUACUGUGUAAAUAUCAGUAACCAGAGCACGCCUGGUUGCUUUGCCAGGAAGGGAUUAUUUUGUAUAUUUAUUUUGUUCUAACGCUCCCCAAAAAAAUAUCCUUUCAAGAUUACAUCUGAUGCAUUACAUUAUCAAGAGAUACUGUCUCUGUAUGCUAUGAUGUGGUAUCAUUUUGAUGUAGAGCUGCACAAAUUAAAUUGGAUACCUGACGUUUUCAUGUCUGCUUUAUUGUGACACCCUAUACAGGUGACUCUGCAACCGGGGACCUACAGAGCCACAAAAUGAGGUAGCAGUGAGACACAUCGCAUUUGCUAUUAUACAGAAGGCCACCGCAGGUCAGUCCAUGCUUUUAGAGCGCCUUCUUGUGUGCGUUUUUGCGGGUGUGUGUGUGCAUAAUUGGAUAAGUCUCCAAUAAUGCGUAUGUGUUUUUAAGUUGGUGCACUGUGAACUGCAUGCACUAAGUCUCAGGAACAGGCAGCGGUGCAGUGAAGUGCAAAGCUCUCAGCCAAAUCAGGUAUUCAAGAUAGAGGGAUGGAGAGAUAGAUUAAUGGCAGCAGGGGUGGAGGGUGAGUAGAGGGAAGGGGUGGGGGGGGGACUGAUAUGAGGAGAGACAGUGCAGUGAUAUACAGUAGGCCCUACUUAGACAAGUCGACUCCUCUAUGCCAUUAGGGCCUAACAGGGGGCAGACUGUGGGGGAGCCAUGGUGGGAGUAAAAAAGAGAGAGCUGCUUUCAAAUAAACAGGAACAUCGGCCUCAGAGUGUGCAUGUGCAUGUUUUUACACGACCCUUGCUCACUCGCACCAUCCCUAUUUCUGUGCUGCUUUUCCAAACACACAUGAUACACUGAAUAUCAUACGAAACUCGACUCAACUUGAUUCCAUUUGAGUAGCUAUUCUCUAAUGUCUUUUUUGCCGGGUGGAAUCCCACAUAGAAGCGUGUAAUACGCCAUAUUUGUGUCCUAUGGAGGCAGACAGCUGAUCGUGUCCAUUCGUCAUGCUGUCAAGUUAAUUACUAGAUUGAAAAGGAGAAUGAGAUUACCCCCUCCCCUUUCCAACGGACACUCACACCUCCACACUGCCAACACACACACAGAUACACACACACUCACACUGAAGUGUCAGAAGGAAAUUUUCACUGUGCCAUAAUCAUAACUUACCAGAGAAGAGUGAGCUGCAGAGGAGGUAAGGGGAAGAAAUUGCACAAGGUCAGGCUGCUUAUUUUCUUCAACUGUAUUUGUGUGUGAGUGUGAGUGUGAGUGUGUGUGGGUGUGUGUGUGUGUUGAAAUAAGUGAUGCAGCAGGUUACAUUUACAUAUUUUACCUCAUAAGAGCACUUCUUUUGGUUCCUUUGAAGGUAUUUUAAAGACUGUUCUUUAGUUUCAUUCCUGCUCUCCUGCCCACUGAGAAAGCAGCUCUUUGUCACAGGUGAAAAGUUACUCUUCUGCUCUUGAACUGUGUGCUCUGUGAAGAAGUUUGCGUCUGUACUUGUGCUAUCAAAGGGGACACUUUGAAAAAGCAGACAGAUCAUUAGUGCAUAAUGAGCUGAAGGACUUUGGGCAGUGAGUAGGAUAUCCUCAAUAAGCGAUAGCUUAAGAAGAUAAUAGAAGCGGCUGAAAAUCAGAUUGUCUCAGCUGCAGACAACCUUUUUUCUCCCCAGGUGAGUCCUCUUUCUCUGUGUAUGUUUGAAGUAAAGCACAGCUCAAACAAACUGGCUAAAAGAUUUUAUAACGCCCUGUGGCACCCUGACAGUUACAUCUCUGAGUCUUGAUAGUUUUCAUAUUCUGCAGAUUUCCUCCAUUAUGAGGAUGCAUGCUGGAGAUCAGAGCUAUAUGUUCACCAGGCUGCAGACAUGUGAGAACAGCUCCUACAAAGCGUCUCAGCCCUGACAAUAAUUCCAAGAUGAAAAGCCCCAUUUUUUUUUUUUGUCAGCCACUGACAAACACAAGUAUCAUAGGAAAGAGAGAGAGAGACUUUGAUGUGCUUUAGUGGUACUGAAUGAAUUACAACAGAGGACAGAAGCAGGCUUGUUGCAAACUUGGAAGACAACCCAAGACCCUUGGGAGCCAAGACAAAGAGUACGGUGUUAUCAAACAAGCGAUAAAAGGGAGGUGAUUCACUCUUGUGCAUGUGUGGAACGUACUUAUUCAUUACAACCUUGAUUAUACGCCAACUUUCCUCCCUUUCUGUCUCAUCCUGACAGCGAGCAGUUUUAUCUGAGCGCCUGGUGUAAUUUGUUUACCUGUUCUGAGCAGAGUCUCAAAUGCAACUAUUUUUUCAAUAUCCUCUGUGAUCAUGUAACUAUACAGCUCUAUUAAUAACUCUGCCCCGGCAGGGUGUUAAAAAAGUCAUGGACUGCUUAGUUGAGACGUGAUGAGGCUCUGUGACGGCACCCAGCUGGCUAAAGUUCUGCAAGGGUGGCCUCAGUGACAUCACAGCAAGUGGCGCAUGACAAACUGCCAGCACGCCAGUCGCGACCCACAAAAUAAUCUCCGACAGACGAGGACAAGGGCCAUCUUGGCUCGCACUCCCACCCGAUGCCCUUUUUACCCCAUCCUCUGCCAUCACAAGAGGCAGGCUGGGCUUUCAGAAAGGUGUCAAAUGCACAGCAUGUAUCGCCAAAAUGGAAAGUUGCUUCCUGUCAGGUAAUGACAAGUAAGUGGCAGGGCAGGAAAAAAAUUACACACAUCAACCCGGAUAUUUUCUCACCACUACUUUCUCGUGCUGUCAAUUAGUCUCAAUCAAUCCUGUCGUUUCUGUUUAGAGUUGUUAUAAAAACUCCAGUCUGUCUUCCUAUCCAUCAAUGCAUAAUAAAUACGCUCCUCAAUAUAUGUUAUCUCAACACUUCUGUCAAUUGCUGGCAGCAGCCCUCCUAAUUGUGCUGCCACACUGGACAAAAUGAGCACUGCUUCAUUUGAACACAACUGGGGGGAAUAUGAAACAAGUAUAAUCCUGGGCUUGUUUUGGUUUGGCAGGAAGUGUUGCUCCCUCUUGCCUCUCCAAAACUCAACCCUUUCAGUGUCUUCUGAUUGAAGAUAUGAGACAGAACUGGAAAAAAAAGUGACAGUGAAAGUCAUCUCCUCAAAUGAGGGGACGUGAUUGGCUUCUAACGACUCUCCUCUCGGCUGUGUUUGACUAAAGUGCGAGGUGCAGCGGCUCUUAUCAGAAAAGUAAGUCAGCCACGAUGUAUUAUUAACAGGUGAAGGCGGGCAGGGUUUGCUUGGCUAAAAAGGACUUAAGUGAUGUGGGAGCGACACUGUCAAUCUCAGCCUUCCUCUGAGAGUCAAUUAGGUGAUAAACAGGACUACAUGUCUUUGGCAGAAGGGAGACGGCUGAUAGGCUGUCCCAUGGAUGUCCUGGGGCAAGGUAAACUGACAGUGCAGCUUUGCCGUCAGGGAUGGAUGCCGAGAGUACACUGCGCAGCUGGUCCUGCCACAUAAGAGAGGAACUAUGUGUGUUUUUUAAAUGUUCGCAAGCAUGAGUGCGUGCGUGAGCGCUGCAUUAUGAGCUGGCUUUCUGGCGUUUCUCAGCUGAGCGAGCUUGAAGACACUGAAUGUGGUAAUGAUGCUCUUCAGAGAAGUAACAGUCUGGACAGUAACAGUGUUGAAGGCCGUAAUGGAGAUGAUGAUAGUGAUGGUGAUAACUAGAAUGGUCCUAGCUGUGAAUAUAAUUAGUGAGUGCUUUAUUUAAACACAGUUGUUCAUACCACCAUAAAUGUAAUUGGAUGUGUGCUGCUAAUAGUGUGCUGACAUACAGUGGGCAGACUUGAGUUUGUGAUGUUAUGUUCAUUCUACUGUUCUGUGAAUGUUUAUGAACCGUAGCAGAUAUUGCUGUGCUUUCUUUAACAUCAAUAAAAAAAAGAAGAGGGUAAAAAUGAGGAUAAAUAAAUAUAAUUACUUCCAGGAUACAACAUUUCAAGAGGGAGCGAGAAAGAAAAAAAACCUUUAUUGUUUAUAUUAAGUUUGCAUUGCUGUGUUACAAAGUAGGCCCGUGGAAAGCUUGAUUACACACUAAUUAAGUAUUUAGAAUCUCAGGUCAUCCAUAACAACCCGUUUCAUAAGAAUAGAUUAAAUGUACAGAGUUAGUGCGCUGCACAUUAUCUGUAUUGCAUUAGGAGUUUUUCUAGUUUAUAACAUUGUUUUUCACCAAUGUUUAUGAAGCCAGCGUAGUAAAAACACAAUGUUGCUCAGCAGAGGGAAUUAUUAAGUGCUUAUUUUUAAUGUGGAUAUUCAGGUCAUACACCAACAGCAGCUUUUUUACAUAUUUAAUUAAGUGUGUCUAUAUAAUUAGAUAAUAUCCUGAUAUUGUUCCCCAUAUUUUUUUUUACUCAUGUUCAAUACCGAGCUGUAACCAAAAAGGCUCAACAGAUGAAUUUUAAUGAGUGGUUAGCCAUUAUUACCCUCAUUAUUUUCCAAUUAGUAAACUGUACUGUGCAUCAGCUCAACACAGGAACAUCCACGACUGUACCGUAACAUAAAUACAUCCCAAGGCUUAUCUGUGAACAACAAAAAAGCAAUAUCAGGCUAUAAAAGAGCCUGUGAAGGACACAUGACUGCAAGUGUGUUGCGAGACAAACAGUGUAGGAGAAUUGAGAUACAAUGCAUUGCAGAGAGUAGUAGCGUUGGUUUUUGACACUAAAAGCAAUCAGAGGCUGCAAAUAUGACAAGAAAUUAACUCCGUUAAUACUGAAGAGUGAUGAAUGGUGCAAAUGUCAUUUAUAAAAAUUAAAAAAAAUUACCCUGCAUGCUUUUAUUCUUAAAAUGAUCUCUGCAUAAACUGUAAUGCAACUCCCCAAGUCUAUCAGAUAGACAUCUUCAGGUACUGGGUUGUGUAUUUCUAUUUAUUCAGUUCAAGGGAGAAAUCAGCAACUUCUUUAUCCUCAAGAAGGAGGUUGUACAUUAUGAUGAGUAGAUGUGCUGUUUCCUAUGUACAGUAGGAGCGCCACCCAUCCUCGCCUUAUGCUACUGCAACCCCCCAUUCCAAUAAACACGCCUUCCAUGGCAGCCAUUUUCAGUUGAACCACAUCUGCGUGGCGUUUGACCUAUUUUCUGCAAGCUUGCCUUGAACGUGCAAAAGGAAAAAAACUACAAACGGUGUCACUGUAUUUCAGCCAACUCAGUUAUUUUGGGGGCGAAAAGAGCCGUCUUCGGGUGCAUAUCUAGCGUGAAAUGCAAGUGGCGGAGGAGUGACAUUGUCAGCUCGUUUUCUCCACCUUGUCUGUUGGUCGCCCAGCAUAAGAGCUGGUUGGCUAGACAGGCGGGGGCUGUGGGGUCAUUGUGUGUGUAUGGAGAGAUGCGCUGGGUGAAUAACCUUCCCCGGUAACAGCUGUCAAAUCCAGCAGAGCAGAGCAGAGGACAGAGAAGCAGGCCUGACUAGACCGAGCUCAGACACAGGACUGAUAGCCAAGGAUGGCAUAGGGGGUGGGCGUGGGCUGGACUGUCUGCCAGCAUCAAGUGUUGGGCUCAAGAGCUUUUGAUGGGUGGCCACACCGAGUCUCUUUACGGGGGUCUCGGCACCCAGGCAGCUUAUUGUUAAACACACUGCUCAUCUCUUUUAUUCCCCCCAAUGCAGAUUCCAUGCACAGCAGUGCAGAGCACACAGGCCCAACAGUUUCCCGGGACGCCGCCUUUGUCGAAGUGUCAGUCGCCAACGCAGCAUCUCAGCAUGGUUCACCGCUGGGCAUGACAGGGGAUGCAGACCACAUGAAGAGGGAUUAGCACCGCACCUAUUGUCUGGAGGCACAGUGCUGUUGGAUUUGGCUGCAUGGCUAUUCAAUGACUGUAUUUCUAUUCUCUGGCACUUGACAGGGACGCUCAGUGGCCCCACUUUUGUUCCGCUGCAGUAUCAGAAUGUGUUCAUGUCAUGCCCCCAGCCGGGCCCCUUAUUAUCCCAGUUGACACGACGAGGAAAGGUGCGAUGGUAGAUUCUGUUAGUGCUGUCUGCUGCCUGACCUGCAGGUUAGGUUGUUUUUUAACGGGUUAGGAAGAAGCUUGCUCCUCAUGUAUAAUUUACUGUUGAUUCUGUUAACGCUGAAAGGAGAACAUGUUGACCGAGACUUAACCUAUGAGGGUUUGGUCAGAUUUGAUGUUAUGAAUACAGAAUUAAGGGAUCUUCGGGGGUUUGUUGGGUUUUUUUUUCCUUCAUUCAUUCUCUUUUAUCAUUCAAACCAUAUCUUGUCCAUUUUGUUCAACUUUGACCUCUUAAAAUCAAUCCGAAAAUCUUAAACCGACACGUCUCUGCUGUUGGUUGGAUUUUAUAUAAAGGUGAGUUUAGUUUAUAUUUUAUAAUAGAACGUGGAAGCCUCAUUUUAGACGUACAUUCAUAUUGUCUUUAUUAUCAUUAUUAUUAUUUUAAUUUUUAAAUAUUUGGUCAAGAUAUCAUUUUUAAUUUUUGAUAAAUUUCUUUUGGAUCAAUAAAACAAUAACUAUAAUUUUUAUUCCAUCUGGCUGGGAAUAAUUUGGUUAUAGAUCUUAAGUGAAGCUCACUCUGUUCAGUUUUCAGAGGCCAAAAAUCCUCUGCCAUGCUGCACGGCAUUUUUUCAGCGUGCAGUUUGGGUGGUAAAGCACUGUGGAAAAUAGUGAUGGAUGGCUCCAUGGGCUCUUAUACAAUAGAAAGGUAGUGAAAGUUUUUUUCUUUUUUUUUUUUUCUUUUUUUUUUUAGAUCAAGGCAGCAGCUCCAGAAGAUUCAGAUUUACAAUGAAUGUGUUUUUCCUCGCUGUGUGCACUGAGAAAGCAUUUUUAUGCUUUCUUUCACCUCAGAGUUUUUUUUUUUUCCUUUUUGCGCUGUCAUACUAAAUCUUGGGACUUACUUCUUUCGGCUUGAUCUUUUCAUCUUCAAAGAUUAUACAAGUAGAGGUUGUCAUAAAUUUCCCUCAGCUCUUAUCUCAAUAUUUCAGAAAAAAACAAUGAGCUGUUUAGAAAAUCCCUCCUACAAAGUCACAGAAAAACACUUCCACAUGCAAACAAAUUAUGUGAUCACUCAGCAGUGGUGCCAGCAUUACUAAAGCAUGCUGCAAUGUUGAUGAAACAGUAAACAAACAUCUACUGUGACUUCAUUUGGACUUAAGGCUGAAUUGCAGACAUAUGCUUCUCUGUCCUGGUCUGAAUUUGAGUUUCCCUCUCAGCGCUGUUUACUGAAAGAUUUUCCUCCUACCUCUGCAGGAGAUGUUGAAAUAAAGAGAUGAGAAAAUCCCACAAAGCUUACCUUAUUGGUCCUUUGCCAAAGAGCAAUCCCCAGACAAAGGAAGCCCCAUACCUCAGAGGUACCACCAGCACUGAAAUUGAUAUUACUAUUACCUGCUAUUACAAACACAGUUGUCUUACAACUGUUUCUCAUUUUUUGAGGAUUAAGACAAAGUACUUAUACAAGAGCAUUGAACGCAAUCUUUAUUUUCAUUUUUCCUGCCUCGUGGUAAAGUCGUUGAUGUCACUGGAAGGUGAGCAACUGGGCCAUGGAUAGUUUAGAGGUUGUGGACGUUUCACUGUCUUGCUCAGACAGCCAUUAUGAGGAGGUUCUGCUUCCCCCAUCAGCUGGGAGUAAUGGCCACCAUAAAGGCCUUGAUUGCAGCUGCUGCAGAGCACUACUCCACAUAGCAGAGCCACUUUUGGACUUCUUCAAUCAUCUGUCUAGCUCAUGUACAACCUUCCAUCUCAGACCACUUUUUAUGUGCAUUACAUUGGUACCUGCUACUACUCAAACAAAAUAAAACUAUAAUAUAAAGUUCUGGAAAUGAAAAAAGAAAUGUUCUCACAUGACGCAAAAAAAGUAACUUGAAAAAGUAAAAUUUUUAUGCUACUAUUUGGCAAACAAACGAAGUGCAGAGUAAAAAAAACAGAAAUUCUCCUUCCAAAUCAUGCAAAGUGAGGCUUAAAUAAACAGGCUUAAAUAUGUGCACUGUGAAUGUGACCUAGGCCGAAUGUCUUUUUAAAGCCCUUGGCCUUGGACAGCAGGCAUGAUCCUCCCACUGAAACUGUGUCACUCCAUCACAGCUUGUGCUUUCAAAGAGAUUUUCAGGGUAACAAAUGAGAGUUUUAUGAUUGACUUUGAGAUAUUUUUUAGCUUUCUGCUUAUUGUUUAUGGUUUUAUACAAAUGACAAUAUCUUUCUGCAGAACCUUACUCACACACAUGUCGCUGGAUAAUGUUACUUCAUCAAAAGACUGAUAAAAUGUGAAAAAAAGCAUAGUAUAUCUUCAACAUAAAUAUUUAUAUAUAAAGUUAGGCUUAAAAAAAAUCCAGCUUACUCUGCGUCUCUAACAGGGUAAUAUAAGUGUGAUGAAGGGGGGCAAGGCGGGGGAAAUUUUUUAGCACCAUUUGAGGAGCAGCAACAGAGUGUGUGUGUUGACCAGUCAUGGCAGAAAUCUGGAGGAGGUGUUCCACAUUGUGUCAGUUGCUUCCAAUUCACUGGAUCACCACAUUCAUGUACAAUCAGCCCCGUAAUUAAGGGAAACCAACCCAGAAAUUAUCAAUCAGUUAAUUACGGGGAUGCUGCAAAACAAACCCAGCUCCUGAUUGAAACCCACUGGCUGCCCUUACAAGACGCUUCCCUCAUCCAAAUGCAACCAGGAACUGACCAACAAAAACACUCAUGCUCAUGUGCUAUGCAGUGUUGCAAAACUGUGUGCAGCAGUGGUUUUAUAACUUUUUUAGCUUCAUGUUCUCUAUUUUUACAGUAUCUGUAAAAUACAACAUAAUUUAAAGCAGCUCAGAUUUCCUUCUCCAUAUUUCCCUUUCAAACUCCUAAAUUAUUUUUAGGUUAAUUCACCUUUAAUUUACAGUGCUGUGCUUGCGGUCUGGCGGCUCUCCAGGUUUAAAGCACUUUUAAGCUGCCAUGCAGCCAGUUGCACAAUAAAUAUUUCACAUAACAUGUAACAGCAACAUGUAACCAGCUAUUAACUCCCCAAUGACUGGGAAACAGAGAGGUAAUUCAAUUGUGGAACGCCGUGUUUAGUGGUUUCCUUGUGCUUGAAAAUUGUACGGAAGGAAAAUGCUUGUGCUGUAGAAAAGCACCGUAAAAUCUGUACGCUUGGUUGGCAGACAUUGGUAUUUCAUUUCACUCAAGUGGUCGGUGGAGGAAGAGACGGCACAAAAAGAAAACGCACUGGUUACAUAAAUUGACAGAUACAAAUUGCAAAGAGCUAUGAACUUCUGACACAAAAAAAUCAUUCUUUUAUUCUAUUUAUGCAUUAAAAACUACACAUGUACAUUAAAUUUAGAUGCAGUGCAGCGAGUAUUAUCCCCGAGCAUUCGACACAAAGCUUUGUAAACUUUCUCCCUGCUGAAAACUCUGCACACCACACACGCACACGUUUAAUGUGAUUCACUCAACUUCUUUGUUCCCACAUAAGACCAAGAAGGACCUAUAAAUUGCCCGACUCAGGACCUCUAUUUCCCAUCAAUAAAUUCCCUCUGCCUCCUCUAGGCAUCAAAGCAUCAAAAUGCAUAACAAUCCCUUGAUAGUGUCAGUAACCUACAGCUCAUCUUUAAAGUAAACACUGGUCAGAUGGAAUUAAAGGGGAGGUUCUGUGUUUUUCUUGGCAGGAAAUAAGACACAGAAACAAAAACGCAGCGAUCAUGCAUCUGCUGUACUGUACAUGAAGUCAUUAAGAGAGGGGCUUGAGUAGUGUUGCGCCACAAUCCAAGUCUAUCUGGCCUUCACAUGAAUAGUAUAACAGCAUUUUUACUAAGUACUAACAGGAGAAGUUUUCCUCACAUUGGCUCUUGUUUGCUUUGAUUACGUCUUUUUUUCCCCCUGUUUUUUGUUCAGUUUCUCUUCCAUCAUGUCUUGUAAUUGGUUUCCUCGUGGCGUCUCUGCACAUGAUGCAAAUUGCACAGCGCCACAGAUCUGAGCAUGUUCUGACUUGUUUGAAGUGACCCCGUAGCCAGUGACUCCAAGAUGUUUUUUUUUUUGUUUUUUUAUUCUGAGAGCUGCAUCCAAAACAGGGAUGCUGAACGAACAAGGUCCUCUGCUGGUGGCAUGCGAGGGGGAAGAUUGGAAAGAGACUUGAGAGGCCAAAUCACCGAAUCUGGGCCCAGGGUUUUUUGGCAGGCAGCAGAGUGUGAAAUUUACAGAAUUUCUUAUGUUGCUCGUGCAGCUGCCUCUGAGCCUGUAUCACAGUAUUGUCAGACAGUAGCUCUGAGAGGAGACCAGAGGGCUGGAUGGAAGGAGUGCAAGAAUCCAGACUUGAUGUUUGGCCAGCUUUUGUACAAAUACUACAGUGCAGAUGAAAUAGCAGAAUUGGUGUAUGAUAUUCAUUUUUCCCUGAAUGAUAGUGCUUCAGUGGCAACAUUUGGCCGCUUAAAUUGUUCUUCCUCUUUUUAGCCUUUUACUUACUUCUGAAAUCCCCCCGGUGUAUCUAGUCAACAAAGCAGCAGUUCAAAACAUCCUCAAAAGCUGUGAUGUCUGAAAUAUUUGGUGGAACAUGAAUCAAAGAGAGUCACAACAGGAAAAUAAAGAAAAUUCCUCACUUUUCUCCCCUUUUGCUCCUCUUUAGCCUGUUUUCAUUUUCUUUCUUCUUGCCAUAACCAAGAGCCUCUUGAAUGUGCAUAGCAAAGAGGUGGAAGUACUGCAGCAUGCCUAAUUUGCAGGAGGCCCCAUGUUUUCGUUACAAAUUGCAGUCACAUAUCAUUUAGUUUCCCUGUAUUACUGCAAAGAAAGACAAUCAGAAAACCUCAAAGAGGGCCACCGUACACUGAUCUCAUCCCUGGCUCCGGCCUCGCUCCCAGUUCGUCUCACUAACUGUCUCUCUGCCUCAGCCAGCAUGUCUGGAACAGAUGCCUUCUUAUUUUGACGGCCUGCUGCUUGCCUCAGUCAGUUGGGCAGCAGGUCACAAAUGCUCACAUACCCAUGAGGACACAUAGACACACACACGCACCCGCACAAACCCCUACACAGCGAUGGCUGUGAAGCAUGUGUGUUUAACUUACUGGUUGUUUAAGUAAGCUGAGAAGAAUCCCCUCAGGUGAUUAGUUCAUUUGCAAGUCCCCGGCUGUGGAGGCGAGUACAGGCCCACUGCCCUGCUCUCUACUUCUCUCUGUUUAGCCCUCACACUCUCUCUGUCUUAUGCCUUCACAACCAGCCUGAGCUGCCCUAUCCUUUCUGCUUUAUUCCCCCCUCUGUUCUGCUGUUUGUUUGUAUUUCUGUGGACUCUUACAGAGGAGAGAGAGAGAGAGAGAGAAAAGAGGAAAAAAGCUAAGGGAGAGAAAUGUUAAGCCAGCUAGAGUAAUAGUGCCGGCCUUUGUCCUGCACUCAUUAUUUUCGCUUUGAUUACAAUCUGGCUCAGCUCGAGUUACCCUAAUUCGUCCGACUGAGGCUUUGGCUGAAAUUGUGCUGUGCUGAGUGAUGGUUGAAUUGAAGCAUCUGGGGAGUUCAGCACAGGAUUGGGUGUGUAAAGGGGGAAAAAAUCAUAAUAAAAAGAUAAAUGCAAAACAAAGGCAAAAUCUGUGGUAAUAAUGUGACAAAUGUGCAGCAUCAUAAUAAAGCCAAUCUCCGAGUAAAUUUUAGACUCAUCCAGCAUGGAGGAGAUGUAAACGAUGAGACCAAGCGUGUAAUUCCUCCAGGGACAGUUUCAUGCCAACGGGAUGUCUUGUUUAUGCCAGAACGAGAAUGUUGAGAAAUGGUCUUGUUUUUUUUUUCUUGUCUUUUUUUUUUUUUUCAUGUGCAGCGCUGAGUGGAUGGGAUAGCAAGCAAGCAUGCUGGGAUUCUCUGGCCAGUGACGGUAGUACCAUGGGAGGGGAAUGAGAGCGGAGGAAGGCGCCUCAGGGCCAACCACUACUAGACACUGAGCACUACAGAGACCUGGUCCCCAUGUAGCGCUAAUCACAACCCCCUGCUCUUUCCAUCUGUUCUCCAUCAGCGGGCCUUACAGUACCACUCCACCGCUUUACCUCCAUCCAGUCUCCAUCCUCAAACCUUCUGGCUAUUGCUCUCGUAGUCUCUUAACCUCCUUUAGCUAGAGUCUUUGUUAAGUUUUCAUUUUUCCGUUGCUUCCCUGAACUUCUGAGGAUGAUGGAUUUGUCACAACAAGUCGAGGGGCAGAGGCUUUUAACCUCUACGCCCAGAUUAUUAGCCUUUGUUUCUGAAUAUUUUGCUCCUACAGCCAAACCAAAGCAAACGUAGAAAACUUGACAUGUUAAUCCUGAUUACUUUCUUCAUGCACUCUAUCAUUGCCACACUUCUAUUUCCCCUCCCACACAAUAUUUCCCAAUUAAGGUCCCCUUUGCCUUCUGGUCACAGCACGUAAUCUGGUAGAAAUGGCUCAAAGUGUCGUCAGACAGAUGUGACUAUUCCAACUACGACGCCUUUGUCACUUCAAUUACUAGCCCUGCUCACAGUUGUACUAUAGCUGUGCUGGUUUCUGCUGCCCCUAAUGAUCAGAUUAGAGUUACUAAUUAAAAAAAAAAAGAAAGAAAAAAACAAUAUUACGAGCUGCCCUAACGCUUCUCUGGGUGGUGAUGAGUGAGGGCAAAGUUAUUAUUCUUUUGAACUCCUGCCGUGUGGGGGAAAGACGGCAGACAUUCAAAGCAGCAUGACGUUUGGUGUUUGUUAUUUCUUUUUUACUUUUUUUAAUUCCUGGGCUGGAGAUUUAUAGCUUGAUAAGUGCUUCCAACUUUCUAUUUUUUUCGAAUGGGGAUAAUUUAAAUGCACCUCACAGGCUGAGAGCCUCUCUCUCUCUCUCUCUUUCUCUCUCUCUCUCUUCCUUCUAUUCCCCUGUUUCUCUCUGUCUGACUUCGUUGCUGUGGUCUUUUCUAUUCUCAUAUAUUUCCUUUUAUUGUAUUUGUUUUAAAUCUGCUCUUUCUCCUGUAGCACAGAUCAUCAGUCUUUUAUACUAUUUGGGUUUGUGUUUCCCUUAUAUCUUGAUGCAAAUCAACCUGUAAUCUUGAAGAAAGAUGUGAUACGACCGCUGCGUUUCUUUCUCUAAUUGAUUUAAGCUGUUUAAGUCAUCUCCAUGAGCUCAUGUUUUUCGCUCCUGAAUCAAAAAUGUCUUACACAGCAUUAUAGCAUCAGUGCACAAGUGUUGUGUGUAGAGAGGACUGUAAAUAAAACAUGCUUGAGGCCGAGAAAAUGACCCACAUACACAGACAUGCUUCCUGCUGUGCAUUUUAUCCAUUUCACCCACUUGCCUUCGAUUUGAACAGCUCAGCCAGAACUUUUGGCCUUUCCUUUCUUUUACUAAGAACAGGCAAAAACAAAAUGAAUCUUUUCCUUGUAUUUGGGUCAAAUAUAUACAACAGAAUAUUGUUUGUUGAAGAUUUUAUAAACUCGCCCCUGACAGUCAGGAGCUUCUUGUGGUUGUGCCCACCAAACUCUUCCUCAUUCAGCCAUUACAUCAUUUGUUUCUAUACUCUGUCAAGCAUGACUGCUCGACAGCUCAUCCGUAUAAUUAAAAAAACCUUUAAGCAAUUUGCUGGCGAGUGUCUAAUAUUUUUAGCCCUGUCAUUAUUCCCAAUGCAUAGAUUGGCAUGUCAUGGAGGGAACGCAGUCCUGACAGCAUCUCACUCCCCGUUGUUCAUUUGGGGAAAAUUUGGGUAUAGGUAGCCAGGUUGGUGAUGGAGCUUUUGCCCAAUUUAUUCCUUCAAGUGUCAGUUAUACAGACAAAUAUGUGUAGCAUCAGUGUGGGGCGAGAUUUUGAGCCGUUACAGCCUGUCAACAUAGUGAGAGCGCGGUCAUUAAUCACCAUACAUUUGAUCAGAAUGCAGCAAACCUCUACUGUUUCCUGUGAUGGAAGGACAAUGGAAGGCUGUGUUAGAUCUUGUUCCACUAAUUAGGUUAGUCCAGCUAAUGGCCAUUUAGAUGGAGGAUAACAGGGAGGCAUUUUACUCCACAAAUGUGGGGAUGGAAGCUGAAGCUCUCGUGUAUUAAAAUAUACUCAAGAUAAAGAAGAAAGCUUACAGUUUUAGGUGACGCUUGCUUUGAACUUCUUAAAAGGUUAAAAGGUACCGGUAAAAUAUUUUUCUCUGCAACUGUGCACUCAACCGGGACAAAAAAAGAAACACUCAGCAGGUGUUUUCUUCUCUUUAUUGUCAAAGUCCACAUGUGAUAAGCCUGAAUUUGAAUGUUGAGUUGAAUGUGGAGUGGAAACAGCGAAUGUGCUACAAGUGGUCCAUAAUUUAAGUAAAAAAGCUUUUCUGCCUUGCUGUACACCUCAUAGUUUCAGCACAUAGAGCUCUUUUCAGAGAAAUGUUACCUACAUUCCUUUGAAAGGAACAACAGCCCACUGUACAGGGCGUGGGAAUAGAGAAGGGAAUUAAAAUUACAAUACCUGCAUGCCCAGCUGCCCAACUCAAAUUGCUCGGCUGUUAUAUGCUUCUCUAUGCAAUAUCCUGCCAUUGAGCUCUGUGCAAGGCGCGCUAAUAAUGAAGCUGUCUCCUGCGUAAGGAUUUCCGUGGUCAUGAAAAUUGGAAUAGAGGGAAUAUAUUUGUGACUGUACCGGCCCAAAUGGGCUAAGGGGCUUGCUAUUCCCCCAUCCAAAGGCACUGUUUUUGUGUCGCAUCCACUGAAAAUGGCUUCCCAGUUGCCUUGGCUUGAUAUUACCAAAAGCACUGGAAAAGUAGAAUUACUCAAGUGAUAUUGCAGAAAAUCUUCAAGGAAAAUAAAAUUUAAAAACAAAGAUGGUCCUUUGGAGUAACUCUGGGUGCAGUUCCUGUUUGGCUGCCAUUACAGACCUUUUAUGUCCUUCUAAAUGUGAAUAAAAUGUCUUUUGUCCUUACCAUGAGUGAGCAGCCACUGACAUGAGGAAUAGGCCCACUGCUUUAUACAGUCUUACAUGACAGGCUUUGUGACUUAGUCAAAAUGGAUUGCUACUUCAGCUCUGUCUGUGUUUGCGGGGCUCUCACAGGAAGAAAAUGAUUGACCCUGAAACAUAUUCAGUAUUUUCAUUUAGUUGAAGCCCUGGCAGUAGCAUUGUGUUUUAGUGGGCGGCAGAGACUCUUUGGUAGCAUUUGGCAUCUUCACUGCGAGAUAUGUUUUGGAAAAGUGAAUUAAAGAAGAGAAUUAAAGCUCCCUAAUUAAAGCCGAUAGUUGUAUUUCAUGGCAUCCUAUGGUGUGUUUAAUAACUUCUGUUCAUCUGUAUUUCCCAGGUAUAACAUUUAAGCGGUGAAGAUUUCCCUGCGAUCUUCCACAGACUGAAUUUAGGGGAAUCAUAGUGGUUAAAAAUUAUAAAUAUUACGGAUUCUGUGGAGGUGAAUAGAAAAAAUUAUGAUGGGAGGAAAACUGUCAGAGUUGGAUUUUUAUAUUCAUACUCAUUCACAGUGUACGCAUGAAUGUUUCCCAAUAUAUAAUCAUAUAGAAAUGUUUAGUUUUCUGAAAUGACAAGAAUUUUCCCCCAACUUUCACGACGUAGAGAAGGUCUGGGUUUGAUUUGCUGUGGUUUUUAGAUAUUUGCUGCUUGGGAUUCUGCCGUCACACUAUUGAAAUGCUAUUAUAUUUGAAAGCCUCAUCAGCAAUAUGUCUGUCUGGAAACAAUAGCCUGGUUACUUCAUGCAAUCCACAGACCCUGCUGGCCCCAGUUUUCAUUAGGGACUGUUUUCUAGUGGCUCUCUCAGCGCAUGACAUCUGAAAAAUUGUUGGCAAAUGAAACUGAAAAUAUCUGCAAGUCUGGAUGACUCUUGGGAAAGUGGAGCAAUAUGUUGUUUUCUUAUUUGUUUUUUGGUAGUUGUUUUUGUUGGGAAGCAAAUCUCAUAAAAUAUAAAAGCGUCUAUAAAAAGAAGUCUAAGAAUUUGGGAGGUUUCAUAUCAGAUGAGUUCUGAACACUCAAAAAAAGUAAACUACACACAAUUACACCAGUAUGUUUGGAUAUGUCUUUAGGUGUCUGGGGUCCUCAAACCCCAGAUCCCCCUUUUUUUAGAGGUGACCUGUGCACCAUGAGUGUCCUGUGGGCCUCAGUCACUCCCACACAGACACACACACAGCCUGAUGUGCAGCUCCAAAACACUCUGUAUAUUGCUGUAUCCACUGCCUAUAAGCAUGUACACAAACACACAUAUUCUCACAGCGUGGGCACAUCUGGUUUCCAGGACGGCUCUCAUGAAUGCAGACCUUUCAGCUGCCAGAACAGGGAGGCUAGUGGUGUUAAUGACUGGGGCAUACGAGGCUCCCAGGAUGAAAACGGUGAGAGGAUGCAAAACAGAGGCAGCCAUCACAUCUAAGAGGUAACACAAUCCAUCCAACAGGAGCAACCUGUGUGUGUGUGUGUGUUCAUGUGAAUAAAUGGCCGAAAGGGUUUCGGCCAGCUAAAGGUCCUUGGGGUCAGAGGAGGCUGCCCCAGCACCCCGGCACGUAUGUGCCAGGUCUGGCUUCCUCCCAAAAAUGCAGAGAGGUCAGAGCAAUUUCCCAGAGUCAGGAGUAGGUCAGGGUCCCACUUCCCUUACGUAUCAGUCAGCGAAGGAUGAGGAGGCGAGAGCAAGGCCUGGUCUUUGUAGAAUUACCUCCCCUAAUCCCGUAAGGGCUGCAGGGAAAGUAUGCUGUUGUUUUGUAGGGCAUGAGGUUACGUGAGGGGAAAUGUGGAAACCACAGACAAUGAAUUCUUUCAAGUCUGCAACUUAAAAUGCAAUUACUCCAUCCAGAAUAGGGCGGGGAAUAUGCUCACAGGUGUCAUUAUCUCUCUGGUUUUUGGCCCAGUCCCUUCAUGCUUUUUGUAGAAGUUGUUCUUUAGUGUCAGUGUGGCAUGUCACCUCACUUGGCAGCAGAAAUUGAACUUUCUCAGGAACUGAAGAGAAUACAUUAAGAGAGGAAGAGAAAACCAAAUAAGAGCUCAGUGGUGGUUUUAAGUAGUGAGCUUGCAGUUGAAGGGAUUAUUUUACAGAUUUGCUCAUUUUGCAGCAAGGUUUCUUCUUGACCCAGUUUACAACUUUCUCUCCCUCUCUCUCUCUCUCUGCUCCCUCUCUGUACAGUCAGCUUUGAUUUCCCACAGAAAGGUAGCAGUCCAAAUAUACCACAUUUUCAUUGCAGUUAGGUUACUUAGCAGGCUGCAUUAAAGCCCUCCUUGUGAAAAUAACACCUGUGAACACAAUGGUAAUGGAUAGUGCAGCUCGCUCCAACUACUCAUUAGCAAUAUCAAACCUGAUAGGAAUCUAAAUCCCUCUGUCUCUUGGUAAAUGUGACUCUGACUGUGGGUCAACAAACCUAAAAUGUUGCAUAAGAGCAAAGGGAGACAGCCUGAAUCCGCUUAUUAAAAUGGGAAAGUAAUUGGUGGUCCUACAGUGAUAAGUGUAAUGAAUUUAAAAACCUAUUGGAGACGGUUUUUAAUACCUCUGGAAGAAGGGAAACUCAGUUUGAGCGUCGACAUGUCCCACUUUUUUGCCCUUUUUUGAAAACUCUACUUAUAUGCUGCAGCUGUAUUAAGGGAUGUGGAAAAUCAUCCUACUCUUUCAUAUUUAUUUUUGUUUAUUUAUAAUUUUGCUAAACAUCGUUUCAUGUCUGCAACCUCAUGAUUCUGCCAAGCUAACAUCCAGCUCAUGUCAUUAGGAAUUAAUGAGUAUUUAGUGCCACAUAUAAAAAGCAUGUAUCCAGGGAUAGUUAUGUGUUCUGCCGCCUUGGGAGCCUUCUUCCUCGCUAAGAUCGAAACCCAUCAGCGCUCUGAUUUUUCCAGCUGCCGGAAUAAGUCUUUCACUGCCUACUCUUUUAGAAACCUUAUCCAAGUGACGACAGGAAAAAAGGAACAAGAGAGAAAAAUGUAAAUGCUUUUAGAUAAUUCCAAUACUAGAUUAAAUUGUGAAAAAAAAAAAAAAGCCAACAAAAAUUGGAAAAAUAAUUCCACUGCUGCUUUUGGUGUUGUGCUAACACAUUUCACUUGAUGCAUGAUUAGCUCCACAUCUGAAAUCACGACCCGGCAAGUCUGAUGCUACAACAAACAGGCAACCUGCGAGCGCCACUCGAGCUGUUGAUAACAAAAGCCAUCACCCUGUGCACCGCUAAGCAGUUACCACAUGAUUUUAUGAGAGCCACGCUCAUUUACGAGUGCAAUCAGUUGCAACCCAAUGCCCCAUAGGAUGUCAGUGUUAGCGCCCCUCUUUGUCCUAUGAUGAUGGACUGUCGGUUCAAUGGCGUUAUUGUAGCUGUAGUGGCCAUCCAGGGAGUAAUACAUUGAUAACAAUAUCAGCUCAUAAAGACGGGCUGUUGGAGAAAAGGUCACUCUUUUCUUCUGCCUACUAUAUCUCUCUCUCUCUCCUUCCCUCCCUCCCUCCCCACGUCUUAUGAUGUCUCUACGGAUUCUCCGUCACUCCCGCCCUCUCUCCUCUCUUCUUUCUCUGUAUGUGUCUCUCUAUCUUGCUCACUCGGGGUGACGACGGCUGCCCCUCGGUGUGUAAAGAAGCUGGAAUGUCAUGUUUUAACUGGAGUUAGAGGUAUGUUGACAGGCCAGACAGAGGGAACAGAUGGCAGUGUGACAUGCCCAAGGUCAUCUGGCAUGCUACUGUCGGGAGCGCUGGAUUUGAAACCCAACACUUUUCUUUUUUUUUUUCUUCUUCUUUUUUUUUUUUGCCUGCUUCCUUUUUUCUUUCCCUUGGAUUUCUCCUCUCCUGCUCCCUUCUCCCUCUAUUUACCUUUCGUUUUUCUUUCACCUCUAUCUCUGGCCGCUUUGUCCCCUACUUUUUUCCCUGCUUCUUAUUUUCCUUCUCCUCUUUCCUCUGCUUGCCCUGUCUCUAACUCCUUUUCUCUUUUUAUCAGCCCUUCCCACCUCAAUGUAGGUCACAAAGCCUCCUGUACAGGCUGCUGCCUAUCUCUGCUUAAACACACUGCCCCCUAAACUCUCCUGACUUCUCCAUUCACACACACACACACACACUUCUUCCACAUCCGAGUUUUGUCCAACUUCCUUUCCUCUUUCUCUCCUCUUCCUGUCUUUCUCGGUUGGAGUCACAUCAGCCCCAGAGCCAAAUAAAAAUCUGCCAAACUACUUUUGUCUCCUAAAGUCUUGCCCCAAACAGCGCUGUCAGCAGAGAUGUAGAAAGAAUCCAAAUGAGCUUUAAUUACCUGUGCAGCCAUGCCCAGAAGGUCGUGCACCGGAAAUCCCAACCACACCGGUACAGUAAGCAUGCCCUGUCACAACACAUGGCUUCUUUGUCUUCCAGCUAAUUUCCAACAGAAGCAUAAAGUAGACAGAGAAGGAAAAAACACACACAUAGAGGAAGAGAGAGGGAGGGAGGGAGGGUGGGUAGCAAAGGGAGAGAAGUGCUGUCUCUCCUCGCUGCCUUACCCUCUUCGUUGAAUGUUUUUGAGAGCGUGUGGAAAAAAAACCCCAAGAAGAAAAAUGUCCUCACUUUACCCGAACUCUUGUCAGAAGUGGACGUUUCAGCUCAGCAGGCAGAGCCGUUUGUCCCUAAACAACAUUCCCUUUUUUUUUUUGGGCGUGAUAAAGAAAACAUGGUGAUACAAAAAGGAAAGUUGGGAGCUUAAAAACCUUUUCAUUCAUGUGAUUAACAUUUUGGGAGCACCCAGCUUCAUACAGUACAGCAUGUUUUUUUGAUUUGCAUGUUUAUCAAGCAUGUCAGACAGUGCAUGUCCACCCCGCACAGAACGCUGUAGCCUCUCGUUAUAAUUUUAAUGUUCCCUUGUGGGACUCCUACGGUGCUUUAGCUCCAUUCGUAGCUUUCACUGGCUGCUCCCAGCGACACAAAGAGUGGCCUGAACAAAUCCUAACAAGCUGAGAAGGACACCAUGACAACAGCAGCCGCUUGAGGUGACAUUUCCUCCAACAAAUAAACACACAAAUUUGUUUUUUAAGGGACUUGGUUCAACUAGAUCUGCCUUCCCCCCUCUGAUCAGUGACUCAAAACACACUGUGUUGUGUUUAUUAGCAUGUGUGUGCACUUGGUAUUUGUAGAUGUUGUGUUUGUUGUUGCUGUAGCUCAGGCCCUGUGAUUAUGCCUGUCGUUUUUUGGCAGAGGGUUGUCUGAAUAUUAACAACAUAACAAUGCUAGGGCUGAUUAGCCUUGAACGCAGCAUAGACGGCAGAUCUCUAUCUGGGUUGAUACAGCAGUAAAAUCACGCUGGGAGUGGGAGAGAGAGAGAGAAAGCACACACAGAAAGAGGAAGAAGGGAGGAAGGGAGGAAAAACUGUUUCAAAUCUUCUCAUCUACAAAGGUUAUUUUCUGAAUAGUAAGUCUUUCAGCAUAAAACCGCAUGUUUUUCCUUGAAUAGAAAUAUGCGCAGCCACAAACAGAGAGCAUAUGGAUGUAUUUAUGGCACUGCUUUGUUCUUGCAGUGUUGAAUGUGUAAUGCUGAGUCUUUAAAAAAGCCUCUUUUCAUCUCUUGUUUUUUACUACGUUGCCCUGCUUUUUUACAAAGGCGUUAAACUUAGAGUAAAUAGAAUUACAAGGUAAAUUACUAGUAGACGCUGAUAUCAAUUGUUGCAAUUACACUUCAUAAACCUACUCGUUGCUUGGCACUCGCAGCUUUUUGCAGUCAUGGGAAUACAGGACAUUUUCUGUUUAGAGGAAAAAAAGAAGUUAAGAGCAAGUAUAAAAAGUCACGUCCAACAAAAGUUGAUGGCAGUCAAAGUCAGGGUCCAGAUUGACAUCUCGGUGAGCAAUUUGAUUUUGUGGACAACUCCAAAGUUGUUGCUUCGGCCAUUAAUCACCCGCCUCUGGAGAGGGGAGCCCAGUGGAGCACAGGGCCCUCUCUGUGCUUCUACUACCGACUGAAAGCCAAACCCAGCGUUCUUGAACAAUAGAUGCCCCAACGUGACACCAUUUUGUUACAGUGUGUGUGUGUCUGUGUGUGUGUGUGAGGGGGCAGGACGGAUUCUUGAAAGUACAGUGACACCUAAAGGCCUGAUCCUAUAGGCCGUCUCUGUCUCUCUACUUCUCUCUCUCUCUCACCAGCUCUUGACUCAAGGACAUGGUGAAAUCUGGCCCGAAAAAAAAAAACUGAUGAGUUUUCACUUUUACUGCACUUGAUAGUUCCAAGCGCUUUUACAGGGCAUCAAAUUCCUCUCCUAAUGACAUGCCUGGGGCUGCCUGCAGGAAAAGUGGCAUUUUCAUCUUGCAGCCUGAGCAUCUGAUUGGACAUUGGGUUUAGGAGCUGAAAAAAUGGAUGCUGUGCGAUUUUAAAAUGUUUUCUGCUAUUGGGACUGUGGUGUGGGUCCUGUUUUUGUGCCCUUAAACCAGUUAUUUUUCUUUUUCUUUCCUUACUUUGUUGUCUUUUUGGGGGGUUGUACACUGCAAAGGACGACCUUGUGUUGAAAAAGGAAUUACAAAAGUUUUUUUUUUCCUUUUUUUGUGCCUUCGAACCUACUAUUUUAAAAUGUCUCUAAUUUUCAUGGUAAUAUUUGGAUUUUUGGUCUAAUAUGGACGUGAAGUCCUAUCUUGUAUGAGUAUCUUGUCACUUUUUUUUUUUUCAUUUCUUUUUUUUUAUUUUAUUUUUUUUAUUUAUUUAUUUUUUGUCAUUUUUUCCCCCACAAACCAUCCAGUUUUUUCCCCCUGUGGUUGAUUUUUGUUGUAUUUGACAGUUUGCUAUUGGUAUUCAGCUUCUUUUCCAAAAUGAAUAUCAGAUUUUUUUUUCCUCAUUGAAAAUUCAACUUUUUUUUCUAUAUUUAUUUUUCUGGAUUUUUUUUUCUUUCUCUCCUCCAACUAUCCGUUCUGCCCAAAGUGGAGGUUAGUUUCUGCCUUUAUUAAUAUUUAUACAGUUUUUUUCUCACAACCAAGACAGUAAGGGUUUAAAGAUUCAAACUGUUAAUUAUAUAUUUAAAGGUUGUAUGUUAAAUUUACUUAUGUUUACAUUCACGGUUCCUGAAAACAACGAAUCAUCUGCGAUUUCGUUUCCCAUCACACCACUGUGUUAGACUCGUUUACAGUACAGAUCCUCUCUGUCUCUGGCUGUUUUUCUGUUUCUCACACGCACGCACUCACACACACACAUUCCCCAGCUGAAAAGCACCACUGUAGUGGUGAGAUCCUCACUGGGCAGCUCUUUGAUCUCCCUUGUCUCUUGUGUCCGCUUUCACGGCCAGCGCUGCAUGCAAAGCCAGUUUUUAAUAUGGCAACGCACCCUGGGUCCCAGAGUAACAAUAAACUUUACCUUCAACUGUCAGCAGGUCUUAAUCACUGGGAUUACUGCAGCACUAAAUGUUGGAUUCCUGUUCAUUUUCCUGCCGUUGAAAAAGGUAAACAGACCCAAAGAGAUAAAUAUCCUUUGGAGUUCGCAAUCACAUUUUCAUCACUUGCAAAUAUGGCACGGAAGUCAAAAAUGGGGAAAGAAUAAGCCUCAGUUUGCAUGAAUGUAGAGGUUCACAAUGGAAUUCUUUUUAGCUGGUGGGCUUUCAACCACAAAUGUACAAUCAGUCGUUCUCAUAGAGCCUUCAGCGGGGCUUUUAUUGGCUGACCUGUGAACAGCAGAGCUGGAGCUCAACAGGCUCACUAAUGGAGCUUUAGAGGCCUGCACACGCUGCAAAUGGCUGCAAGAUAUAGUGAGCAUGGGAUUGCUUCUGCGGUCUAUACCGAUGGAUGGAGUUAUCCAUUCAGGGUAGUUUCUCUGUAGGAGCAAUAAGAUGGCUAUGUAAGGAAUAUAUAUAUAUACUUAUUGUUAUUAUUACUAUUUUUAUUAUCACUCUGUAAAGGCAACAGUGUUCAGACAGUAUUCAUAGCCAUGAGUAGUAAAUAACAUGUUUAAAUGUUAAUAAAUAAAUGCUGUUUUAAAGAAAACUUAAGUGUUUUUCAUUAUAAAGUAUUAAGAUAAUAUAUGGAGACCAGUGUUAUAAUUUGCUGUCGUGUUGCAUUUUAAAUAUAUCCACUUAUUCUUCGGCUCUUCAUAUUUUUAUUUAUAAAAACCGGUAGGUCUUGUGCUUUAUGUGCCAACAGCUCUUCUAGUGUCAAAAUUGUAUCUCAUUGUCUCAACAUUUCCUCUAACAGGCAAAAUAUUUGAAAUAAGUACCAAUUCACACAACCUAAAAAUGGCGUCUAGUGGAGUGAAGUGUGCCGUUUCAGAAAGUGAGUCCGUGCUCGGCUGGAUCCAAAUAUUUUACCAUAGCUUAGCUGCUCCACUAAAAUGUGCACUCCAUUGCCCCUUCAUCUUGCUUUGAAAACACCACUGGAUUACGGGCCAUUGUCUCAGGAGUCAGGCGCCUUGACUCCCUGGCGACACGGGUCUGGUGCUUGUGUCAUGUGGUGAGGAGAGAGAGAGAGAGAGAGAGAGGCUUAAACAAUUCAAGAGUACAGACUCUUCUGCAGGCUCUGAAAGAUUGGGCCUGCAAACAAGUGUUCAUGCAUUUUCAACAGUGAUAUCACUCACAGGGAAUGCAAUUCAGGUUGCUUCAGAUGAAUACAUUAAGUAACGAGGAGCAGCCAUUUAUUUAGAUUGUGCUGUAUAGUCAAAGUUUAGGCUAAGCAUGCCUGCACUUUGGUUAGACCAGAAAAAAAUAGCUUUGUGGGUUUUUUUGUUUUAGUUUUAUUCUUAUUCAGACAAUUGCAAUCCAUGGAAGUGACCCCACUUCGUAUUUUUAGCACUUUAAAACAGAUUUGAAUGUAUGAAUAAACUCAUGCAAUCACAAAUAUUCCGGAUCCCUACAUGAAUAUUUUCGGAGAGAAUUUGUGUUUUCCUCAGACAGCAGGGAUUUCUCACACAUUUGUCUUUGGUUUUCCAUCGCAGCCCAGCAGUUAAGCGAGUGUUAUCCGGCAGACAUGUUCCCAUCACCCCUUUUCCCUUUUACUUAAUUGACUCGCAAUGAUUCCAGCUAUCAGAGUGUAAGCACCACGGAUAUAUGAUGGCCGUCUUUAUUGAAAUGAUUUCCAUGGAUGUUUGUCUCACUCCUGGCUCCAUGUCAGACUUUUAGGAGGAGAGACAGAGAAGGGGUAAAGACAGAAGGGGGAUGUGGGGAAAGGAGAAUAUGAAAUUGAUUAGUUAGCUGGAUGGAAAAUAAAGACUUCAUCAAGAUCACUUUGUGCAGUCUUCCCAAUCAGCUGUGAAACAAUACAGCCUUCUUAAUGAGGACAGAGAAGGUGACUGUGUGUGUGUGUGUGUGUGUGUGUGUGUGUGUGUGUGUGUGUGUGUGUGUGUGUGUGUGUGUGUGUGUGUGUGUGUGUGUGUGUGUGUGUGUGUUUACUUCUGUUGUUUCACUCAAAUGAAAGUGAAAGUGAUCAGAAAGAGAGAACAAACUGAAGUGUGUGUUGUCCCAGAUCCUUUACAUCUGCUUCAUUUUUUUUAUUUUUUAAAUUAAAAUCUGCAUUGCUGUUUUUUCUUUCUUCCCUCUGGCAAAGAACAAAAUGAAUUCCUUUUUAAAUUCUCAAUUGAGUGCUGUUGGAUUUAAUUUCUCAAGUCUCAUCAAACAUUAGAAGUUUAAUUAUGACCAACAUCUGAGGUGCCCCUUUUUUUUAACUCUGUAAAAAAAAACACAACUGUUUGGACUGCAGCAAAUUGAAUUAUAAGUAACUGUAUCAAAAAGUCUGGCAACAAUAAUUAUCCCUACAAAGACAGAACAUCAUACUUUUAUACAAAAUUCUGUCAAUUUUAAUCCCAUUCAAAUGUUUUAAAAAUGAUAUUAUAUUGAAUAUUUAUUGACAUUCAAAAUGUGUUUCUUCGAGCAAUUACAAUCCCAUCAAGAAAUUCUUUUAAAGUAUUUAUUUAAUUCGGGGGGGUUAAGAAAACUCUAAAAAUGACAUAAAAAAAAGUCAAUACCUGUAGUUAGUUGGAUUCACUAAACUUAGAAAAUUGAUGCAAUAUUUCUUUUAAAUCCAAGGAUAGAAUUUAAUCUUAAAUGAAGUAUUUUUUUUAAUUGAACAAAGUUUGUAUUUGAAAAUAUAAAAAAAACAAAAAAAAAAACAGAUAUGUCUAUAUUUUUUCGACCAAACAGUCCUCGUAAGAUUUCUUUAUCUCCUUUUUUAUACACAAAAUUGAAACUGGCUCUUACAACUUCAUUGACGUGGCCGCUUGUGAGCUUUUGCUGCAUUUGAUUUGAUAUAUGUUACUUAAUACAGUGGUACUGUGUUUGACUUUGAUAAUCUGUUUUUAAGUAUCACAGUGUUUAUAAAGCUAUUGGAAUGUUGAUUAAAUCAGAUUUUCACAUUAAAAACAGUUUAAUCGAUGCCGCUAAGAGAAAACAAACCAUCUGUAUAUCAGUCUGUUGGUGAUUCAUGGUCUUCAUCAGAGUCACGACGCUCCCAUCAUGAAUUCACAUCAUGUAUUCAGCUAUAUAAUCUCUACCACAGGAUCAUUAGCACCAGACCUGCACUAUAUACCUGAAAACACUGAAAUUAAUCUAAUGAUGCUGCAGUCGAGGCACGAAAAAGAUACAAAACAUUAGACACUAAAGUAAUAAUAAUUUUCGGGGCAAAAUAAAAUGUCCCUGUGGUGACGAUGCUAAUAAAUUAAAAUAAAUUUACAGAGCAAUCAUAGCCAAACAAAAGAAUAUAAUAUUCUCAAUUUUCUAAAUUUGCCUCUCUUUUAGAGCCUCUUUAGCUCAUCAUCAGGGUGCCAAUAACUCUGCCAGGCACUGUAUUUAUAACACUUCAAUACACAAGACCACCAUUUAAAGGCUAAUUGUGAAGUUCUUAUUAUCAACACCACGGACAGUUGUGAGAUUCAUUAAACUCAAGUCUCCAACUGAGAGAGGGGAGAUAUGCACCAAACUGGGGCAUGAUGCAACAGCCAAUCCCAAUACAGCCCAGUCAAAUGAGCAACCAAUCAGGAGCCUGCUCCAGGUCAUGCUGACGAAUCCCUACGAACUUUUUUUUUGUGUGUUGGUUCCCCCUCUCCUGACUUAUCUCUAUGCUGAUCGAGUAUUCUGACUCAAUGUGAGAAUGGCUGUAUUGCCAUAGUGUUGCUGUAACACUCUCCCCUCCCCUACUUAUUUUGGUACGACAGAGAAACUGCGGCCGACUCCUGGAAGAAACCCUGUGGCGACUGCUAUUUAUAGGGAAGGGACCAGAGUCAUAUUUGCAUCUGGAGCUUAUGAGACAGAGAGAGAGAGGGGGAGAGAGAGAAGCGUGACGGAAACAGUUAAUUUAAAAAAUAUAAUAUAUCCUGUUACCCAAGUCAUUUCUUUUCAGGACAAAUACAGACAGAAAGAGGAGAAGUAGGCAGGAGUGUUAGACUUUGUCCAGAUUCUCUUUUCUUGCCCGUAAGGGAAAAAAACCCACCUUGAAAUAAGACAGGCUGACCUAAAUUGAAUUAAAUCGAUUUGGAUUCUCCUGAGCCUGCUUUUUCCACAGUGUACACAGUAUUAUCCUCGAUUUCCUGUGACAGCGUCAUGAGCAGUAUGCAUUACUCAGCUCCUCAUAAAAAAAUACUCCGGAGCUACCGCAUCGAUUCUCCUACUUCAAUAAUUGAGCCACCAAUGCAGAGCAAUGACGUCCCCAUUGUUCCCGUUUGUUCCGUUGAAAGUGCAUCUCCCUCAAGGCCUGCCAAUGGUGGGGAAAAUCUGAGGCCUGUUUGCUCAGAGUGAGUGACGUUUGCCAUUAGAUCAGCAAAAUAUGAAUAGCUUCUGAUUCAGAGGACAAUCCCCAGAUCUACUCAUGCAAACCACAAAGCCUAUGUGCUGAUUAAAACCUGGAUAGUCCAAGGAUUCAGGUUUGAAUUCUUAUUCAACAAAGUGAAAAAAAAUAAAAGAAAAAUAAAGCUGCUCUGAUGGCUUUCACACAUUUCAGCCUAUGUUCGUUCACCCUGUUUGAAGUUGCAUCCAGAGCUCGUACGUGAUCUGCGUGAGGCUGAAAAUGUGAAGCGGUCUCCACGAGAAGGGGCGCAAAAUACACACCGCUGGCUACGUCACUGUGAGCAUCACAGAGGAGUGUAUUAGAUCACUGCACCUCGCUGGCAUGCACAAAAAACCUGGAUUGUCCAAGGAGGGUUACUUCUUAGAGAGUGGACAUCCACAUUACGACCACUGCAGCCAAAAUAUCCAAGCAACGAUCGCAGGAGCAGACUUUGAGCAUGUUAGGGUUCAUCGACACAUUAAGACAGCAUAACCGAGGAGUGAAAGGAGUUGUGUUUCAAGGCUGUCAAAUGAGACCAUUUACACCACUGUUGUCACAUUUUUUUUCUUCUUUUUGUAUAGGAGGGGGUAAAGAUAUAAAUAUGUUAAUGCAUGUUUACCCCUAUUCACCACAAGGGCACGGGUGCAUUGAGUGUGGUGCAGCCCAUAGUUGUGUGGUGGUAGAGGGGGGCUGAAUGGAGAAGGAGUUAAGAGAGGAGAGGCAGAGGGAGAAGUGGGGAUAAAAAAGAUGGAGGGAGUGAGAAAGGGGGAUGGGGAGGGGGGAGGCGUAUACAUUAUUAACUACGACUUCAUCACAUGUUCCCAGUUUCUUGGGGACUUAUUAUUCUGAGGCGCUUUAAUGAAUAACAAGAACAGAGGGCAGAGGGAGAGAAAGCAAAAGGGAGUGAUUGAUGAAGCAAGUGCAGACACCGCCACCAGCUGGCUGACUCCAGUACUUCUCCACAAACAGGACUAACAAGGAGGUAUACAGUUUAUGAAAAUAGUCACACAGGGCAACAACUUUUAAAGUGUCACUGGCAUUAACAUUUGACAAGGUCUCAGCCUGCCCCGCCGCAUAUAGAUUGGGAUUUGCUUUGUCAAGGAUACUUGUCAAGCAGAUGCAUGACAACCAGAUUUCAUGAGCUCUGCGCUACAGAGAGGUUAGACGUCGAGGCCGGCACUUUGCAAAGCAUCCUGGUGAAUGUUUGUGUGUGAGUAAGAAAGAAAGAAAGUGUAUUUGAGUUGAAAAAUAGUCUUUGAGCUUGUGUAUGUCUGUGUUUGCAGGUGUGUGUCUGCCUGUGUUUGUGCGAUUGCAAAAGAAAAUUGAAGGGUAAGAUUUGCUGUAUCCAAGGUGACCGCUCUAUUUUUUUAUUUCUUUGUCAGUGUUGGUGGGGGCGUACCAGAUCACAGGCGUCCUACUUUCCACGAGUUUAUCCUCUCACAUAAGAGAAAUGGACUUUAUUGUGUAAUUCCCUGACAUAUUACUCAAUGUCUGCCGGUCUGUACAAACACAUCAAAAGAGAGAGAAAGAAAAAAAAAGAGUGACAAAAAGAGACUCUAUUCUUAAAUGUCCAUUAGUUCUUGUAACCUUUGGCCAAAUCAAUAGGUUGAGCUUUAAACUUGUCUCAUAGAGUCAGCAAUGUAAUUUUGUGAACGCUCCCUGUGUUUGAAUUGUAUUAACACCGUGCACAUUUUGUGAGCCUCUCCUCACUGUCGGGCCCCAGGAAGAAGAAAAGAGAAGGAGCUAGUGCCGGAGAAAGCGUGAGGACCUUCGGUAAAGGAAAAAAGGAGGAUGUGAUAUCAGAGGUUGUCAGGUCUGUUUACAGAGUGGCAUGAUUCAGCACUGUGCGCUCACUGCUGCUGGCUUUCAUUUGGACUCAGGAGAAAAAGCACAGCAUGUGUUAGAAGAGCAGCGAAGGACUGAGAGGAGAACAGAUUUGAUGUGUUUACCUUAAGUCUUCAUCUGCAUCCGUGUCCAGAUUGCUGUCUGCUCUUGGUUACCUCUGCUCCUUUUAACUCUUUCCAAACAUUUGAACAAGUUGAUGCAUUUAACACAUAAAUACAGUCUCUGUUUUUUUUCCACACCAGUUUUUAAAAUGAUUUUUCAUUGAAAUCUAAUAACUAGUAAGUCGCUCCAAGUUCAAGUUUCAAUUGAUGUCAUGAUUUAGUUAUUCAUUGCUUCCAACAAGCCUUUACCCUUGACUUGAUCAUUUUUCAAUAUUAAUUCACAGCUCCUAAUGAUUAAAUACACAAUGCACUAUAAUUCUUUACAAGUAGGUUACUUUGGCAUACAAUGAUCAAAAAGUCUGUUCUCACUCCAAGUUAUGAUAAAACAGCUAAAAUAUAUUAAAAAGGACAUUUUUAAACUCAUUUCAUGAGAGCAAAGCAUAAGAGCAUUUUUUUAACCUCACAAUUAUUGUGGCCUUAAAAAAAUCACAAUAACCUUAUGAUCCCAAAAUUUGUGGUAACUCAAAUUAAGAGACGUGAGAGGGAAGCAGGGUGGAGCAACACAUUACUUCACAAACAUAACUUUUUUGCCUCUAUUAGUCGGAAAUGCAGGAAGACGCGCACAAAUGAUCGUGGCUGUGAGUUAAACUAGCAACCGCUGCAACGGGGACAGUGACCACCACACAAAAUAUGAACACACCAGCUCAUAGGCCAACCACAAGUCCACUUCAUAAACUUCGCUGAUAAACCUGUCUCCUUUACAUAUCAUUAUCUACUUCUAAUGAUGUUCAGUUACGUCAUUUACAUCACUAGCCCUGUAACAGUUCCAUCUAAUUUAACAAAAACUCACAGUGAAUGUUUGUGACUGUUCACGCUACAGAAAUCCAAAACACACAAGUUCACACAAGUAUCGCGGUUUUUUUUUUUUUACAAUUUUUGAAUCGAUUUUAAUGUUCAAGAACUGAUAUUUUCUUUCAAAUUUAAGAAUAAAUAUAAAAAACUGACUUACAUGUGAUGUUUAUUUUUUGGGUAAAUAUGGUUCCUGGAAUAGCCAGUAGACAAUCACAAUCAUUCAACUGUUUCACUGGUGUUAAAAAUGCAGAUUAAGAAUCGAGAAAAUUGACAAUAUCGUAGAAUCCGAGUUUAAAUGGAAUCGACAUCCAAAAAAUCGUUGAAAAAAUUGAAUCAGGAGAAAAGCAUAUCGUCCCAGCCCUACUGGAAAUGAUUAUGGAGUAUGCCAUAUGUGCUUUCAUUUAUCAUCUCUCACGAUCAAAGAGGUGGGUCACCCACAAUGAGGCUCGGCUGGUGCAUUUGUAUUAUGCCUAUUAUUCCCUAGUUUCACCAUCUAAGUUGGAGAGAUUUUCUACUUCACUUUAAAUGAGAUUUAUUUUUAUUUUAUUUUGGACUUACAGUCAGACCAAACAAACAAUCCAAAUAUAUCAAAUAUAUCAGCUUCACAUGGUCUGAGCCUUUUAUCAAACAUUUAAGAGACUGCAUCAUUUAUCUCUUAGAAGUAAGAGCAGAAUAAUUGUUAAAUAAAAUACAAGUUUCAGACACACAGAGAGAAAAAAGUUAUAAAUGUUAAAGCCAAGCUGUGUAUCAAAACAUCUCAAAUUGGCAUUGGGACCUGUUGCCCUCGGUGACACCACAGGAAGUGAAAACAGCAGGAAUGUUUGCAUUGAAGAAAGACAGGGGCGCAUUAAUAAGGUUUCAGUGUGUUCUCAGUCAGCGCCUCGGCUUUGAUGCCCCUCCAUAUCAGAAGCAACAUGGAUGGCAAAAGUUAGUGAAAGAUGACAUCUUGUCAAAGCUUGAAUACCAGCCGCUCAGUAAUGGCUUUAAAACUUGGACAGUCAGUCUCCCACAAAUGACCACAGUCUGGCCUGGUCCUUGUCAGCUUUAUUUUGUAACUCUAACCCCAGCUGCAGCUGUUUUUCGCAGCCCUUUGAUUCCCUUUUUUUCUUUUCAACAAUCGGGCCAACUGGUACUGUGUUGCACAAAAGGCGGCUACUUGUCCCCUCUGAUGUGUGACAGCUUAACUGUUUCUCCGCUCGGCAAAGACAGAGUGCGGCAAACAAGCAGCAAAGUCCCAGGGAUUCAGCUGGUGACUACCGACAGCCAGACUUCAUUGAAGUGGCUUACCCUGUUUAUUACACGGGGUCAGAGGUCACACAGGGCCUAAUAACCUCAGGCAGGGCAUGCAGACAUGCCUGGCCAGAAAGAAAGAGCUCUGGUGGAAAAAGGCGGCUGUCGUACUUGUUUCCUGAGAAGAAGAAAGACAGAGAGAGCUGGUAGCAUUUGACUUUAAGAGUUUUGGGAAUUGGGACGGUGUGCACCUGUAACCUGUCACUCAAAGCCUGUCAUCACCCAUCUCAGCCAUUCAUCAUGUUGGUAAAAUCAUUAAUCUCAUACCUUCCCAGGAGCAACUGGUUGCAGACGGUAUCCAUCCCUGUCUUGUUCUGCGAAGCGAUACCUUCAUCUGUUCAUCUUUGGUUCUGAGGCAGCUUAAACACACUGACAUUAGAGUCUCCAGUCAGUGUGGGAAAAAAAAACAAAAAACAACUCUUCUUUUUUUGUCCCUAGGUCGUAACGAGCUUUUGCAAUAAGCAGAGACAUAUAAAUAUAUCAGAGGGUUCUUCAGGUGAUGAAAACCACAAUGAGUUCACUAACACCCUCAAGACUAAAUCAUCUAUCAUGUUGUCCUACAAGACUGGACAAAGAGAUCACACGCCCAAACCAGAAAGCAAUGGGUUUGUUCGCCUGCUGCAGCAGAGGUAAUCUCCACAGACUUGGCUUUAUUGCCUCUCUCAGCCCUGUAAUGAUGUUAGGACUCUGGGCUGCUUUGGUUUGUCGGGCUCCGGCUCCCCAGCCAGCCUCCACUUGGCUUUGGGGAAGAAGCUGAUAUUGGCCAGACUGCAUGAGAACCCCCCACCCCCCAAACAGGUUAAUGCUCAGUUUAUACUGCAGAUACACAUAAUGAAAAUAUGCAUGUCCACACACACGCGCACACACACUUGGGCGUGCAGAUGAAUACUUUUAAGAUAGGCUACAAAAAGGUUUACCCUCAUUUAACAUUUGGUUUUCUCCAACAGUUUCUCAUGUUGACUCACAUAAAUAUUUCUAAUGGCUGCACCGAUACACUACAUCAAAUACUUAAAAAAAAAGUCUGGUGUAUCAUUAAUUCCCCAAAUCAGCCUGGUAAAUUUUGUACUUUGAAAACUUUGAUAACUGCUGAAAUCAUACUUCAUGUGUCUGAGCAAUGUUUGGCUGCACAGCAUGAGUUUGUACUGACUGUCCCGCUGAUACACUGCAGCUUGUUAAAAGAUUUUCAAUAUAAGUUAAGAUUAAAGGAGAAGAAAACACAACUCACCACUGACUUUUUUCUUGCUACUUUGGCCAUCAUUACCAGAGGUUAUGACAAAAAUAGAUUUAGAUGUAAAACUGCUUGGAUCUGUGAAGAUGACUACCUGACUACUUAAUUUAUGAGGAUAAAAGUGACAAGCAUCUACGUUAUAGAAAAUGCCAAUCCUUACUCUUGUAAAUACAGACGGAGUGAACGUUUCUCUUUGUGUGUCUUUGCUUUCUAUUUCUAUUAUUUUCAGUUAUUUUUCACUUUGCUAUCGAUUUCUUUUAUCAAGUGCUUUUGCCAUUAUCACAUUGUUGCACAAUAACUUUUCACAGUAUCUUAAUUUUUCAAAAUUAAUAAUAAUAAUGCAUCGGAUUUCAUAUAGUGCUUUAUCAGAGACCCUCAAAGCCCUUUACAUUGGAUACAUCAUUCAUUCACUCACACCUCAGUGGUGAUAAUCUACCUCUGUAGUCACAGCUGCCCAGGGGCAGACUGACGGAAACGUGGCUGCUAGUUUGCACUCACAAUCAUACACACUGGGAGCAAGGUGGGUUGAGUGUCUUUCCCAAGGACACAACAGACAGACUUGGGAUGGGGGGGGAAUUGAACCGCCAACCCUCUGGUUAUUGGACGGCCAUUCUACCUCCUUAGCUACUGAUGCCCCACACACAGCUACUGUGUGUAUUUGUCACUUUUUCACUUCACACCAAGCUUUAAAAAGCUGAGACAAGAAUGUUUUUAGAUGAACUAGACCUGAGAAGUGCUAUAUUUUGAAGUCUCUAAAUUGACAUUAAUACAUGAGUCAGCCUGUUACUCAGUCCUCUGAAGUGAUAAUUAAUAUUGUACUUUAUUUCUAUUUAGAGAAAGUAUGUUUGAACUUUUCUUAUGAUCCAUUUCUUGACCUGCACAACUUCUUUCUACGCAACUCUCAGUGUUCCCAGGCAAUCAGCUUUGUUAGUGCAAACCUGUUAUUACAGAUUAUAAUGGCCAAAACUACAUAAACAAACCCCUCAGUUUAUGGAGCAGAAAUUUCCUUUUAAUAACAGAGUGAGUUUGGGGGAAGGGGCAGAGUGGGUGUAAAGGUGUUCGAGCACAUGUUACUGUUGCCAAACAACAUGAAAUAAAUGAUGCAAUUACUUAAAAGGCAGGACACAUCCUUCUACCAAAUUGCACAGCUGCGGCCUUGUGUGUGUGUGUUCGUGUGUGUGUCUGUGUUUGUGUUUGGCUGCUCGUUCACAUGCUCUCCUUUGAAUUUAUCAUGUCACAUAAACUCAUAGUCGCUAAACUCUUCAGGGGGCCUUUUUAAGAGCACUCUGUGUGUACUCUUUCUCACACACACACACACAUCUACUCUGGCUUCUAGGUUCAACAGUUCACAUGGUCACCUUGUGAACUAUCCCUCAACCUCCGUGAGACAUGAGUGGCCUCUCCCCUCUCCAGAGCAAAGGGAGGACUUAAAUGAAAUAAUAAAUAUCCGCAGUAUGGCUCCCUCUUGCGCACCGGGCCACUCUGACCCCUCUCAGGAUCUCCUAAACCAGGCAGGAAGAGCCAACAAGGGGGCAGGGGAGUGGGAGGAUGUCGGGGAGAGAGGGGCUACGUGCUGCUCAGGUGACCCAGGAAAUGCCUGCAGAAGGCUGCGGACCAUCUGAUUGUGGCAGUGGUCAACAAAAAAGCAGGAGCUUCAGCUGAGCCAGGGUGAGCAGCUCUAAGCCAAGCAGCUGGCAGACAUCAUAGAAAAUGUGUUGGUGUGCUGUGGACAAAGCAGGUCAGCAGGGUUAUGAUCCAGGAGGGACAGAGAAAGGUGGAAGAGGCAAUGAACUCCAGGGAUAGAAAUGAAAAUAAACCGUGGAAAGAAAGGCAGGAGAGCGAGGACUCACCACAGUGCAGUCCCGUUAGAUCAACAAGACAGAAGCAACUUUUUGAGACAAAAUGUCUGAAUCAGCUCAUAAAAGUACAAAAAAGGAAUCGGUCAAGAGUUAUUCAUGAAGCUGAUGCUCCAGGGAGCUCCAAACAAGUUCUUAUUACGUUUUCACUCAUUCAUCACUUCUUGGAAAGUAUAUUAUUUUUAACAAGUGAUAUAUCUUAACUCCUUUUGAUCCUCUAAUGUGUCCUUGACCCCAAACAGGACACCAUAGGAGUGACGUCUACAGGGCCAGUUGCUGUGGUCCAUGAAAACACAGUGUGGGCGAGCCCCCUCUCUACGAGGCCUCAAGUUCAGAGCUGUUAAAACAUGAGAGGACAGCAGGAUUAAGUGAAAACCUACAGCUGUGGCUUGUGUUUGUGUGAGAGAGUGUGUGUGUAUAAGAAGGUAGGAAAGGAUACAUAAGAUUAAAAGGAUGUUGGAUUAAAUGAUUGUCAUUCUCAUUGGUAUGUAAGGUGGUUUGCGCGUGUGUGUGUAUGCAUAUGGUUACUGGCAAACAGAAGAAGAGUGUAAUUUAACCAGGAGGGUUUCAGUCAUGAAUGUGGGGAUAUGUGAAUGUAAAUGUAGGUGUUGGAUGAAAGUCAUGAGGAUCAGAUGACCUUCAAUACAGGUUAUGUGUAAACACCCACAGAGAAUAAAUAUGUAUGUGUGGAUUCCUGUGUGUGUGCAAACCCACACAUGUCCAUUCCUCCCUUAUCUGUAGACGUUAUCGCAGUAAAAACCUUACAUGAACCUAAAUCUGAAACUUAAAUUACACCCUAUACGUUGUUAAGUUUUGCCAAAAUAUGCAGUGUCCUCCAAGUGAGCCCUGGCAUCCAAACUAAAACUGAAGUCGUACUUUCAGGGUGGUUCUGUGAUGGUAAAUAGAUUCAAAUAAUUAGACGAAAAUUAAAAAUGGGAAAAGAAUUCAAACAUGGCAGCUGUGCUGAAUAGUCCUCUACAUGCUGAACGAAAUCCAAUCCCAGCUUUCCGCCAAAAGUUGUGCCAAAAACCCAAAAUCUGAGUAUUUCACUCACUAAGCUGACAUCCAACGUGACAUCCACACAUCACGAAGUGAGCUCAUCUAAGCAGGGGGAAAUCACACUGCUCUGUGUUUUACUUUGAUUGCAUCAUAUUUGUCUUGCUCAACCCUUUUUUUUUUUUAUGUAUUUAUCCCAGCGAGACCUUUUUUGAUCUUAGUCCUGAU